rnacentral:lncRNA from 1 species
CAAAAAAAAAAAAAAAAAAAACUAAGAAGCAUAUAUACCUGUUCCAAGACGUAAGAUGGGCGAUGUUCGGUGUCUGGAGCAAAAGCUGUUAAGAAAACACCAACUGCAACCUUUUCUGGAAAUUUCUCCAUAGCAAGGGCUAUGUUCAUCCCUCCAAAACUGUGACCAACUAGAACCACCUUCUCAUUUGAGGGAAUUUUGGUCAUUAGCUGCAACAAAGGCUCAGAGUACUGCGAGAAAGUGUCAACAUCUGCAAUUCUCUUCAUGUUGAUGCCAGAAGCUGCAAGGUCGAGCACUGUGACCUUGUGGCCUUCAGAUUCCAAGCGUGGCUUCAGCUUGCACCAACUCCAAGCUCCGUGGCAUGCUCCAUGCACCAGAACAUAAUGCUUCUUCCUAUUCCUAUCUACACAAUUUCCUGAACUAAUGCUUAUCAAAAUAAUAAAAAUAAAUAUAAAAAUCAAAUUUUCAGAACUCAUUGUGUUGUUUGCUUCUUGUGGUUGAAGUGUUGUUUACCUUGUGGUUGCUUUGUAGGUUCUUUUUUACCAAUACACUCUCUCUCCAAAAUAUUUCCAUUCUACAACACUUUUAAAAACAAUUUCCGUUCUACAGUUGAGAAGUCCGGGUUGGCUAACCAGACUUUUCAACCGGUUUUUUAUUUUUAUUUUUUUUAAAAGUUAUUUUUUUCGAAGUUAAGAAGUUAGGAUUGACGAAUCAAUUUUUUUCAAAACAUACAUAAAAUUAAUUAAAUACUAAAACAUAUUUAUUCCUCCAUUAUUUAUCAAAAUAUAUAUGUUGCCUACCUGAUUGUUUUUUUUUACAGAUGUUCCCUCCUCCCUUUGUUGUUGUUUUCAUUCAAUUAUUUCUUCAUUCUCUUUCUUUUUUUCUUAUGUUGCGGCCAAAGUUUCUAUAUCCACUGUGCCUAAGAGAAAUGAAGAUUUUCAAAUUCAUGCAUAAUUGAACAAAAUUCUAUUGAAAGAAACUGCAACUUUUAAAAUAAUAAUGAUAAAUAGUUUGCUAAUAUUCUUUUAAAAAAAUAUUCUCCCUUGGAGUUCUUCAGGCAUUAAUUUGUUAUCAGCCCCUUGUACUAAUUGAAGAGGAAUGCUAAUAGUAGCUUAUAUGUUCCAAAAUAUUUCCAUGUGGCGUUUACUUACUUUGUAUGCUUUAUGAGUUAAAUUGCAUGCUUAUAGUUCAAUGGUUAAAUUAAUAUGAAUCAAUUGCUUGCUUAAAUAAUCAUUUGAGGAAUUGCAACUGACCAAAUCGAAAUAUAUAUAUAAAUUCAACAAGAUUCCAACAUAACCAGAAUACAACUUCAUAUACGCCUCAUGUUUGCAAGAAUAUAUAUCAUCGCUUUAUUGAUGUAUCAAGUGGUUCAUUGGUAUUUAGCAGCUAUCUGCUGGAGAGAAUCACAUAAUUCUUGCGGCUUGCAAACCAUCGGCUUAUGAUCUGCGCCGUUGAUCUCCACACCGUCAUUGAACCCAGCAUUUUGGAUCAUCCAGUGUUGGUAAUUCAAUGGAAUUCCAAGGUCUUCAGGACAAACAGUAUAAACACGUGGAACUGACCCAUAUCUUUGUUUGGAGAAGUUCUUUUCCUUAGACAAAUGUUCGAUGAAAAAUGAUGGUGGCCUGGCCAAAGUCAUGGCCAAUUCAAGGUCCUACAAAAUUCAAUUCAAUCCUUUAUUUGUUUCUCUUUUUGUUCAAGACUUGAUUCUAGGAAGGUUUUUCAGCCUGUUGCUUUAGCUAGUAAUUGUCCUAACAUGUAAUAUUGAAGGAUAUGAUAUUGUCGUAACAUGCAAUUGUUACGCACCUCAAUGGGCCGGGGCAGAGUUGAUAGAGUUUGUAAGACAAGAACUUGGGACCAAAGAACAUUAAUGUUUUGUUCCCACACUGGCAAAAUUCCGUGUCCAACCAUUCCUCUGAUGGGGUCCUCUCAUUGUACUGUCGCAAGGGAAAGAAUUAUAAUAAUGCUAAAGAUGAGUGCAACUUUUUCAUUCGGUAUUUUUCUUUAUAUGGACAAUGCAUAAGAUGUGAAAGUGUUUCUCAAGUUUUCAGAGUGUAUAUUUUUGGUUGACAUCAGUGAAGAAUUAGAUAUUUGAAAUCUAAAGAAUUUUCAUAUUAAUUAUCUAUAAAAAAAAGUAGUAUAAUCGAUGACGUGCAUAUUAAUAUAUAAUUCAAAUAUAUCUAACUAGUAUCAUCAUAUUUUUUUUAUAAUAAGAUUUUUAUUUUGGUUUCUAAAAAAAAUUCCUUUAAUUUUUAUCUCUGCAAAUUAUGAAAUUGUUGGUUUUAUUCAUGGUAAAAUGAGUAAAUUAAAUUUUAAUUUUAUUCUAUGUAAAAAAAAAUUCUUUGCUUACUCCAAAAUCUAAAUAUUUAUUUUUCUCCUUAACACUUAUUUUAGUACAAAUAUUAAGUAUUCAUUUUUUUUAUUUGCUGAAGGCGGCAUAAAAAACUUCACACUGAAAGUAGGUCGCAAUUAAAAUUUUAAGAAAAUCAAGAUAAAAAAAUGGCUGAAAUAAGUAAGAAAACUGGUCAAAAAUUUGAGAAGGAAACCUCAAGAGUGUAAUUAAGAAGCAGACCUUUUCCAAGACGUAAGAUGGGCGGUGUUCAACGUCUGGAGCAAAAGCAGCUAAGAAAACACCAACUGCUACCUUUUCUUGAAAUUUUUCCAUUGCAAUUGCUAUGCUCAUCCCCCCAAGGCUGUGACCAACUAGAACUACCUUCUCAUUUGAGGGAAUUGUGUCCAAUAGCUGCAGCAAAGGCUCAGUGUACUCUGAGAAAGUGCCAACAUCCUCAAUUUUCUUCAUGUUGAUGCCAGAAGCUGCAUGGUUGAGCACUGUGACCUUGUGGCCUUCAGAUUCCAACCGUGGCUUCAACUUAUACCAACACCAUGCUCCAUGGCAUGCCCCAUGCACCAGCACAUAAUGCUUCCUGCCUAAACAAUUUUCCGAACUCAUGAUGCUUUUCUUUUUGUGCUACUUAGUAUUCGUCCUCGCUAUAUAUAGACAAUCAAAUGGAUCGGGUUUGAGUGGUUUCUGUUUCCUCCACAAAAUGUUUGGUUAAUAUCUUUUUCUUUAAAGAAAUUUAUAUUUUUAAAACAUUUGUUUUUAAUGAAAUUUAUUAGAACUAACAAAUGGAAUUCGAAAAAACUAAAAAUUAUUUCAUAAAAUCAUUAAAUAAAUCAUCGUUAAGCAAAAAUAAAUUAUUUAAUGCAAGAAUACACAUUUAUAUUUUAAUUUAUAUAACUAACAAAUUACAUCUUCUAAAUUUUGAUGAAACAGUUAUGGACUGAAAUUAUAUGAAGUGGAAAUUAUAGAGAGAGCUAAAUAGAAUUAAAUGUCAUUCUUGUUAGCAUAGAUGAGUUUUGAAUGAUGUUUCUAUUUCAUUCUUAAUUAAAAAUUGAAUGAAAAAGAUAAUUUAUCAUUUAAGGGUGUGAUUUGUACAUGCAUGAUCUCCCUUCUCCUCCUGCACAGCAUAGUUCCUCCGUUCUCUACUCGUGGCAAAACGGACGAUAUAUAUAAAAACACUUCAACGAUCAAGACAUGUAGGUGUUCUAGAAAGUAGGUGUAUUGGAGUAUUAUGUUUAGAGUACUAACCUUAUUAGGUUGCCUUCAAUAGUUUGAAACUAUUUGAAAAUCCCUCCAACAGACAUAAAAAACUACUAGCUCCAAGAUCAACAGGAUCUUCAUUUAAGUCAUCAAGUGAGGGUAAGAUUAGAAGAGUUGAAUCUCUCAAGAAGAACACCUCAGAUUUCAAACGGAGUCUUCCUUAACCCAAAUACUCUAACAUCAAUUGAAAAGAACUCAUUAACACAACUUCAUAUUAGUAAUUUUUUUAAAUAAAAUUUAUACAGAUCCAUGUUUGUAUCGGAAAAGACGCAGAAGUUGCAAGAUUAUCACUUUAUUUAUGUCUCGUGGAGCCAUGGUUCCAAACGAGAUCCAAUUAUAAUUCUAACACAAGUCAAAUUCAAACACAGCGUACAAAUAAAAAUAAACUGCAACAUUCGUCGUGAAUUUAUGCAUAUUUUGCAGCUAUUUUCUGGAGAGAUUCAAAUAGUUCUCGAGGCCUGCUAUUCAUAGCCAUAUGAUCUGCGCCUUUGAUCUUUAGAACGUCAUUGAUCCCGGCAUUUUGGAUCAUCCAGAGCUGAUAUUCGAUUGGAAUUGUAAGGUCCUCAGUGCAAACAAUAUAGGCACGUGGAACUGACCCAUAUCUCUCUUUGGAGAAGUUCUUUUGCUGAGACAAGUCUUCAACGAAGAGUGACGAUGGCCUGACUAGAGUCUUGGCCAAUUCAAGAUCCUGCAAAAUCCAAUCCUUAAUAAUUUUGUUUUAUUCAAGACUUAAAACUUCGAGGACUUUCCACCAUAUUACAUUAGCUAGCUAGUAAGAGACAAUUAAAUGUGUGUUUGGAUUGUGCUUGAGGUCUUUAUUCCGUGGAAGUACUUUGGGUUACGUAUUGUCACAAUUUUAACGGCAAAACAAACACGCUCUUAAAAUAAUUUAUGACGUGUAGUUACCUCAAUGGGGGAAAGCUGGUAUAAUUUCUUGGCCAAAAUCUCGGGACCCAACAAUAUUGAUGUUUUAUUUCCACUGGGAGCAAAUUCAGUGUCGAACCAUUCUGACGGUGGGAUCCUCUCAAUGUACUGUUGAAGUAGAAAAUAUAUGUAUGAGUGUAUUUUUUUCACAGAACUUGCAAAAGUAAGAAACUUAGGUUUUUCCUGAUGAUAUAUAUACCCUUCACAUCCACUACUUCUUGAACUUUUUGAAGCUGAAAUAAUAAUAAUCAGUUUAAUUCUAACUCAAUUUUAAAAGCUAGUUUAAGAAUUUUUUUAUCGACAACAACGAUUAAUUUGUUAGUUUUAUUAAAAAUAUUAAUUGAAGAAUUUGAACUCGACCAUCACCUCUCCUUUCUCUUCUCCAACUAUUAGGUUAAUCUUACAUCUUCAUAAAAUUUCCCAGGUAACCUCAAGACUAAGAAGCAUACAUUUUCCACGACAUAAGAUGGGCGGUAUUCGGUGUCUGGAGCAAAAGCAGCUAAGAAAACACCAACUGCUACCUUUUUUGGGAAUUUGUCCAUGGCAAGUGCAAUGUUAAGCCCCCCAAGGCUGUGACCAACUAGAACUACCUUCUCAUUUUUGGGAAUUGUGGCCAUUAGGUGCAACAAAGGUUGAGAAUAUUGUGAGAAAGUAUGAACAUCGUCAAUUUUCUUCAUGUUGAUGCCAGAAGCGGCAAGGUCGAGUGAUGUGACCUUGUGGCCUGCAGAUUCCAAGCGUGGCUUGAGUUUGUACCAACUCCAAGCUCCAUGGCAUGCCCCAUGCACCAGAACAUAAUGCUUCUUAUCUAUGCAAUUCCCUGAAUUGUUCAUGCUUAUAAUAAACAUAAAAAUAAAAAUAUUUUUUGCUGAACUCAUGGGAGACCUCUUCUUGUGUUGUUUUAGUUACUUUUGUAUUCCUUCUAGCUAUAUAUAGACAGAGAAAUGGGUUGAUACAAAAGGUUUUUAAAUUACAACCUCUAAUUUGAGUUACUUAAUUCUUAUGAUUUUUCACAAAUCAGAACUAGAAACUUCUGAAUUUUAAAUAAAAUAAUUGUUAAUCAUAAAAUAAAUUAAUUCAUAUGCAUGCAUACACAUAAAUUUUAACUUAUUAAAUGAUUUAGGAUUUGAAUCCUAAUUGAUCGGUGAAUAUGAAAUAAAUUGUUUAGAGAUAAGAAUAUUCAACUUACGAUAAUUUAUCAUUACUUUCGAUGGAAUAAGUCUGUAUCAUUACUAUAAUUAAAAAAAUAAUUCUAACUUAUAUAAUCCCAAAUUAUAUGAAAAUGUUUGUCGAGCUAUUCUAGUAGCUUGGCUGUCGUGAUUAAGUUUGUUUUAUACAAAAACUAAUUUUAAUAAUUUUUAGCUUAUUUUCAUAAAUUACUCCUAUCAGUUUAUAGUUUAUAUAUAAUUACUACUUCCUUCUCAUUUCUUUUGAUGCUUUAUCUUUUUUAUUUUUUUUCAAAACAAUUUGAUAGAUGUUUUAAAAUUAUAAAGUCUAUUUAGUACAUUUUUUUAACUAUUUUUAUUUAACACCUACUAAAGCAUCAAAUAUGGAUGUAUUGAAUAAUUAAGAACAAUUUAGUCUAAAUAUAACAACUUUUAGUUUCAUUAAAUAUUUUUUAAUUUAUAUGUAAUAACCUUAAACAUAAAAAAAUAAAAAAUAAAAAAUAUUAUUUUUUAUUUUUAUUUUUACUAAUUUUACUUGAAAUUCAUUCCCAUCCUUUUUAUUUUUCAAUUGAGAAACUCUUUUGCCUACCCUAUGCCCAACGUGACGUCAUAUUUUGUGUUUCAUGUGUCAUGUCUUUUGCUCUCUGACUCAAAAUGGUAGCGCACAUCCUUGAUGACAUCCACGACUAGUUCGUUAACUGCUGUCGCCAUACUGUAACCAUAUUUUGACCAUUCGUUUAUAAUGUAAAAUUUGAAAAUUAUCCUCCAAAUUUUUAAAAAUCGAUCUAUAUACUUACCAGUUGAAAAAAAACCGAUAUUGUGUAAAAAUUAUUUUUGAAAGAAUAGUUAUAUAUAUAUAUAUAUAUAUAUAUAUAUAUAUAUAUAUAUAUAUAUAUAUAUAUUGAUUAUAAUUUUUCGUACAACUGUACUAGAUUAGACGACUCUGCCACUGCUUUGCGUUUCGUAUUUUAUUUGAAAAUGAAGACAUUUUUAAAGUCGUGUUGGCAUUGAUUUUCUUUCUGAAAUUGGAACUAUUAUUGCAAUUCACGAAAGACUAAUGCUAGAUGAGAAAAAGGUCCAAGAAGCAACUGUACAUGUUAUAAACGGUUGACAUGUCGUUCAGAUGCAAUUAUCUCAUUUAUUAACUAAUUUGUCUUAUUGCUAUCAUAUUAAUAUCGUGUUUUUUUUUUACAGAUUUUAAUAUUGUGCUUUUAAGCAUUUGAAUAUAUACCAGUUUUAUCAUAAGUGGAUAAACUCAUUGUAAAAUCAAGAACAUGCCCCCAAUAUCUUCAUCUCUCAUACGGUAAGCAGCCAACGUUAACACGUGUAUAUUUUCCAAUACUUUUACACAAUGGAUCACUUCUAGCUUGAAAAUUACUUACCUCUUAAUGCGCUCAACCAUGAGUUUAGAUGAAUUUAUAUAAUAACAAUGGAAGUAUAUAUAGAACCAGCAUUUAUUUGAUAAGUUUCACUUAUUCGUUAGCAUGAAUAUAUUGGAACUAACACAACUUCAUAUUAGUAAAAAGAAUAAUUAAAUAAAAUUUAUAGAAAUACGUUUGUAUCAGAAAAGACGCAGAAGUUGCAAGAUUAUUGCUUUAUUUAUUUGUCUCGCUCAGGGAGUCACGAUUCCAAACGAGAUCUAAUUAUAAUUCUAACACAAAUCAAAUUCAAACACAACGUAGAAAUAAAAGUUUCAUGAAUUUAUGCAUAUUUAGUAGCUAUCUUUUCGAGAGAAUCGAAUAGUUCUCGAGGCUUGCUAUUCAUAGGCAUAUGAUCUGCGCCUUUGAUCUUUAGAACGUCGUUGAACCCAGUAUUUUUUAUCAUCAAAAGCUGAUAUUCCAAUGGAAUUGCAAUGUCCUUAGUGCAAACAAUAUACGCUCGUGGAACUGACCCAUAUCCCUCUUUGGAGAAGUUCUUCUGCUUAGACAAGUCUUCAACGACGAGUGACGAUGGUCUUACUAAAGUCUUGGCCAAUUCAAGGUCCUGCAAAAUCAAAUUCCUUAUUAAUUUGCUUUUAUUGAAGACUUGAAACUUUGAGGGCUUUCCGUAAUAUAUAUAUAUAUAGUUAUCUCAAUGGGGGAGAGCUGGUAUAGCUUGUCGGACAAGAAGUUGGGACCAAAGAACAUUGAUGUUUUGUUUCCACUUGGAGCAAAUUCUGUGUCCAACCAUGCAGACGACGGGGUCCUCUCAUUGUACUGUUCAAGUAGCAAAAUGUAAUAAUGGUGAAGAUAUAUAUGAGUGUAAUUCUUUCACUUUUUCUUUUCUUUUAUUGACAAUAAAUAAGAUGUGAAAGCGUGUACAUGUUAUGUUUAUCCAUUCAAUGUAUAUUUUUGAAUGACAAAUAUAAAGUUUUUUUUUAAUUUAAGUAAUAUUUUAAAAAUAUAAAAAUGUUUCAAACUAUAGAAAAAUAAAGCCGCGCGGUGCAUGUAUUUUUGGGACGAGUUCGGAUUGCAGCUUUGCUGCUUUGGCCUUCCCAAUCCAAUUUAGUUUAAUAUGCAUUCACUUAAAACAUAUCAGGUUUUUGAAUAAUGCACAUUAAUAAUAAUUUUUUAUUUAAUAGAUAAUAUUUUAAAUAACAUGAUAAUAUAUUUACAACGUUAUUUACAACGUUAUAUAUCUUAAUUUAACUUUUAUACUUCUUUUACUCUAUAAUUUAAUUAUAAAUAAUAUUAAAAUUAAUAUAUCACGUUAAAAAACUAGGUUGAAUUUUGAUUAGAAUAAAAAUUCAAUUUCAAUAAAAUUCAAGAUCAACCACGUAAGAGAACUUCACAUCACAUCUUAAUCCAAAACUUUUAAGUUUAGGUUUAUGAAUUUUCUCCUCACUUGUAUGAUGUUCAACUUUUUGCGACUUCACCUUACACCUGUACUCCAACAAUUCGUUGGAUUUUUGAACUUCCUUCCUAUGUAUAAUAAAGGCUCAAAUGAGAGGGAUUCAUUUGAGUAAGAAAAACAGUUACAAAUCAUUGCGAGAGAAAGAAGGAGAAGGGAAAUCAUUGUGAUUUUUGCAUGCCUACUCGAGAACAUUUUUUUAGAUUACAACUGCAAAUUCGUUUACCAUUGGAUCGGGCUGAGUUUUAGACACAAGGUUCUAAACGCGUGAUACUUUAAAUUGUCUUGUUGGAUCGGGAAAAAGAUAUAUGUUGAGAGAGAUAAGUGUUUCACAUGAUCUGCUUUAUAUUUUAGAGUUUUAUCUUCUUGUCUCUAUUGUACCAAUUGAGAGUUUGUUUUGAUUUGACUGUUUGUAAUACGUUUUAUUGCACCGUGGUUUUUAUCCUUGCAUUGAGAGGCUUUUCACAUUAAACAAACUGUGUCUCUAUUUUCUUUAAUUUCUAUUUUGGACUCUAUAAUUUAUCGGUGUUGCUCAGAGAUUCUUACAAGUUUAGAAAAAUUCCUAUUACUCUAUUAAGUUUGUUAUUGUAUUGAGUUAUUUUUCAUCAUUAAGGACAAGAGUGAGCCCAUCCCAACUCGUCUCUUGCUCAGCAGUCAACCUCACUGAAUAAUUGUUAUAAAGAUAAUGAUCACUUAAAAGAUUUAAAUUUUUACAUCAUAUAUGUCUAAUAUUAUGUUUCUAUACGAAAGCGUAGAAUUAGGAAGUCAAAAAAUGUGAUCUGAUGAUUGUGAUUGAAACAUUUUUAUAAAGGAAUUGAUAGUCCCCUUUUCCACGGAAUCCAGCCCAUGCAUUUAUGUCUAAAUAAUUAGUUCCACAAUUUGUAUUAUUGGGCAGCAAUUGCACUUGCAGAAGUAAGAAAAUUGAUAAAAAAAAAAAAUCACAAGUAACCUCAAGACUAAGAAGCAAACCUUUUCCAAGACAUAAGAUGGUUGGUGUUCAGUGUCUGGAGCAAAAGCAGCUAAGAAAACACCAACUGCUACCUUUUUUGGGUAUUUGUCCAUGGCAAGUGCAAUGUUAAGCCCCCCAAGGCUGUGACCAACUAGAACUGGCUACCUUCUCAUUUUUGGGAAUUGUGGCCAUUAGGUGCAACAAAGGCUCAGAGUAUAUAUUGUGAGAAAGUAUCAACAUCUUCAAUUUUCUUCAUGUUGAUGCCAGAAGCGGCAAGGUCGAGGUGAUGUGACCUUGUUGCCUGCAGAUUCCAAGCGUGGCUUGAGUUUGUACCAACUCCAAGCUCCAUGGCAUGCCCCAUGCACCAGAACAUAAUGCUUCUUAUCUAUGCAUGCAAUUCCCUGAAAUGAUCAUGCUUAUAAAAAACAAAAAAAAAUAAAAAUUCUGACCUCAUGGUACCUUCUUCUUGUGUCGUACUGUUGCAAUAGGUACUAUGUAUUCCAUCUCGCUAUAUAUAGAUGGAGAAAUGGGUUGUCAAUAAAUUAAAGGUUAUUACCAGCUUUGAAUAAUAAUCAAAUCACCACCGUCAAGAUAUAUCCUAUUUCACAUAUUUUUUUACAGCAAUUUAUUUUAAAUAACAAAAUUUUAUGCAUCUCACAUCUUUUGUUUAAUGAAUUUUACUUAUUAUUUUUCUUUUUUUUUCCAUUAAUUUUACUUGAAAUUCCUUUUCAUCCUUUUUAUUUUUUAAUUUAGAAACUCUUUUGUCUACCUUGUUCACUCUAGGUGUAGUCAUGUUUUGUAUUUCAUAUCUUUUGCUCUCACACUCACAGAACGGUAGCACAUAUUCUUGAUGACAUUCACGACUAGGGCAACUCUAAAAAACUAAUUAAAAAAAACUUAUUAUCAGUUAUAUAAAAAUAGUUAUAAAAUUAUAACCAAUUUUAUAAAAAUGAUUAUUUUAAAUAACUUUUCAUUUAAAAAAUAAUUAUAGUUAUAAAACUAAAACUAGUUUUGCAGAAAUAAUCAUUUUAAAUAACUUUUUUUUUUCAUUUAUAACCGAUUAGAUAACUUGUUUUAGAUAUAACUGAUUAUAUAAUUAGUUAUAUUCCUAAUUAAUUUUUACGUAUUCAUUGGUUACGAGAUAAUAUGAAUCUCAAAUUCAUUGUUAUAUGAUUAAUAUAAUAUAUAUUAAUUUAAUAUUAUUCCAUAUAUUAGAUGGAGUGACCGUGGAUUAAGUUUUAUUAGUACACCACAUAAAGAUGUCGUCAGAUAUAGAAUAAGAUUAGACAACAUAAUAGUUGAACAUGCAUGUAAUAAAUAUUAAACUAUGGAUUACGUUGAAAUUCUGUCAAGAUUUAUGUUUUUAAUAAUUAAUUAAUUAUUUAAAUAUAUUAUUUCAGUUAUUGCGGAAUUCAUAUGUCUACUUUUUGGAUGUUGUUGAGUCAAGAGCUUUCAAAGACUCUUCCAUAUGGUUAGCCUGCACCACACUAAUUUUUUUGUCAACAGUAGAAUGACAACAGGCGGAUAUAGAUUAAACUUCAAUUCUGCUUCCAACUAGGCACACCAAAUCCCCCAAAAAACAUGGACAAACUUCACAAAAUCGACAUACAAGGUCAAACUGAUACAAUUUGGACUGAAAAACAUGCAAAAUGGAUAGGGUAUUGGCGACAAUGUCAAUCAAUAAUUUUACAGGGACAACCGAUUAUAGGACAUGCAAAGCAUUCUCAAGAAUACUUAGUGUGAUAUCAAAGCAAUUCUAUUAUUUUUUUAUAUAUGCAACUACCAAGUAAAACGUCAAUAAAUUUUAAAACUGGUUAAUCCUCAAGGGCCACAAACAUUGUGCAAACAAAAUAUAAUCCUACAUAUACACCAAUGCCCCCAUCACGGAUCACGUUCCACCUAGUCCUUCAACAUGGGCUACACUCCACCAAUUGCCCAACUAGAUGAAUUUCUGAGCAAUAUUUUUGGAAUUGAUUGUGGCACGUCAACUUCUGCCCGUGAAUACAUGCAUAACUUACAAAGCGAAGUGGGUCACUUUACUUAUUGGAUAAAAUUAUUGUGAGAAGUUAUCUAAGUAAGUUUUCGUAAUUCUCAAAACUUAUUUCAAAUUAGCACCAUCAAUAACAGGGAUUUAUAGUAUCCAUAUCUUAAAUAUUUUAUUGAGAGGAGUUGGCCAGAAUUCCUCCAUUGAUAUUAUGAUUUACAUGGUUAUUGGGAGAGCAUGUUAAAAUGUUCUUAAUGGUGCAUGUCUUCCCCAAACUCCUGAAAGGUAUGUGUGGAAGUUGAUUUUCUUCAUAAUGUGGCAAAGGUUUCUUUUUGUUGCCUACCUGAUUGUUUUUUCUUACAGAUAUUCCCUCCCUUUGUUGUUGUUUUCUUUCAAUUAUUUCUUCAUUCUCUUUCUUUUUUUCUUAUGUCGUGGCCAAAGUUUCUAUAUACACUGUGCCUAAGUGAAAUGAAGAUUUUCAAAUUCAUGCAUAAUUGAACAAAAUUCUAUUGAAAAAAAAAACUGCAACUUUUAAAAUAAUAAUAAUUAAUAGUUUGCUAAUAUUCUUUAAAAAAAAUAUUCUCCCUUGGAGUUCUUUAGGCAUUAAUUUGUUAUCUGCCCCUUGUACUAAUUGAAGCGGAAUGCUAAUAGUAAUCCACUACACAGCUUAUAUGUUCCAAAAUAUUUCCACGUGGAGUUUACUUACUUUGUAUGCUUUAUGAGUUAAACUGCAUGCUUAUAGUUCAAUGGUUAAAUUAAUAUGAAUCAAUUGCAUGCUUAAAUAACCAUUUGAGGAAUUGCAAAUGACCAAAUCGAAAUAUAUAUAUAAAUUCAACAAGAUUCCAACAUAACCAGAAUACAACUUCAUAUACGCCUCAUGUUUGCAAGAAUAUAUAUCAUCACUUUAUUGAUGUAUCAAGUGGUUCAUUGGUAUUUAGCAGCUAUCUGCUGGAGAGAAUCACAUAAUUCUUGCGGCUUGCAAAACAUUGGCAUAUGAUCUGCGCCGUUGAUCUCCGCAACGUCAUUGAACCCAGCAUUUUGGAUCAUCCAGUGUUGGUAAUUCAAUGGAAUUCCAAGGUCUUCAGGACAAACAAUAUAAACACGUGGAACUGACCCAUAUCUUUGUUUGGAGAAGUUCUUUUCCUUAGACAAAUCUUCGAUGAAAUAUGAUGAUGGCCUUGCCAAAGUCAUGGCCAAUUCAAGGUCCUACAAAAAUCAAUUCAAUCCUUUAUUUGUUUGUCUUUUUGUUCAAGACUUUAUUCUAGGAAGAUUUUUCAGCAUGUUGUUUUAGCUAGUAAUUGUCCUAACAUGUAAUAGUGAAGGAUAUGAUAUUGUCGUAACAUGCAAUUGUUACGCACCUCAAUGGGGCAGAGUUGAUAGAGCUUGUAAGACAAGAACUUGGGACCAAAGAAAAUUAAUGUUUUGUUCCCACACUGGCAAAAUUCCGUGUCCAACCAUUCCUCGGAUGGGGUCCUCUCAUUGUACUGUCAAGGGAAAGAAUUAUAAUAAUGCUAAAGAUGAGUGUAAUUUCUUCAUUCUGUAUUUUUCUUUACAUAGACAAUGAAUAAGAUUUGAAAUGUUUCUCAAGUUUUCAGAGUGUAUAUUUUUGGUUGACAUCAGCGAAGAAUUAGAUAUUUGAAAUCUAAAGAAUUUUCAUAUUAAUUAUCUAUAAAAAAAGUAGUAUAAUUGAUGACGUGCAUAUUAAUAUAUAAUUCAAAUAUAUCUAACUAGCAUCAUCAUAUUUUUUUAUAAUAAGGUUUUUAUUUUGGUUCCCAAAAAAUUUUCUUUAAUUUUUAUCUCUGCAAAUUAUGAAAUUGUUGUUUUUAUUCAUGGUAAAAUGAGUAAAUUAAAUUUUAAUUUUAUUCUGUAAAAAAAUUCUUUGAUUACUCCAAAAUCUAAAUAUUUAUUUUUGAUCCUUAAAAGUAUAAAUAUGAAGUAUCCAUUUUUUUAUAUUUCAUGUGCUGACAUGAUAUCAUAGACAUUGGUGGGUUUCAUAUGAGAUGAUCACUUUAUCUUUCAUUAAAUAAAUAAGUAAUCAAUGAGAGUUACCUGGUAGUGUGGAUCACAGACAAUAAUUUUAAACUUUUUCUAAGAAAUAAAAAUCACACAUAUGAUGGAAUUUUGAUUUGCAGACGGCGGCAUAAAAAACUUCACACUGAAAGUAGGUCGCAUUAAACUUUCAAGAAAAUCAAGAUAAAAAAAAUGGCCGGUGUUCAAUGUCUGAAGAAAUAAGUAAGAAAACUGGUGAAAUUUCAGAAGGAAACCUCAAGAGUGUAAUUAAGAAGCAAACCUUUUCCAAGACGUAAGAUGGGCGGUGUUCAACGUCUGGAGCAAAAGCAGCUAAGAAAACACCAACUGCUACCUUUUCUGGAAAUUUUUCCAUUGCAAUUGCUAUGCUCAUCCCCCCAAGGCUGUGACCAACUAGAACUACCUUCUCAUUUGAGGGAAUUGUGUCCAAUAGCUGCAGCAAAGGCUCAGUGUACUCUGAGAAAGUGUCAACAUCCUCAAUUUUCUUCAUGUUGAUGCCAGAAGCUGCAUGGUUGAGCACUGUGACCUUGUGGCCUUCAGAUUCCAACCGUGGCUUCAACUUAUACCAACACCAUGCUCCAUGGCAUGCCCCAUGCACCAGCACAUAAUGCUUCCUGCCUAAACAAUUUUCCGAACUCAUGAUGCUUUUCUUUUUGUGCUACUUAGUAUUCGUCCUCGCUAUAUGCAGACAAUGAAAUGGAUCGGGUUUGAGUGGUUUCUGUUUCCUCCACAAAAUGUUUGGUUAAUAUCUUUAUCUUUAAAGAAAUAUAUAUUUUUAAAACAUUUGUUUUUAAUGAAAUUUAUUAGAACUAACAAAUGGAGUUCGAAAAAACUAAAAAUUAUUUCAUAAAAUCAUUAAAUAAAUCAUCGUUAAGCAAAAAUAAAUUAUUUAAUGCAAGAACACAUUUAUAUUUUAAUGUAUAUAACUAACAAAUUACAUCUUCUAAACUUUGAUCAAACAACUAUAUGGACUGAAAUUAUAUGAAGUAGAAAUUAUAGAGAGAACUAAAUAGAAUUAAAUGUCAUUCUUGUUAGCAUAGAUGAGUUUUGAAUGAUGUUUCUAUUUCAUUCUUAAUUAAAAAUGGAAUGAAAAAGAUAAUUUAUCAUUUAAGGGUGUGAUUUGUACUUACUACUGUAUAUGCAUGAUCUCCCUUCUCCUCCUGAACAGCAUAGCUCCUCCGUUCUCUCCUCGUGGCAAAACGGACGAUAUAUAUAAAAACACUUCAACGAUCAAGACAUGUAGCUUUUCUAGAAAGUAGGUGUAUUAGAGUAUUAUGUUUAGAGUACUAACCUUAUUAGGUUGCCUUCAAUAGUUUGAAACUAUUUGAACAUCCCUCUAACAGACAUAAAAAAACUACUAGCUUUGGUCAACAGGAUCUUCAUUUAAGUCAGUGAGGGUAAGAUUAGAAGAGUUGAAUCUCUCAAGAAGAACACCUCAGAUUUCAAACGGAGUCUUUCUUAACCAAAAUACUCUAACAUCAAUUGAAAAUAACUCAUUAACACAACUUCAUAUUAGUAAUUUUUUUAAAAUAAAAUUUAUACAGAUCCAUGUUUGUAUCGGAAAAGACGCAGAAGUUGCAAGAUUAUCACUUUAUUUAUGUCUCGUGGAGCCAUGGUUCCAAACGAGAUCCAAUUAUAAUUCUAACACAAGUCAAAUUCAAACACAACGUACAAAUAAAAAUAAACUGCAACAUUCGUCGUGAAUUUAUGCAUAUUUUGUAACUAUUUUCUCGAGAGAUUCAAAUAGUUCUCGAGGCUUGCUAUUCAUAGCCAUAUGAUCUGCGCCUUUGAUCUUUAGAACGUCAUUAAUCCCGGCAUUUUGGAUCAUCCAGAGCUGAUAUUCCAUUGGAAUUGCAAUGUCCUCAGUGCAAACAAUAUAUGCACGUGGAACUGACCCAUAUCCCUCUUUGGAGAAGUUCUUCUGCGUAGACAAGUCUUCAACGAAGAGUGAUGAUGGCCUUACUAAAGUCUUGGCCAAUUCAAGGUCCUGCAAAAUCAAAUUCCUUAUUAAUUUGCUUUUAUUGAAGACUUGAAACUUUGAGGGCUUUCUGUAAUAUAUAUAUAUAUAGUUACCUCAAUGGGGGAGAGCUGGUAUAGCUUGUUGGACAAGAAGUUGGGACCAAAGAACAUUGAUGUUUUGUUUCCACUUGGAGCAAAUUCUGUGUCCAACCAUGCAGACGACGGGGUCCUCUCAUUGUACUGUUCAAGUAGCAAAAUGUAAUAAUGGUGAUCACCAUUAUUAUUGACAAUAAAUAAGAUGUGAAAGGGUGUGCAUGUUAUGUUUAUCCAUUCAAUGUAUAUUUUUGAAUGACAAAUAUAAAGUUUUUUUUUAAUUUAAGUAAUAUUUUAAAAAUAUAAAAAUAUUUCAAACUAUAGAAAAUAAAGCCGGUGCAUGUAUUUUUGGGACGAGUUCGGAUUGUAGCCUUGCUGCCUUCCCAAUCCAAUUUAGUUUAAUAUGCAUUCACUUAAAACAUAUUAGGUUUUUGAAUAAUGCACAUUAAUAAUAUUUUUUUUAUUUAAUAUAUAAUAUUUUAAAUUAUACGAUAUUAUAUUUACAACGUUAUUAACGAAAUUAUUUAUUUUUGAAUAUGUAUUGUAAUACAUACAUAUAUAUAUAUAUAUAUAUAUAUAUAUAUCUUAAUUUAACUUUUAUACUUCUUUUACUGUACAAUUUAAUUAUAAAUAAUACAAAACCAGGUUGAAUUUUGAUUAGAUCAAAAAUCCGAUUUCAAUAAAAUCAAAGUUUUGGAUCGGGUAUUAGGGACAAGAGUGAGCCCAUCCCAACUCGUCUCUUGCUCAGCAGUCAACCUCACUGAAUAAUUGUUAUAGAGAUAAUGAUCACUUACAGGAUUUACUUUAUAUAUAUAUAUAUAAAACUAAUAUUAUGUUUCUAUACGAAAGUGUAGACUUAGGAAGUCAAAAAAUGUGAUAUGAUAAUUGUGAUUGAAACAUUUUUAUAAAGGAAUUGAUAGUUCCCUUUUCCACGGAAUCCAGCCCAUGCAUUUAUGUCUAAAUAAUUAGUUCCACAAUUUGUAUUAUUGGGCAGAAAUUGCACUUGCAGAAGUAAGAAAAUUGAUAAAAAAAAAUAAAAAUCACAAGUAACCUCAAGACUAAGAAGCAAACCUUUUCCAAGACAUAAGAUGGUUGGUGUUCAGUGUCUGGAGCAAAAGCAGCUAAGAAAACACCAACUGUUACCUUUUUUGGGAAUUUGUCCAUGGCAAGUGCAAUGUUAAGCCCCCCAAGGCUGUGACCAACUAGAACUACCUUCUCAUUUUUGGGAAUUGUGGCCAUUAGCCGCAACAAAGGGUCAGAGUAUUGUGAGAAAGUAUGAACAUCAUCAAUUUUCUUCAUGUUGAUGCCAGAAGCUGCAAGGUCGAGUGAUGUGAUCUUGUGGCCUGCAGAUUCCAAGCGUGGCUUGAGUUUGUACCAACUCCAAGCUCCAUGGCAUGCCCCAUGCACCAGAACAUAAUGCUUCUUAUCUAUGCAAUUCCCUGAAAUGAUCAUGCUUAUAAAAAACAUUAAAAAAAAUAAAAAAUUCUGACCUCAUGGUAUCUUCUUCUUGUGUUAUACUGUUCAAUAGGUACUCCAUCUCGCUAUAUAUAGAUGGAGAAAUGGGUUGUCAACAAAUUAAAAGUUAUUACCAGCUUUGAAUAGUAAUCAAAUCACCACCGCCAAGAUAUAUACUAUUUCACAUAUUUUUUUACAAGCAAUUUAUUUUAAAUAACAAAAUUUUAUACAUCUCACAUCUUGUUUGUGUUGGAUAAGUGGCCUAAAAAAUUUUAAGAAGGAGGGGUUGAAUUAAGAUUUCAUUAACUAUUCCUAAUUAAAAAAUUUCCCUUACUUAGAUAUUUCCUAUAUUCAAUUAUUUCUUUAAUUGUAAGUUACUUAAAUAACAAAUAAGGAAAAAUAACAUUAAAGAAAUAUAAACACAACAGAAAGUAAAAGAGAUCAAGGAAAGAGAGAAUGCAAAAUCAGAUUUAUACUGAUUUGACCACAACCCGUGCCUACGUCUAGUAUUCAAGCAAAUAUCACUUGAGCGUUUUCACUAACCUUGUAAAAACCCUUUACAAGUAAUGAACCACAAAAGACUUCUCUCCUUUGUGUUCAGUGUUUACACCAAGAAGCAAAUUUUACUUCUUGCAAUGAACCCCAAAGAACCUUUCUCCUUUGUGUUCAGUGAUUACACCAAGAGACAAUCUCACCUCUUGCAAUGAACCCCAAAGGAUGUUACUCCUUUGUGUCCAAUGAUUACACCAAUAAGCAAAUUUCACUUCUUUCAAUGAACCCCAACGGACGUUACUCCUUUGUGUCUAGUGAUUAUACCAAGAAGCAAAUUUCACUUCUUGCAAUGAAUCCCAAAGGACGUUACUCCUUUGUGUCCAAUGAUUCAACCAAGGAACAAAUUUGUUCCUUGAACCAAGUAGACCGUCUCUUGAAAACUUUUAUAACCAAGAGUCGGUCUCUUGAAAAGCUUUUUGUAAGAAUGAAGGAGAAGAAGAAAAUAGAAUAACACAAGUUUUUGCUGAAUGAACUUUUCUUGACAAAACAAAUGUUAGACAAAAAUUCUUAGAAAGAUGUUCAGAAUAAUUCUUUUGAAAUUCGUGUCAUGGUCACAUAUUUAUAGUCAUUUGAUGACUCUUGAAGAAAUCAUGUUAAAAGUUGUGACUCUUGACAAUUUCUUUAAAAUCAAUCACUGGUAAUCGAUUACCAUAAUGGUGUAAUCGAUUACACAGUUUAUUUUAUCAAAGGUUGUGACUCUUCAUGUUGAGUUUUGAAAUCUAACGUUUAGAAUAAGUGGUAAUCGAUUACAAAUAUUGUAUAAUCAAUUACACUAUUUUGAAAAUAUUUUUGAACGUUACAAGACAAUGGUAAUCAAUUACAUGCUCAUGGUAAUCGAUUACUACUUUGUAAAUCAGUUAUAGAACUGUUUUUGGCUUUUGGUAAUCGAUUAUUACCUUAUGGUAAUCGACUACCAGAGAGUAAAAACUCUAGUAAAAAAAUAUUUCUUGAAAAAUUCUCUUGGACAAUUUUGUGUUGUUCUAUCUUUUCUUUGAAAAAAUUCUUUUUAAACUUGUCUUGAUACUUUUCUUGAGGUUCUUGCAUAUCUUGAAUCUUCUUGAUUCUUUAAUCUUGUUUAAAUGAAUCUUUAAUAAUCUUUGACAUCAUCAAAAUACUUUUAGAAGUUUUACUUCUACAGUUGAAUGAUUUUUUUUUCCUUUUUUUUCAUUAAUUUUAGUUGAAAUUCCUUUUCACCCUUUUUAUUUUUCAAUUUAGAAACUCUUUUGUCUAUCUUGUUCACUCUAAGUGAAGUCAUGUUUUGUAUUUCAUGUCUUUUGCUCUCACAGUCACAGAUCGGUAGCGCAUAUUCUUGAUGACAUUCACGACUAGGGCAGCUCUAAAAAAAAACCAAUUUUUAAAAAAAUAACUGAUUAUCAGUUAUAUAAAAAUAGUUAUAAAAUUAUGACCAAUUUUAUAAAAAUGAUUAUUUUAAAUAAAUUUUUAUUUAAAAAAUAAUUAUAGUUAUAAAACUAAAACUAGUUUUGCAGAAAUUAUUAGUUUAAAUAACUUUUUAUUUCAUUUGUAACCGAUUAUAUAACUUGUUUUAAAUAUAACUGAUUAUAUAAUUAGUUUAUAUAAUUAGUUAUAUUCAUAAUCAAUUUUUAAAUAACCAGUUAUACAAAUUAGUUAUGAUUAUAAUUAUUAUAAUAAUUACUUAUAAUCUAGUUAUUUAUUAAUAAUGAUUAUGAUUAUUUAACCAAACCAUGAACACUCUUGUUCACGACUAGUUUGUUUAUGCUACCACCACGUCGUCAUUUAUAAUAAAGUUAACCAAAUUUUGACCAUUCGUUUAUGAUAUAAAAUCUGAAAAUUAUUUUCCCAAUUUUUAAUUAAGAUCAUAUAAGUUAUUAUAAAUAAACCAAAAUAUUAGAAGUGAUAAUAUAUAUAUAUAUAUAUAUAUAUAUAUAUAUAUAUAUAUAUAUAUAUAUAUAUAUAUAUAUAUAUAUAUAUAUAUAUAUAAAUUAGCUGAACUCAUGCUAAUAAUAAAUAAUGAAAUUAUUAUGGUUGUACUUCCUGUGUAUUUCUUCUCGUCGACAAAAGGUUUGCAAUUGCAUUCCAUCUCGCUAUAUUAUAUCAGACGAAGAAAAUGGGUUUAGUUUCCGUCCCAUCGGCAAAAGGUUAAUACUACAAAUCAUCGGCUUUGAAGUUUGAAUAGUUAAACCACAUGCUUAAUUUACUUAUAAAAAAUAGUAUCACAUGCUUUAUAUAUAGCAAACGGACAACUUGCGCAUUAAUACCGUGAUUGAUGUAAUAAUUCUAAGAUUAGUUUGCAAUGUAUAUAAAUGGUGGGCGAAACUGCUGAGAUAUGGUUUUUGGAAACAAAAAACUACAGGUCAUAGAUGUUACUGUUUGAUAACCUGUUUAGUUUGGAGGGUUUCGAUCAAACUGAAUUAGAGUUGCAUGGGAUGGAUAUGAUUGUAAUACCUAUUAUUCUAGGACUUCAUUGAAAGAAUGUUUAUGAUAAGGGAUGAAUCCAUUCGUGUUUAUAAUGGAGCCCUACUCAUGCAUGUAAGUCAUAUGGAUAAUUAUGGUACCCUUAAUAAAAUUCCUUGUUUGCGGCUAAAAAAAUAAAACAUUUUAAGAUUAGUUAUUUAAGUUAACAAAUCAAUAGUCUUAAAAGCUUGGCAGACACUUAAUCUUUCACAUGGCUAGUUGAGUUAACAAAUUAAUUAAUUUGACUAACAAGUUUGGCACUGCUUAAUUUCUACCUUUUUUUUUUCUUUUGAAGUUAGGCAUGAAUUAACUCCAAAUCCGUGAAUAUACAUCCAACACCAACUUGAUUUUGAUUAGAAAAUCUCACUUUGAUUAAGAUAUUGACUUUGAGUUUAGUUUUUUUCCAACUUGUAAAAGUAGAGUAGCUAGGGUACAAGAAUGUAAUCCUUGCUAUCAAACUUGCCUUACUAUUAUAUUUUUGGUUCUUAAUAAUUUUUUUAACUUUUUAGUUCCUAAUAAAAACUUUAUUUUAUUUUUAAGUCCCUAAAGUACUAUUUAAAUCAAUAUAUUUCACUUUUUAAAGUGCUAUUUAAAAAAAAAAGAUUAAGGACCAAUAAUAAAAAAAAAUUAUUAGGGUAAAAAAGUUAAGAAAAAUUAUUAGGGACCAAAAGUAAAAUUCAGAAAUUUACCAUAAAUUAAAACAUAUUUAAGCCUAUUAUAUUUGAGUUAGGAUUUUAUUUUCAUAAUUUUAUUUUUACAUUGAUUAAAAUAUAAUUUAAUUAAUUUGAUAGUUAAAUAAUUAAAAUUAUAAUAAAAAUAAUAAUUAAAUAAUACAGUAAAAAAUGUUUAAUAAAGAUUUCAUUUAAUGAGGCUAGCUAACCAGUACCUCACACCAUUGGUUAAAGAAUUGUAAAAAGAAAAUACAUCAAUUGUUGGAAUUGUAUUAAAAAUCAUGAAAGAGUGUACGUAUUGUUUAAUUCUUUAAUGAAAGUUUUCUACUUCUUCAAUUUUUUAAGACAUUGGUUUGCAUUUUUCUAAUUUAAUUCUUACGUAUUUUUUAAGAUCAUUAUUAUUUAUCAAUUUCUAUCUGUUGUUUGAAUUAAAACGUAAAAUAUUUCGAUCAUUAUAUGCUUUAUUUAAAAAUUUAAGUACAUAAAUUUUCAAAAAGUGAGGCGAUUUUAUUGAGUACGAUGAAAGUUGAAAACGAAAAAAGUGUUCAGUUACACUUUCAUGAAAGACUAAGGUUAAUAAGAAUGGCUUUUCAGUAUACAUGAUCUUUAGUAAGAGGGGCUUAUAAUCAUGGUAUUUGUGGAGUAAAUUGAAGCCAACUCUUUAAUUGAGUGAAGAUUAAGAAUGAUACGUUGCAAUAAAAUAGUCUAAUAAAGAGUGUUGAAAAGUGAAAAAGGAAUUGCGUGGAAGGAUCACUACUAAAAAAAAAUACAUUUAAUAUUGAUCAUAUUAGAUUUGUUUGGGGUGAUGAUUUUGUGUUUUCAAUUUUAAAUAUAAUUUUCAAAUUAAAUGUGUUUGAAAAAAUGAGUUAAAAUAUUUUUUAAUUUAUUUUUAAAAUACUUUUACAUUUAUUUUAAAAUAAGAAAUUAAAAAGCACAUACCCCUAUAUUUGCAUUGAGAAUGAUUUUUUUAGCUAUUAUUGUCCACCUUCGCUCCCACCAUUACCAUAGUCACUAGUAUUGAUAUUAUUAUCAUCGUCUUUCUCACUAUAACCAAUCAUAAUCAUUAUUAAUACUAUUAUCAUCACCAUUAUGAUUACUACUAUCAUUGUUAUCAUUAUUGAUAUUAUUGUUAUUAUCAUCAUCAUUUUCAGUAUUACUAUCAUCAUCAUCGUUAUUGUUAUUGUGAUCAUAAUCACACCAAAAAAAAUCUGAAGUUAUUUUUAUGUAAUACAAAAACUUUUAAAUAUUUUUAAACUAAAAUUUGAAGAGAAAUUAAAACUAAAAUUUAAAAACUAAAAAUCGAUUGUUGUCUUUAAGAAUUUUAAAACUCAACCAAAAAUUACUCCAAACAUAAUCUUAGGGAUUUUACAUCAUUUUAUGAACCAAUGUAGAUCUUGCUAUUAUAGAAAGUAAACACUUUUUUACAUGAUUAAAAUAUAACCAAUAGAGAUCUCCUUUUUCCAACACCAAAUUUGCAGAUUCAUUCAGUCUUCUAUUUUAGAACAUUAAAUCUAAAGCACGUUCUUCACGCUGUAUGUAAAUCCACAAUCGAACCAUUCUCUACACCGGCCUCAAAGUCUCAAAAGUUGCAUCCGUCUUCCAAAUCGAUCCCAUCAUCACUCUUGUCACCUCAAACUCCGUCAACAUUUAGAAAAUGUAGCAGAUGUGGCAAAGUCACGCAAAUGCAGUUUGAUGAAGCAUAGAAAAGGACAAGAUUAAGAGAAAGCCCUCUAAGUUGGGAAUUGCUAAUAAAAAAGAAUAAUCAUAAAAUUGAAAUAUAUAAACAUGCACCAAAAUGAAAAAUAUAUAAUAGAAUCAUGACACAUAGCAGAGAUCAAGAAUAAGAAUUCCUAGAAAAGAUGGAAAAUGGUUCUGUGACUUUUCCAAAUUGACCCCAUCCCGCUUCUCAUUGUGAACACCAUAGACGUCUCUUCGAUUUCAUAAAUGUAGGAGACAGCAGAGUCACGCAGAUGCAAUUUGAUGAAGCCUGCAAGUUGAAAAUUGUUAAUAAAAAGAAUGAUCAUAAAAUCAAAUAUAUAUUUUUUUGUUGACUAUAAUAUUAAUUCGAAAUAGCUUUCGUUAAUGGAUAAUCUUUAUCGGAAGUUAUUGUUAUUGUUGUGGAGAAAGCUGGAGGCAAAUGCUGGGGAGACGGUCCUCAACCCCAUUUCUAUCCAGAUCUUGCACUUGAAGCAGAAUGCUUAUAGUAUUCAACAUUUUAGGUCUAUCUUUUCUUGUCAAUAUUUUUACAUAUUUGAUCAAUUCUGGCCUGAAAAUUGCUUACCACUUAUUGCACUCGACUGUGAAUUCAGAUAAACUUCAUUUAAUAACAAUGAAACAAAUAUGUAUUUGAUAUUUUUUCCUGCUUAUCAUCAACAUGAAUUGACAAGAACUAAUAUAUACCACUACAUAUAUAAACUUCAUUUUAAAAAAAAAAAUAUACAGCUCCAUGCAUGUAUCGAAAAAGUCGAUUUAUUGAUUUGUCUCGUUGGUUCAAACGAGAUCUUAUAAUUCUAACCCUACUAGUCAAAUUCAUCCACAACAAAUAAAAUUGAAGCCUGAUUCACGAAUUUAUGCAUAUUUAGUCACUAUCUGCUGGAGGGAAUCGAAUAGUUCUUGUAGCUUGCAAAGCAUAGCCAUAUGAUCUGACUGAGCCUUUAAUCUCUAGAACGUCAUUGAACCCAGCAUUUUGGAUCAUCCAGAGCUGAUAUUCCAAUGGAAUUGUAAGGUCCUCAGUGCAAACAAUAUACGCACGUGGAACUGACCCAUAUCCCUCUUUGGAGAAGUUCUUUUGUUUAGACAAGUCUUCGAUGAAGAGUGACGCUGGUCUUGCCAAAGUCUUGGCCAAUUUAAGGUCCUGCGAAAUUCAAUACGAUUUAAUUUAUUUUUAUUGAAAACUUCGAUACUUCGAAGACCUUUUAUUGAAGACCUUUUAACAUAUGAAAUGUUACCUGUACCAUAAAUUAUAUAUGCAAAAAUUUUUAUAAUUAAAUAGAAAAAGAAAAAAGAUAAAAAUAUUUUUGUAUAAAUUAUUGUAUGAAUAACACAUCUUGUUACUUUAGCUAGUAAUAGAAAAGGAUGUGAAGUAAAAAUAAUAAUAAUGGUGAAAAUUAGUGUAAUUUUCUUAAAGCUUCUUUUUCAAUAAUGAACAAGAUGUGAAAUAUAAUUGUGUGACAUAUGUGACUUAGAUGUAUAUAUUCACAAAAAGUUUAUAUAUUAGUGUCUAUUUUUGAAGGGCACAAUGCAAGCGAAUCAUAUUUGAUAGUUAUAAUUUCAAUAAUUGUCAUAUUAAUUAUCUUUAGAAAAAAAAGUUAUAAAGUUUAUGAUUGUGCUUACAUUAGAAACCAAUUACAAAUAUACAGAUAUUUUAUCUAAUAUUUAAUAAUCAUAGAUCAUAAAAUUUUUAAUAUUUGUUUCAGGUUAUAUUCUUCUUAAUUUUGACUUCGGCAUAAAGAAUAAUAAAAUAAAGAUUAAAGUUUUUCAACACAAAACUAUAUCUUUUCUUGGACAUAAGAUGGGUGGUGUUCAAGGUCUGGAGCAAAAGCUGUUAACAAAACACCAACUACUACCUUUGAAAUUUCUCAACUGCAAGGCUCGAAGUAUUCUGAGAAGGUAUCAACAUCUUCAAUUUUUUUCAUCUCAAUGCCAAAAGUUGCAACAUUACUACUAAAAAAAUGUAUUCCACGUCGACAAAUUUACAAUGGUUAUUGAAAAAUUGUCGUUAAAAAAAGAGUGAUAACAUUUUUGUAAUUAACCAAAGUCAUUAAAAAACCAUCAUUAAGAUUAAUGAAAUGACGAUUUUGAGAAAAUCGUGUUGGGACUCGUUAACAUUAUUAGUUAAUCUACGAUAGUUUUUCAAACCAUUCGUUGGUUGAGACUCACAUUCAACCCUUCAUAUUCUUAAUCUUCUUUCUCAUAACUUUGUGCCUUUUCUCUCUCUCAUAAUGGCCAAAAUAACUACCUCCUCUCUCGCUCAAUCUCCGUCAGGUUCCUCUGCCGCUACUCCUAAAGCCUUGCCGUCGCACCCAAAGCCUCUCUUCCAACCACCUCCUCUGCUUCCCCACCCCUUCCUCCUCCUCCUCCUCCAGCCCCACCACUUCCUCUGGCCUCGUUGUAGUCUGCGACGGACCUGCGGACGCCUACCAAUCUUGGCCCCAACAGCCACGGAUCUGUUGUCGCCGUUGCAUUCGUUGUUGCGGCCGCCUUGAUGAUGUAGAUCCAGUAGUUAGGGUUUUUAUUUUUACAAUAAAAAAGUACAGUACUAACAAAUUUAUCUCUAUGAUUGUGUAACAAUGUGGUGUACUACCCCCAACAGGAUCUUGAAGGGGUUGGAUUCGUUGGAAGGAGGGUACAAGAGCCGCAACCCUUUCUCUUGGAUCAAAGAAGCUGGUACAUAAAUUAAUUUUAGCUUGUGAGACAAAAAUCAAUUUAUUUUUUAUCUUCUUAUUUUCUGUUCUUGUAAAUACUUUUAGAAACUGUUUGGGAAAACGUUGUUCCUUAUUUUGUUUGGGCUUCUUGAUUUAAAAGAUUUAUAGAUAGAAAAAAGAAGAAGUAAGGUGACAAUAUGUAAGUGUGAAACUGAAAAUGAGAGUAGGAGAAUUUUUUAUCCUUGAAUCUUUUUUAUCUAUUAUUAUUAUUAUUAUUAUUAUUAUUAUUAUUAUUAUUAUUAUUAUUAUUAUUAUUAGUGUGAUAGUUAUCUUUGUUAUUCUGUGUUCAUUCUUUGAAAUUCAGGAGGAAAUUAAUGAGGAGGAUGUGAGACUAAUGGAAGCAUUCAUAUCGAAGCAGCAAAAAAACACUUGCAAACCUCAUUGUCCAAAGAAUAAAAGAAAAGGCUGCUUUUGUUGCUUCAGACAAUAUUUGACUGCGUUUUAUUUUCCUCUUGGUUUCGUUAUUUUUAAUUUUGGGGUUUUGAGUGUUUUUAGCAUGUUGUUCAGCCUGCUUGGAGAUUUUAUAUCUCACUCUUGUGUUUGUGAUAUUUUUGUGUGCAGAAAAUCGACCCGUUCCAAAAUUGGAUAAAUCCAUGAUUGAAAUAUACAAGAGGUAUGUAUAACUUCCAUUUCAAUUCUAUUAUAAAUGUGCGAGAGUGUACACAUGCACGGGAAACUACGGUAGUCAUAUCUUAAUUCCUCCAUUCGAAUUAUGACUUGAAUGGCUGUUAGAAGAGUAUGUUAAAGGACUGAGGAGCCUUAAAUGAUUCACACGAAAGAUGAAAGAUUAAUCGGUCUAAAGGAUCAAAAUUUGUUUAACGUCACAGGAUUUUAUAAAAAAACCAAAAACCUUAAUUAUGAUCCUUACCAAAGAAGAGCAUGCCAAAAUUUUCUUAGUGAUGUGCAGUACGUCCUCCCCAAGCAGGUGUAAGGUAUGUGUGGAAGUUGAUUUUUGUAGUCUACCAAUUGUUCUUCACUGCUGUUUCCCUCAUUUUCUUGUUGUUUAUGUAAGGUAUGUGCGGCAGGUUUCAUUUCUUGUCGCACACUUUUGUUCUUUACAGCUGUUCUCAAGGUCGUAUCUAGAUUUUUUAAGACUUUAACCAAAAUUUAUAUUUGUAACUAAUUUAAUACUAUAAUUUAACAAAUUUUAUUUAAUUUUUUAUGACUGGAAAAUUAUUAAUCAAAAUUUUAUAAUUAAGUAUUUCUAAUAAUUUGAUCCCUUCUCAUACCCAAUAUAUAUAGCUAAUAUUCAUACAUUUUUAAUAUAUAUAUAUAUAGGACUAUUACGUACAACUUCGUAUAUAGUAAUUGUUUUAUAAAUUUACACAAAUCCGUGUGUGUAUAUGUGUAUAUAUAUAUAUAUAUAUAUAUAUAUAUAUAUAUAUAUAUAUAUAUAUAUAUAUAUAUAUAUAUAUAGGAAAUGUCACAUAAGUGGCCAUAUAUCAUACCGCUUUAUUUAUUUGUCUCGUGGUUUCAAACGAGAGAUCUUAUAAUAUUCUAUUACAAGUCAAAUUCAAACACAACAAAUAAAACUAAUUAAAGCAUGCUACGUGAAUUCAUGCAUAUUUAGUCGCUAUCUGCUGGAGGGAAUCAAAUAGUUCUUGUGGCUUGCAAAGCAUAGCCAUAUGGUCUGUGCCUUUGAUCUCUACAACUUCAUUGAACCCAACAUUUUGGAUCAUGAAGAGCUGAUAUUCCAAUGGAAUUGCAAGGUCCUCAGUGCAAACAAUAAAGGCACGUGGCACUGACCCAUAUCCCUCUUUGGAGAAGUUCUUUUGUUUAGUCAAGUCUUCCAUGAAGAGUGAUGAUGGCCUUAUUAAAGUCUUGGCCAAUUCAAAAUCCUGCAAAAUCCAAUCCUUAUUAAUUUGUUUUUUUUUUUUUUUUUUAAUUGAAGAGUCGAAACUUUGAAGACUUCCCAGCAUAUUACUUUAGCUAGUAGUAAUAGACAGCUAGAAAAUGAUGUAAUUAAUUGUUGCAACUAUCGUAACAUGUAAUUAAUUACCUCAAUUGGGGAUAGUUGGUAGAGCUUGUCGGACAAGAAGUUGGGGCCAAAGAACAUUGUUGUUUUGUUUCCACUUGGAGCAAAUUCAGUGUCUAACCAUGCAGCUAACGGGGUCCUCUCGCUGUACUAUUCAAGUGAAAAAUAAUAGUAAUGGUGAAGAUCGAUCGCUGUAAUUUUCUUACUUUUUUUUUUGGCAAUGAAUACUGAAUAGGAUGUGAAAUGGUGUCAUGUGUAUCGAUCAAUUCACAAAAGUGCAGGUAUUCGUGUCUAUUUUUUAUUGACAUAAUCAUUUGAUAGUCUAAAUUUAAUCAAAGAAGUUUAAUAUUAAUUCUCUUUAAAGAAGUUACAAAAUUGAUGGCCACGUAUAUUAAUGUAAUUCAAAAGAAACAAAAAGAAAAGGAAAUUUUAACGUAGAAGAAAAAUUGUCUAUGAUUAACAAUUUAAAAAUUAUUUGAAAUAUAAAAUUAAACGAUGAAUCAGCUAUCGUGUAAGAAAUGCUAUAAUAAAAUAUAUUCUUACAUAUAAGAACAAACAGUUAGAUUUAUAAAAUAAAAAUUAAUUCUCAAAAUAAAUGUAAUAUAAUUAUAAUUGUAAAUAGAAAAAAAAAAAGCUAACCCCUCUGGCUAUGAAAUUAACAGAAUGUUGUUAUAAAGGUAAAUGAUCUCACAUGAUUGGCGUCACAUUUUUGUUUUACGGAUGUGCACUCGAAUUGGAGAAUAAAUAGAUGAAAAAAAACAAAAAUAGAUAUGAAAAAUAAUAUAUAUACUAUAGAAUGAAGAGAAAAUAUAUAAAAAGUAUAUUAAUCAAGUAUUUAAUAUUUUAUAAUGAUCUAAGGAAGGAGUGUUCAUCAUGUUUUACUAUUUGUUUUUUACACCCUGUCCCCACUUCCUAUACUGCUCUCUUUGGCCAAAAAUUACAGUACAAAAGUCAAUUUAUCUGCUCCUACUUUCUACAUAUAGUAACAGAUCGAAAGUGUAAACUUAAGAUGUCCAAAGAUACGGUCGAUUUGGAAAUUAUAUUUGCCACAUUCACGCAGUGGUAAACCUGAAUCGUUAAAUAAAAAUUGGACGGUUUAUCUGUUUGUGUUUUGGCUGUUUAUUUUAAAUUUAACCUAUAAGUUAAAGACAAUCAUGAUUAAUUGACUGCAUGAAUGUGUUCAAAUUCUGACUACUGAGAAACUCUGGAUGUCUAUUUGAAACGUGAUUAUAUGAGCAAAGUUAAACUUCUAUUAUAUAUAUAUAUAUAUAUAUACCAAGGGUAUAGUUGUUGUGACUGGUGUGCGUGAAUUUUGUGUCCUUUAUUUUUGCCUCUUAUUUUCUAAAUUUAAAUAACAACAUAAAGAAUAAAAAAUAUAUUUUAGUCUAUCAAAGUUAAUAAUGAAAAAGUUAUAUAUAAGUGAUGUAAGAUAAAAAAAAGAAAAAAAAUAGUUAAAGAGAAAGUAUUUGUCCAGAAAUAAUUUCUUUUGCGUCUUAAAUAUUAAUUAAAGAACUAAUAAAAGAAAAAAUAGUUAUUUAAAAAAUUAUAAGAAAGUUUAAAAAUAAUCAUAAACAAUAUAAUUUUACAUAUUUUAAUAAAAAUAUUUUUUAUUUCAACUUUUUAAUCAGUAUCUUAAAGAUCAUUGUUAGUAUUUGUUUUUUCUCUUUUACAAAGGUAUUGAUAGUCACCUUCUUCCAUGGACACUUUGGCCCACGCAUGUAUCUUCAAUUAAUUAGUAUUGUUUAGCAGCAACAGCCCUUGUAUAUAGUUAUGAAAUUUGAUGAAAAUUUCCAGAACUAACCUCAAGAGACUAGUUGGAAGCAUACCUUUUCCAAGACAUAAGAUGGGUGGUGUUCAACGUCUGGAGCAAAAGCUGUUAGGAAAACACCAACUGCUACCUUUUCUGGAAAUUUCUCCAUGGCAAGUGCUAUGUUCAGCCCUCCAAAGCUGUGACCAACUAGAACUACCUUUUCAUUUGAGGGAAUUGUGUCCAAUAGAAACAACAAAGGCUCAGUAUACUGUGAAAAAGUGUCAACAUCUUCAAUUUUCUUCAUGUUGGCUCCAGAAGCUGCAAGGUCAAGCACUGUGACCUUGUGGCCAGCAGAUUCCAAGCGUGGCUUGAGCUUAUACCAACACCAUGCUCCAUGGCAUGCCCCAUGCACCAGCACAAAGUGCUUCUUAUCUAUACAAUUUUCUGAACCCAUGAUAUGGUUUCUUCUGAGGGUUGUAGUAGUUACUUUGCAUUCCUUAAUAGCUAUAUAUAUAACGUGAAAUGCGUCAGGUUUGGCAUCCCGUCCAGAAAAGUUCAAUUAUUGGCUUUGAAAAGUUAAACUACAUGUUUGGUUUUGUUUUUCGAUCAACUAAUUAAGAUGUAAUACACGUCCUGAUUACAAUUUUGAAAGCUCUAAUUUGAGUAAACGCUUAUUUUUCUUAUAAUUUUGGAUAAAUCAUGAUUUAGAAACAAUAAUAUAUAAAUUAUUAAAUAAAAUGAUUGUUAAGCUUAAAAUAAAUCUGAUAAGGAGACACUUGUUUAAUUACCGUUGUCUAGAAAAUAAGUUUUAUUGAAGAGUAAUGACACAAAAAUAUUUUUUUUAAUUUUUCUUUAUUGGAUUGUUUUUUCACAUCAAGUCCAUAUGAAAGGUCUUAUAUUAGAUUCACUGUGAUGCCCUCCUUUUACUCGACAUGCAGUACUCUAUUCAUAUUCUUUCAUACAAGUUUAGAAGGCUCUGCGACGCACUAAUUAGUACUUCGUACGUAUUUUAUUUGACAAUGAAAAUAUCCAGCAAAGUCCGCGUUGGCAUUGAAAUCAAACACAAUUAUUGCAAUUAAGAAGAGACUGAUGCAAGAUGGCAAAUUAAGAAGAGGUCCUUGUUUUAAAUGGUCGAUAUGCCUUUCAGUGAGACAGAAAAAAUUAAACGUGCUUUUCUUUUCAAAAAAUUAUUGUUGCUUUAAUAUUUUUUAUUGAAGACGUAAAAUAAUUGGAGAACAUACACCAUUUUAGCUUUUACUUUUGCAUAUAGUACUAAUAGUUUAUCAAUUCCUCCUUUCAAAAAAAAAAAUAGUUUAUCAAUUCCUCCUUUCAAAAAAAAAAAUAGUUUAUCAAUUCCUUAAUUAAAUAAUCACUAAACAUAUCUUUAUUGAUUACGCUCGUGUUUCAAAAGGAUCCACAAUCAUAAAAAAUCUACUUGUUGUAGCUUUUGCGUUUGUAUUUUUCUCAAAACGUAUUUUAAUUAUAAGAUGUUGUAAUAGAGUAUAAAUUCGUUCCCAACACGCACUACAUGAUUUCUUUAAUAAUUUGAUUUAAUUUGAUCCUAUUACUAUUUUCGUGUGGUUGGGUACGUAUAUGAACCAUACGAUUACACACGGCAGUGUGUGGGAUUGGCUUUCUUUAACAAAUAUAUAAGUGAACAUAAAAAACAAAUAUAAAAAAAAAGUUGUAAAGAGACGGCAGUCUUAAUGAGGGUUUUUUUCCCCAUAUACACCACCUCCUUCUAAUUAUUUCAAAUUUUAUUUUCUAAAAUACACCUAGCGGUAAUAGAUUUCAUGUAUAAAUUGAUCAUUAUUCUACUCUUUAAUAUCUCAAAAGAACAUUUAUUAGGAACUCGCAUUGGUAUUGAAGUAGGUCAUUGAAAAUAAACACCAGUUUAAUUGUGUUUGAUUGAUCUAUUUGGAAAAAUAAAUGUUAAUUUCGAGUUAACAAUGAUUUGAGUGCUUGUUUCUCCUAAGAAUGUUAUAAUAUUGAGAUUGAAUUUCGUUUGUGAAGGUAUAUUGUGUGGAAGUGUGUGGCUGUAUUGAGGGUGCUUGUUGUUAUUUAUAAUUGUUUGAAUAUUUGCUCCAUUGAUGUGUAUUGAAUUAUCAUAAGGUUAUAAUUAUUUUUUUGAUAGAGGCUUGUCUGUAAUCCAAUGUUGAUUGAGACAUGUCAUUUUUCCAAUUUUUUUAUCGAUAUAGUGCAUUAUGUUCUCAAUUUUGACUAUUAUUUCACCCUACUACUUGGUGUAGCAGUCCAUCAUUGUUUUCAGAGUUUAAUUUUAAAUUGUGAAUUGUCAAUUUAAUGUUAGUUUUGUUGGUGAGACAUCUAUUAUUUUUUUAAAGACUUAAUAAAUUGUAAAGUAUUGUCAAUUUCAAAUGUCAUUCUACUUUGAUACAUGGUGCACCAGACGUUUAUUAUUACUUUCACCCUUAAGUUUAAAUUGUGAGUUAUCAAUUCAAUGCCAUUUAUCUGUAAAUAGUAGAGACAUGAUUAAUUCGCACAUACUUAUAAAUUUAAGUGUUUGCGUUUUAAGGAGUUGUCAUUUUUUGUUAUUUUCAUUUUUAACAUAAAUUGAAACAAAUAAUUUAUUUCAUUACGUAAAAUAAGUAUUACAAAUAACAAUAGAACAAAGUAGGUAAUGCAAACUCACAAUGACAUAAUGUUAAAGCAAUAAACACUAACGUAGUACACCAUGGGAAAACUUCAAAACAGAAACAACUAACAGACGGAUCAUCCCUAGAUUACCAACCUCGUUUGAAUAUUGGUUCAUGAGAAAGAGACAUGUUACUAUUACUAUCAUGAUCUUUGACCCAACAAUUUGCAUUGCUCUCGUAUUCAUCUAAUAGGUCUUCAAGAUUGGAGGUUGAGUCAUGUUGGUUGUUUGAUGGGUUAUUGUUGUUACAAAUUAUGACAAAUAACUCCACAAAUGAUAGUGUUGGGUUGUUGUCAAGAAUGUUGAACAUCAUGAUCAUCUCCCAGAAUAAAACAUGUGUACAUAUGUGGUAGUCUUGGCUCAAAUAUGGGACAUCGAAAGUGAAAAUGUUGGAUAUGUUGGUGUAGUUAAAUGUUUGUUUUUGUUGAAGAAAUUCAACCAAUUGUGUAAGGGUUAAGACCUUGUUGACAAUAAAAGUUUUUGUAUUGUUACUAAUAAAGGUGAUGUCUGCAUUAGUGUUGUAGAUUUGAUCGUUGUAAUAAAUACAAACAUAUACAGUUGGGUGACAUAUAGUGAUAGGGAUUGAGAUGAAUAUGUGAAAGUUAUAUGAAUGUCUUCAGCUGGUAGUGAUAUUUAUAAAAUUUGUCAGUUGCGUGCAGUUGUUCACUGUGCAAUCACAUGCACCCGUAAAUGACACGUGAGUCUAUCUAACACAUGAUCUCGAGAUGCAAUAAGGGUUAGUGCAAUGAGUAGUAAUAAUAAAAAAUAGCUUGAAUCGUUCACACAAAUUUUUGUGUGUUGCAUGUCGGUGUUCACUGGUGCGAUCACAUGCAUUAAUAAUUGGCAUGCGAGUCGGGUCAGCAUAUGACCUCAACAUGCGAUAAGGAUUAGUGCGUUGUGCAGUAAUAAUAAAAAAACAACUUGAAUCAUUCUUACAAACUUUUUGGAUUCUUUGACGUGAAAACUAUGAAAUAAAUUUGUCACAAAUAUUUUUAAUGUAUUUGAGAUAAAUUUUAUAAAUUUCAUAACAUGACCACUUAAAUAUUGUUUUAAGGGUCGAAAAUAUUAUUUUUUUUGUUUACUAUUAAUUUGAGGUCGUUCUUGAUAAGUGAUGCGGAACAAUGUAAUCAACAGUCAUUAUGCAACGAACAAACUUUUGUUUGUGAUGUGAGUAGUUAUACAUUGUUCACUCAGAUGAACUAAUAACUGCAUUGAUGUGUGGAUCUUAAUAAUCUAUGUGGGCUCGAUGAAUGAUGCAGAACAGUGCGAUAAACAAUUAUGAUGCAAUGAACAAACUUUUUUUUGUGAUGUGCACAGGUGCACACCGUUCUCUCAUAUGUAUUGACAACCACAUUAACACAGAUCUCAAUAAUUCACAUGAACUCGAUAAAUGAUGUGGAACAGUGUACUUCUACCUAAUUUUCCGAUCUAACCCUCCCACCUAACUCUCUUUUCUAACUCUCCCACCAAACUAUCUAAUUAAAUUCUCCCAGCAAACUUUCUCACCCAAUAUAUAAUUUCAUCAUUUUGCAACUCAUCACACACAACAACAUUCUCACAAAAGUAACAUUUAUCCCUAACUCUCAUAUACCACUCACAUCCGCCAAACACCACUCAUGACUCCACGUAAAGAAUUAUCAAUUUUUAUUCACAACCAUGGUCAAAUUGCAACAUUCAUUUUUUUCCUGACAUAUGAAAAAUACAACUUCAUAUCUGUCUCGUCGUUGCAACCGAAUAUUAUUUUACUUGUAACAUCUCGUGGUUUCAAAUGAAUUCUCAUGAUUCAUGCAUAUUUAGUAGCUAUUUGGAGGAGAGAAUCACAUAGUUCUUGUGGCUUGCUAAUCAUAAGCAUAUGAUCUGCGCCUUUGAUCUCUAGAACUUCGACAUUGAUUCCAGCAUUUUGAAUCAUCCAAUGCUGGAAAUUCAAUGGAAUUUCCUGGUCCUCAGUGGAAACGAUAAAAGCAAGAGGAACUGACCCAUAUCCCUGUAUGGAAAAGUUUUUUUGUUGGGACAAGUCUUCAAUAAAAAGGGACCCUGGCCUUAUUAAAGUCUUGGCUAAUUCUAUAUCCUGCAAAAUCCAAUCCUUAUUUUUAUUUACGUAAGAGAAGAAAAAAAAGCAUGCCACUUUUUCGGCAAGCAAUAUAUGGACAAGGUUGUAAUAUGUAAUUACCUCAAUGGUGGAGGCUUGAUUGAGUUUAUUGGACAAGAAUUUGGGACCAAAAACAACUAUGGUUUUGUUUCCACUCUUGGAGAAUUCACUGUCCAACAAAUUCGUCGCUAGGGUACUCUCAAGGAGCUGUUGAAGGAAUAAAAAUGAUUAUAAUUGUAAUUUUCUUACCUUGUUUUUUCAUGCAUAUUAUCUAUUCAUCUAUCAACAUUCCAUUAUAUAAAAUAAAUAAUAUAAAUAUCUAACUCCAUCUUAAUCCAUAGAAUUAAUAUAAUAUUAUAAGAUCAUAUUACGUUCACCUAGCAAUUGAUAUAUUUAACAAAAAAAAUUAUAUUUAAUGUUUUAUGUGUAAAAUUCUUUUUAAUUCAACAACAAUUACAUAUCACAAGUGACAAUAAUCUUUGACUAAUGGAAUGAGAGACACUCCUCAUCUUGGACCCAAGAUCCGAGAACAAUGAAAACUCCAUCAUAUAGCAUUUUAACCAUUUAAUUAUAAGAAACAUAUCUGGACAUCCCCUCACUCAUAACUUACCCAAAUAAAUAAUCUUUAUUCAAUCUCUCCCAUUUUUCCCCGUCAUCCAAUUCGUUUCAAAACAAAUACACCACCCAAACUCCCCCACUAAAACAUUGUCCCAUUUUUCCAUCAUCCUGUAAUCAAGCCAGUUGUUUCCCACAUGAUGCUAUCCCAGCCUUUAGAUUUUUAUUUUUUUAACAGAUGCUCCCAUGUCUAUUUCUUUUUACUGCAUUUGUCUCAUAACCUUGAGGAAAUAGGUUCAAUGUGGGCUUGCCAAAAAAUGUUAGGAUGAACUUAGGGAGGUCGAAAUACACUCUCAAAUCUAAAUGGUGGCUAAAGAAUUAUAUUGGAUGAAGUUAGAUAUAUAUUUUACAAUUAAAAUGUAGCUUUUAUUUUAUUUCAGUUAAAAUAAUAUGAUGACACUUAGAUAAUUAUUAUCUAGGCCAGCCUGUUAUCUAUAUUGUUUGACAUCGUUUUGGGUUAUAUAAGUGUAUUGAUCUUUACCUAUUAUCAUCAACAGUUGUAGCUUUCUAACGGUUUGAAUAAGAGGGAUGCUCUAAUUGGGUUGAUGCAAGGAGAAAGAAAAAAUAAUGCUAAAUUAAUUUUUUAUCCUUUAAUUUAUUUUUUAAAUUCAAAUUGAUCAUCUAAUUUUUUUAAGAUUCAAUUUAAUUUUUUUAAUUUUUAAAGUAAUUUAAUUUGGUGCUACAUUAAAAAAUCUUCAAAGUGGGAAGUUUCAUUAUGAAGCCGCUCAGAAAAGCUAUGAUAUACGAGUAAUUAAAUAAUUCACUAGGAUACUCCUCUUAUAUACUAAUAAUUAACGAUCGAUAUAGAUACGGAGUAGGAAUAAUAUUUGUGGAGCACGCAAAUAUUUGGUGGGGUGCCAUUUCUGAAUGGUGCAUGCUUUAUUUAUUCUACUUUAUGCUCAUGCCAAUUUAUUCUACUUUAUCUCACUGCACCGACAAGACUCCUCCCACGGUUGAUUUUUCCUUCCGCAUGAGUCUUGAACUUUAGUACGUAAUUCUAUGCAGCAUCUGUAUUUUAUUUCACAAUAUUAUACUUCUUUCUAAUUUUUUUCAACAAACUUCAAAUGAAAAAUGAUUAAAUAACCUCAGAUAUAAACAUCAAAUUAUACUAAUCUAAUUUUAACGGUUAUUAUAUUAUUUUUAUAACCUGUGAUUUCUAUUAAUUCGUUAAAUUACAUUUUUAUUUAAUAAAAUUAAUUGAAAAGCUAACUCGUAAUGAAAAACUUAAAAGCUAAUUUAUUAAAUUAAAAAUGUUUGAUUUAAUUAUUAAAAUAAUUAAAAAUAUAAAAUAAUAAAAUAAACAUAUUUAUAUUCUACUAUUUUAUGCUAUAUUUUUUAUGUUAAAUAUUCUACUAUUAAUAUUAUAUUGUUUCUUAAAAUAUUUUUAAUCAAGUUUAUGAUAAUAUAAGAAAAUACAUAUAAGUAGAUAUUAUACUUGUAUUAUUUUAAUUAGUGUACUAGUUAAAAUAAAUCAUAUAUCAUCUAUUGUAAAAUUAUUCAAAAAAAAAUAAAAUACAACAUAUAGUGUUGAAAUAAUAAAUUAAAUUUAUAAGUGGUACAAUGGUUAAAAUAAAUAUUGUAACAUAAAAAAAUAUAAAAUAUAAUAACAAAAAAAUAAAUCUAUCAUUUAUCAUUAUCAAUGUCUUGAUUUAUAAUCCUAAAUAAAAUAAAUAGUAUAAUCAUUAAAUUAAGAAUGUAAUCAUAAUAUAAAAAAUAAAAUAAUCAAUCCCUAUGUUUCUUUUUUAUUGUUUUUCUUUUUUUACUCUCAAUGUGAAACAAAAUGGAAGGUCUGCAUGUUGAAGAAAAAGAUAAGACGACGAAACAAAUGAAUGAGUAAAAAAAGAAAAAUAAUAAAACUCUGAUUUAUUUAAAAAGAAUAAUAAAAGAAUUUGAUAAAUAUAUUAAAGAUAAAAAAGAAAAAGAUAUAUAAAAAAUAAAAACUAAUGUUUUAAAAAAUAUUACUUUAAAUAGAAUUUAAAAAAUAUAAACUAAUAAGAAAUUACUAAAAAAACAUUACUUAUUAAUUAUUGAACAAUCAAAUAAACUUUUCAACAAGUAAAAAAAUUAAAAACUAAAUAAAAUAUUUUGUCAAACAUAAAUUUAGUGCCUGAUUUGGUUGGCAUGCAAACUUGCAGACUGUAUGGUUUAGUAGUCAUGAACAAAUCUCACCAUGCGGCUCUAAGCCCCACCGGCCUGGUGAAGCAAACCACCGCCGGUUGGAGCCACUAUUGAUGGAGGAAAUGUCACCGGAGGCCGGAGCUUGGGAGGCUUUCAAAAAUCAUUGGUGUUGAGUAUGGAUGAAAAAUUGAAAAUGGCGGACGCUAAUAACUUUGAGUUGAAUAUAUAACAUUCAGAUUAAAAGGACAUUUUUCACAUGAAUUGUAGCAAUUUAAACUGAUCAGAAUGACAGUUAAAAUUUAUUGAUACUCUUAAGUCUUAAUUAAUUAUAGCAGUUUAUUAUAUACUGAUCAGUUUUCAUAUUAUUGUUUUUUUAUAACAUUGCAUCUUGCGUCGGGUGAAAAAAAUAAAGGAAUUUUUUUAUGAAGUAUACUAAAGAUGAGGCUGAGAAGCAAACCUUUUCCAAGACAUAGGAUGGCUUGUGUUCAAUGUCUGGAAUUAUAGCUGUUACGAAAACACCAACUGCAACCUUUUCUGGGAACUUUUCCAUUGCAAGUGCUAUGUUGAGCCCCCCAAGACUGUGACCAACUAGAACUACCUUCUUAUUUGGGGGAAUUGUGGCCAUUAGCUGCAACAAAGGCUCAGUGUACUGUGAGAAAGUGUCAACAUCUUCAAUUUUCUUCAUGUUGGUUCCAGAAGCUGCAAGGUCGAGCACUGUGACCUUGUGCCCUGCAGAUUCCAAGCGUGGCUUGAGCUUAUACCAAAGCCAAGCUCCAUAGCAAGCCCCAUGCACCAGAACAUAGUGCUUCGGCUUCCUAUCUAUACUAUUUUUUGAACUCAUGAUGAUUUCUUCUUCUUAGGGUUGUAGUGAUUACUACUUUGUACCUCUCCUGGCUAUAUAUAGACACUGAAAUGGGUCGAGGUUUCUUUUUUGUCUAGAGAUUAAUAGCCGAAUUAUUCGCUUUGAAUACUCAAAUACAUGUUUGGAUUUUUUUUCCACAUAUAAUGCAGGUUUAGAUUACAAUUUGGAGGCUCUAAUUUAGGGGAAAAGGAUUAUAUUUCGCAUUAUCUUAACAAAUCUUGGUUUAGAAACUUUCGACUGAAAUUCAAAUUCGCUAUUAAUUAAUUAUUACAUAACAACGAUCUGCCAUAAAAUUAUGAGAAAACGAAUUAUAUACUAAUAGGGUGAAAAAUUAUACUCGCAACUUUUAAAAUAUGAUGAGUUUAUUGACUUAAAUAAUCAUAACUUUUAAAGAAUUAUACAUUAAAAAAGAAUUAUAUAUUAUAAAUUUAUUAAUUUUUAAAAUAAUUAUUUUAAAAUAAUUUAAUUGAUGAUUUAUGAUUAAAUGAUAAUGUAAAAUUAUUUUAUAUUAUCUGUGUAUAAACAUUAAACUCUAAAAUUAUUAAGUAAAUAAUGUUUUAUCUUAAAAUAAAUUAAUUCAUGCACACUUAUAUUUUAGCUUGCAUAAUUCACAAAUUACAUCUUAUAAAUUUUGGUCAAUCAAGUUUAAUUAAAUGGGGUGAAAAUUAUAGUGAGAACUGGAUAGAAUUAAAUGACAUUCUUGUUAGGAUCGAUAAAUUUAUUCCGGCAACUGCUAAGUUUUUGGCAAUAUAUGAAGAUAUCCAGAAAAGUUUUUGGCAAUGAUUUUCUAUUCGAAAUCAAACAAUUAUUGCAAUUAAGAAAAGACUAAUGCAAAAUGACAAAGAGUUCAGGAUGCAACUAUCCAUGCUUUUAAACGGUUGAUGGUGCAGCAAUGCUGUCUGACAAAAAAAACUUGCUUUUGUUCAAGAAAUUAUUGUUGCUUUUAACAUUUUUUAUUGAGAAAUAAUAAAAUAAUCGGAUAAUAAACACUAUAUUAGCUUUUACUUUUGCAAAUAAUAGUUUAUCGAUACCUUAAUUAAGUAAUCAUGAGGCAUAUCUUUGACAGAAAACAUGGUUUCCUUAUGUGUGAUCUUAUGAUUAACCUAGUGGUUGCGAGGUAAACCAUAAACAAAGCAGAGUGGUGGGAUUGGCUUUUCUUCAACAAAUAUUACAUAAAAUAUAUAAGCGGUACUGAGAGGCCAGACUCUAGGAUAAGAUGAAGGUUACGGCCGGCAAUGAUAUUUCAAUACCUUUUUUUUUUUUUUAAAAUACCUAACUAGCAUCUAUUAUUUCUUUUUCUUUUUCUUUUUUUAUCACAUGAUAAUAAUUAUAAUAUUUCUCUUUGUCUCUCAUUUUUUUCUUUUUUCACUAGGUAUUAAUUACUUGGCAUUUUGAAUGUUCAAUUUCAAGUAUUAUUUAAAAGAUGAAAUUAAUGAUUUAUCAUGGCUGCCAUUAUGAUUUAUGAAGUUAGGAUUUGUCCGAACAAUAUUAUUGUAUAGCCUUUGUCACUAGCUACAUGGGCUCUACGUACGUGUUUGGAUUGUUGGGUAGCGAUUAGAGAUCACCAGGGAUAUAGAUUUGGGGACCAAAAUAUAACUUUAUAUAUAAUAUUAUUUUUAUGGAUUUAAUUGUUAAAUUAGAAAUAUAUUAUUAUUUAAAUUAUUUAUGUUAAAUCUCAUUAAAAUUACAAUACAAUUAAAUAUUGUUUAUAUUUUUAUAUUUUAGAUGUGACGAAAUGUUUCAAUCUAAGAUAAAUUAAUAGAGUUGAUAAAAAUAAUCAUGCGUGUAAGCUGACGAGUUUUCAUAAUUUUUAUUUUGUGAUAUAUGUUGCACUUGCGUGGGGUGAAAAAACUAACGAAAUUUUAUAGAAGUGUGCUCAAGAGGCUGAGAAGCAAACCUUUUCCACGACAUAGGAUGGCUUGUGGUCAGUGUCUGGAGCUAAAGCUGUUAAGAAAUUGAAUUUUUUAUUAUAUAAAUAUUUAAUAUAUCUUGAUAUGAUGAAACUGUUAUUUAAGGAAACAAAUUAUAUAAUUUUUUAUUUAAAGGAAUUAGGUUAAUUCUAAAAAAUAAUAAAUAUUUUUAUAUUUUAUUACUUGUUAAUUAAUUUUUUAUGAUUGUGCAUAAGAAUGAGGUGUGAGGUCUAUGCUGAUUCCAAGAACAUCUCAAAAAAAAAGAGUUAUUAAACUAGCAUAUCUUGGUGUCUAAAGGCUUUUCGCCUAUAAAGAUAUUGGAAGUGUUAUUGUACGUAAUCUUAUUCUUUACAUAUGUAAAAGGAUUGUAUCCAUAUUCAAACUCAUGAUCAAUAGAUUACCAAAGUAUAACUUUACCUUUGUUCUAAAUUAUAAAAUAAUUAUUACUCAUGAUCAAUCUAAGUACCAAGCCUACUCGAUCAUCAACAUGUCAUUCACAAAAUGAAAAAUCCAUGUUAGAAGCUAUUAUAUAUAUAUCUUUGGUUGAACUAAAUAAUUUUUCCUAGGUUGCUGAUCAUGGUUGAGUUUUAAUUUCCCAUCUGCAGUGGAGACACUGAUUCAGUAGUUCCUGUAACCGCGUCUUGGUAUUCAAUUCGUGCCUUGAACCUAUCUACCAUCAUCAAUUGGUACGUUUGGUAUGAUAAUGACGAGGUUGGUGCUACCUUUGAGAAUGACACCAAAUGAAUCUGUUAUUAUAACUUAUGUUUUUGCAAUUCUAUUAGUAUUAUGUAUAUAUGUGCUGAGGAUCCUUUCGUUUAUGUAUGAAGAGGUUGGUGGCUGGAGUCAAGUUUAUGAAGGGCUUACAUUGGUUACAGUAAGAGGGGCAGGGCACGAGGUUCCACUUCAUAAACCCCGCCAAGGUUUUACUCUUUUUAAGUCAUUCUUGGAGAACAAGAACAUGCCAUUGCCAAUUGAUAGCAAGCUUAGUGGCCCAACUCAAUCACUGAACAAGAACAUUCGAUUGGCUAGGCCCAUACGCAAGAUCACUAUGCCAUCAUCGGUGCAGGGCUUCUUUACUUAUUAGAUUUAAUUUCUAAGAAAACACCCUUUUCUAGACCUAGAUAUGUAGGAAGGGGAUUUCCUUAAGGGAAAUCGUAAGUGUAUGAUCCUUAGUAAUAAAAUUUAUAAGAUCGUAUCUACAGGGGUUGCGUAUUUGAAUUUGUAAUUAUGGCACAUUGAUUGAGGUUAAACAAAUAGAUUGAUAAUAAUUUCAUAUUGAAAGGAAUUAAGUACAAGAAAAGGGUAGGUUAAGAUUGAACAAACAUUUUAAAAAGAUAAAAUUAGUGAUAUAAAAAUAUCUAAGAUUGGGGGUUCAUACAACGAUUUCAUAAUUGAAUAAUUGUUUUACCUAAAGCCUUAUUCGAUUCUCAUUGAAGGUGAAUCAAUCUAAGGUAUCCUAUAUAUUUUCUCUCUCUAAUUUAAUUCUCCACUACUCUCUUGCCAACUAUGUUGAAUUAAAUUAUUUACGUAUUAUAUGUUAAUUCAUUUGGUCUUUGAAGGGAUAAACUUACUCUUGUGAUUCAAAAACUUAAGUCUUUUUGACAAAUUUUCCUAUUUAGCCGAACAAAAAAUCUAAUUCCCCCAACUAGCAAAACCGAAUUCACACCCCCUCCUCCCUUUACUUUUUUUUAAACAGGUUAGGAAUUCGGGUGAGCAAAACCCGAAUUCUGACCCUGUUUUUCUUUUCUUUUUUUAACUAAUGUACUUUUGUUAAAUUAAAAAAUAAAAUUAAUUUAUAUUUUGUUAAAUUAUAAAAUAUGAUUAAUCUAAAUGGUUGAUGUAAGAUUUUAUUGUGUUCAUAUGAGUGAGAAUGAUUUAUUUAGUGGAAAAAUCUACGUUGAAUUCUUACUGAGUUCAAAAUUUUCUUUAGUCAACGGCAACCAUACACCUCACUUAAGGUUAGUCUUUAAUCCAGUAAGUUGAAAAACACCCGUCAUCUCGAACCCAAACAAAAAAAUUAAAAAUAUAAUUAAUGUAAAUUUAAAACAAAAUUUAUAUUAAAUAUUAAUAUUCUCUUUCUAUUAUUAAUAAAACAAAAUUUAUAAUAAAAUUAUUUACAAAGGGAGAAGAAAAUAACCAAUUUUUUAAUAAUUUAAUUUUUAAAUAAAUUUAUGAUAAAUAACCAAGUUUUUCUGAUAAUCUAGUUUCUCAAAGAUGAAAAACUCAAAUUGAGGCCUUGAAUAUGAAAAAUAUACAACAAAUUAGUUUGUAGACAAUUUAAUGCCAAAUUAAUACCUAAAUUUUACAAUUUAAUGUCAAAUUGGUUAUUAAAAAAUAAAAUUUAUUGUUAAAUUGGUCAUUAAAAAUUAUAAUUUGAUGAUAAAAUGGUCUUACAAAUUUAACAAUAUGAUUAAUUUUAUUGUAUUUUUUUACAUUUAACAACUAAAUUUUUAUUUAACAUUUUUAUAGAAUAAUUUAUCAAUGUUUUACACUUUCAAAAGGGAAUUUUAUUAUUUAUCCUAAAUUUUAUUAUUUUAAAAUGCUUUAAAAUACAAUAUUUUUUUAUUAAUUUUAAUUAUUAAAUAUUUUAAUUAAAAAAUAUUUAAAAAUAAUAAUAAUAAUACAUUUAACAAAAUAUAAUUUUAUUUUAUUUUUUAAUUUAACAAAAAUACAUUAGUUUAGAAAAAAGUCAGAAUUCGGGUGUGCAUCAGGUUUUUCCAAUACCGAAUUCACACCUUAAACAGUAAAAAUAGCUAAUUAGGUAAAUAAAGAAUAAAAGUAGCUAGUUGGGGAAAUUGGAUUUUUUAUUUGGCUAAAUAGGAAAAUUGUCAGUCUUUUUCCCACGAAAUCACCUAUUAGUUUCACCUUUUAGUUGUUCGCUAAGCAUUUAAUAUAUAGAAGACUAUACAAAACAAUGAUUAAUCAUCUCACGUAGACAAGCAAUAAGAAAUAAGCAAUUUCAAAAAAGUUUAGCUUAAUUUAUUAAAUAAGAUGAAUAAGUUAUUAUAAAUCUUUUUAAUUCUCACAAAAGGUACUAUUUUUUAUACUUAAAUAUGUGUUUUAAUCCCUUAAAUUUGGGUCAUUCAUUUUUUGUCCUUCAAACUUAAAGUUAUUUUUUUAACUCCUGAAAUUCGCAUAAUAAUAUUUUUAGUUCCUCUUCACAUAUGUAAAAAAUAGAUAAUAAGAGAUUCACGAUUUGUGGAGAUUUUUGACAGUUAAAAAAUUGAUUUUCUAUUUUAAAGUAUAAUUUCCGUCGGUUUAAAAACAUGAUAAUCAAAUCAAUAAAAAAAUUUAAGUUCAAAUAAUAAUUCAUACUUUUAAAUUUACAAAAGAAAAUUAAAUUUUGACAAUAAAAAACGUCACAAAUAGCAAAUUUCUUAUUUUUCUUUUGACUUUGUGGAGAGGAACUAAAAAAAAUAUUAUGUGAAUUUUAAAAACUAAAAAAAAACUUUAAAUUUAGAUUUAAAAAAAUAAAUUUGAGGACCAAAUAUUUAUUUAACUCUUUUUUUUAUAACAAAUAAACUCAAAACACCACAUGAACAAAAACUUUAAUUAACGCUUGUAAUUGGGUUGGACUUAAUCUUUCACUUUAUUUUUUUUUUUCUUUACUCUGUAGUCUGUAGGUAAUUUUUCUUUUAUGAGACGAACCAAGAUUUGGAGUUUUCUUUAGAGCAGGAUUACCUUUAUUUGUUGACAAAAGAGAUGGUCCGUAGUGCGUAAUUUGAUAUACGAUGUACAGUCUCCCAAUUAUGUCCUGGUAAUCUCCCAAAAGAUAUGUUAAUAAGUAGCACCCAUUGCAUUUACGUUAUCAAGUUCUGGGAUGAAGUAUCAGCCUUAUCUGUUUGAGGUGGGUGAGUUGAGGCCCACUGGUAGAUCAUUCUAUCAAUUGAUCAAAAUAUACGUAAUGAGAAUCCAGUUCUUGUCAUUGACGAAUAAUAACUUGGUGACCCAGUACAUGUGAGUUAGAGAGGAUGAAAAAAGGGACGGCGUCAUUGAUUCAUAUAUCAUUCUAUUUAGAUAAAUUUAUUUAAUAAAUUCUUAUAAGAGAAAAAGUUUAAAAAAUAUAUAAAAUUUCUUUAUACAUUAAAAUCACUCUAUACAUAUUAAUUUAUAUAGAAAAAAAAAACAAAAUAUACAGUUAAUUCCUGUUAUAUAUGUUUCUUUAUUUAUAAAUAUUAUUAAAAAAAAUUAACUUCGCUAUACUCAUCUAAGAAUAUAACACAAUACUGGACCCAUAUGGUUUUGGUCUAUCUCUCUAAAGCAUCACUGAUAUAUUACGCAAAAGGCCUUUAGUUGUUCCAAAUUCUUUUCUUGCCUUUUUUAAAUGCAAAAAGAAUUGAUUCCCCGACAAAUUGUCUUAUUACAUCAGUUACGUACGGGUAAAUAUGAAUACCCUGUUAUUUAUCACUGAAAUAUAUAUAGAAUAAUUGAGUUCUCUUUUUAAAUUGAAUUAGAUUUUAUUAAAAAAAAAUGUUGUAGUGUAACACUAUCUUUUUUAAUUAGAUUUAACUAGGUUACCUUUCUUUGUUUUUUUUUUUUUAUUAGGUCGGGUUGACAUGCAUGUUAGCUAGAUUAAAUUCAUGAUAAGCCGCAUUGUAAAUAUAAGAGUAUAUACAUGAUUUACAAGACAACGAGCUAUCACUUUACCAUAGAUCAGAAAGUUGCUUUUCCCAUUUAUUAAUUUCUUCACAGUAGAUACUCUUUUAUUUUGGAUAUAUUCUCGCCACUUUCAGAGUAGCUUAAUAGCUAAGAAUGGGAAGUACAAUUCCACAGUCGUUAUCCCUCGAAAAAAAAUAUUAAUAUUAAGUUACGGAAUCUCCUAACACUGGAAAGCAUGCAUGUAGAAAAGGAGAUACGAAUGUUGAAAUUCUCAAAGCUUUACGUAUAGUGACAUAAACAAAUAAAAACAAAUGCUUCCAUCAUCCUUUUAAAAUAAGAAAAAUCACAAGCAUUGGAACCAAAACAAUAGGGAGAGAGAGAGAGAGAGAAAAGAGGGUGUGAGAUAUGCAACGUUUCAGCAACACGGUGAUAGGAUUCUUGAACUUUUUCACGCUCUUGGCAUCAAUACCCAUCAUAGGUGCGGGUCUAUGGAUGGCAAGGAGCACCACAACAUGUGAAAAUUUCUUCCAAACCCCACUUUUGGUGAUAGGCUUUGUUGUGCUUGUGAUUUCGCUAGCGGGUUUCAUAGGGGCAUGUUUUCAUGUGGCAUGGGCAUUGUGGGUGUACUUGGUGAUCAUGGUGUUCAUUAUAGCUGCCCUCUUAGGGUUUGCCGUUUUUGGCUUUGUUGUGACGGAACAGGGUGGGGGAGUGGAAGUGCCUGGUAGGGCUUACAAAGAGUAUCGUCUCGACCGUUAUUCGCCAUGGCUGAGGAAUAGGAUUAAGGAUCCUCAGUACUGGAGCACCAUUAGGAGCUGCAUUUUGGGGUCUAACACUUGUGCAAAGCUUGCCUUUUGGACCCCUCUUGAUUAUGUGCAGAGGGACAUGUCUCCCAUACAGGUACUAAGCAAAAAUUUUAACAUGUUAUUAUUCAUCUAAUAUGUUCAUUCGGUAUUUUAACAUGCAUUACCAUAAAUAAACAAUUAAAAAAUGUUGUAAACAGAAUAUGCAUGUGUUCAACUGUGUCUGUCAGGUGAGUAGACUGAAAAUAUACAUUACCUUCUGAAAUUUAUACAAGUAGCACUUUAUAUAAUAUAUAUAUUGUUUUUUUAAUAAUGAAUGCUAAUCGUAAUUAAUCAUGGGUUAAUAAUGCAUGCAGUCUGGAUGUUGUAAGCCACCCACAGGGUGCAGUUACAACGAGGAAACAGUGGUAGUGACACAAGAUCCGGACUGCUACCGUUGGAACAACGCCCCCACUCUGCUUUGCUACGAUUGCGACUCUUGCAAGGCUGGUGUGCUCGAAAACAUUAGAAGGGGCUGGCACAACAUCUCUGUUCUUAACGUUGUCGUUCUUGUGUUCCUCAUAGGCAUAUAUUCCAUUGCCUUUUGUGCUUUCAGGAAUGCCAGAAGAGCUCAAACUGAUUAUCCUCAUGGAGUAAACCGCAUGACCAAAGUUAAACCCAGAUGGGAUUACUAUUGGUGAGUCUAACAUUUACUUUUCAAUGUUGAUUAAUUUGGAACAUUUGACAUUUUAUAUUUAGCUUUAAAAAACACUAUCAACACACUUUUUAAUACAUUCUUUCAUUAAGACACACUUUUUUAUUAUUAGUUGUAAAUCACUGGAGUAAAAAAUUUGAUGGAUUUCACAUGUUUAAUGAACUUCACUCAUAGUUUAAUAAUUUCUAAUAAAUUUUAAUUUUAUGCACAAAAUAAAUCAGCUAAUAAUAAAUAAUGUACUUUAAAAAGAGUGUUAAAAUAUAUAUGUGUCGUUAAUAUUUCUCUUCUUUUUUUGGCUUUUUUUUUCUUGUUGGAUAAAAUUCACACGAGUCUCGUGACAUAGUGAGUCUCAUUUUUUUAUCAGAUGGACUUAGGUAUUCACAGAAAACUUAAAUACACAUCCUUAAGCUAUGUUAUUCUCUAAUUAGAAUUUCAGUAUUUCACCUUAGAAGUUUGCCGCAUAAUAAGGAUUUACAUUAAAAGUAAAAUUUUAAUUCUAAUUAGACAAUAAGACCAAAACAGUUAUAAGACUAUAUCUAACUUUUGUUCCAAAUUAGUGAAAUUCAGAUGAAUUUUAGUGAAUAGGAUUACAAGAGAUUGUCUGAAAAUGUUUUGCUAGAAUUCCUAAAAAAAUAUGGAUGGUCAAAAGAUUUCAAAAUAGUUUAAAGCAAAUGGAGCAUCUCCAAUGAUUUUGUAUUAUCUAUGUUAUUACUUUUCGCACAUAGAUUUAGUUGAAGCUUUGCAUGGAAAAAAAGGGGUUAGUAGAAUCUUUAAUUAUUUUCUUUGUUGGAAAUGUGAAUGACAAAUUUUCCAGCUUCUACAUGUGAAACCCAUAUACGAAGAUGCCCGGAUCUUUUGACUGACAAUAAACUAAUGCUUUUGGCCUCUGCUUUUUCUCGCAGUUGGAGAUGGUGGUAUAACAAGAAGGAGGAGCUUUUUUGAGCUCAUGCACCCAUCUCUUUGUGUUCUUGGGUAAUCAAAAGAGGGGACAAUUUACUGGUUUCGAUCUCAGUGAACGGUCACAGAAGAAUUCAAGGCCUUUGUUUUUACCGUCAUCUUGCUUUUGUACAAAUCAUUUAGCUUUAUGUCAAAAGAUUAUACCAAAUCUGUGCUUUCCCACUUUAUUUUAAUUUAUAAUUUUUUUUCUUUAAUUUAAUUUUUCAACUCCUAUCUUGGAAAGCUAAAAAAAAAAUCUGAAUACUCAGACUUAGUUCUUGGCCAAUAAAUACCCUGAGUUCACAAAAAAAAAAGUACAUUAAAAAUUGCAACUGUAAUAGAAUAAAAUAAUUCAAAAUCCCAACUUUUUAAUAAAGUCGAGUCGCUAAUUAAUGACACUAUGUAAGAUGAAUAUAUAUAUAUAUAUAUAUAUAUAUAUAUAUAUAUAUAUAUAUAUAUAUAUAUAUAUAUAUAUAAAAGAGCAAAAUUUCAUUAAUUAAGAUUAUAUAAACUUAAGUUAAACAUGCCCAAGUCAAGUCACCAAUCAUGGUGUGACAUUAUUGAUAAAUGAUAAAAUUUUGAGAGAGAAAGAAAACUAUAUUUCUCAUUAAUAUGAAAAUAUGAAUUUUCUCAACUAUUACAAGAAUAGAGAGAUCUAUAUAGAGAGUGUCUAUAAUACACUAACUUUAUCUUGGUUUUGUUUAAAUAUUACCCGUGUUUUUAAAUCCGUUAGAUCAAAGAUUAAUCUUAUUUGCAGUGUGUGACUCCUGUUGGUUCAAGAAAAUUUUACAUAUGGUGGAAAUCGAAUAUGAAUUCUUCUGCUAAAUAGAUUAUUUUUCAUUCAUGUGAAUUGAUAAAUCAUAAUUUAAUUUGAGUAAUAUUUUAUAUGAGUUUUCAUGUUAUUUCAUAUAUUUUAUUGAUAGAAUUCACAUUUGAACAUUAGUUUAAACUCAUGUUUGAAUAUUAGUUUUUACCAUAUAGAAAUAUAAUCACUUAAUCAAGUGAAAAGUUAAAAAAUACACCAUUUCAUGAAGAUCUUAUGUUAAUUUCACUUGAUAAUGAUCAUGGUACAUUGAUUACGACCAUGGUCAACCAAGAAGAUCAUGGUCAAUCAUGAAAAUUUUUGUCAUUUCACAACAUCUCAAACUCCAGUACUAAGAUUUUGAUAAUUUUCGUGGUGAAUAUCAUCUCGACCAUAAUAAAUUUAAUUAAGGAAACUAUUUUUAGACUUUCUUUUUCUUAAUCUCUUAAAAAAUUUAUUGGAAAAGUAUAGUUGUACCUAAAUUUAAAUAAAAAAGUUAUCGUAUGAUAAUAAUUCCAUUAUAGUUUAAAGAAAAAAUGUAUAUGAGAAAUUAGAACAUAAAGAAACCGAGUUCUGAUCUAUAUAUAUUAAGAGGCAGUCAAAUCAAAUGGUAUUGGUAUCUGGUAUGGAUACAUUAAAACAACUCUUAAAAUUAAGGUGAAAUAGCAAUGUUGUCCAUUGUUAUAGAAAGUUUUGAUGGAUGAUUUUGCAUUUGCAGGGAAAAGUUGCUUUUGUUUCAGCAUAUGGGAUUCACCAGCUCCAUAUAUUCAUCUUUAUGCUAGCUGUUUUUCAUAUCCUACAAUGCAUUGUAACACUAGCUUUGGGAAGAACUAAGUAAUAAUACUCUUUCCUUUUCACCUCAAAUAUACUCCAUUCUUUAUUUUCGGAACUUAUGGCUUUAAUUUGUCGAUCUGUCUCAAUUCAUUGUCUGCUUCAAUAAUGGAUGCAGAUGAGACGCUUGAAGAAGUGAGAAAAUGAAACAAAGACAAUUGAAUAUCAAUUCUAUAAUGGUAAGACUUCAAAAUUUCUUGUCUCUACAUUCCUACAUAUUAAUUAAUACAAUUUUGGCCUACGCAUUUGCUAGUUGCCGAAGUUGAUAAUGCCAAUGAUUCCCUACUCUGCGUUUACUUUAUGCAACGAGACAAAACACCACAUGUCACAAGAUCAAAUUAAAAAUUGGCGUCAUGCGUGGAGGUCGACUUUCAUAUAGAUUUGAUAAGAUUUUUAGGUUUUAGAUAUAUUAUCCUUUCUCACGUUUUAUUAAUAUACUUCCUAUUAUAGUAUUAUUAGAUAAAUUUCACAUAAAUCAAACUAAAUAGUAAAUAGUAUAAAAUGUAUUGUUAAUAUUCAUUUAUUAAAAGUUUGUAGCAAAAAUAGUAAAGUAAUAUUCACUGUCAAAAAAUAGGAAACGCCUCAAUGAUUUUUUUUUUUUGGAGAAAGGAAACGUAUCAUUGAUAAAAUAUAAGAAAAUUGCAUAUAUUAACUAGAUAGUGAAACUACAGUUAUAUGUAUUUCCCGUAAUUAAAUAUUACGUGCUAAUUAAUUUUUUAAAUGUAUCAAAUAAUGACUUCUAAAAAGGAUUAAAAGUUACACUACAUAGUAUACUUCAACAUUAAUGUAACUUUGUAAGUCACUGUAUAUCUAUGAGAAGACAUAACAUUUUGGUCCCAUGCUUCUUCAUGGUGAAUACUUUCGGUCAUAUACCCAUAUUAGGGUCGGCAUGACGAGGGUUUAAGUAAUACUAUGCAUGGAUCAUAAAUUCUAACUUUGGUGUAACUAUAGUAUUGCAUAUCCUGAGAGGUUCAGGCUUGCAAAGGACACAACAUUUGGACAAAGGCACUUGAAUACGUGGAGUCAGUCAUCAAUUUCCUUAUGGAUAGCAAGGACAUAUUUAUAGAGAAAAAAAAAAUGAUAAAUCUCUUCAAUUAGCCUUUAGCUAAAGUCUGAAUUUCGAGUUUUUUGUUUGUUACUGACACGUAAAUUAAUUUCAAAGUUUCUCAUUAUGCUUUUGUACUCUGCUCGAAUCAGGCUAGCUUCUUCAGACAAUUCUCUGGAUCUGUUCAGAAAGUGACUAUUUCGCAUUACGGCAUGGAUUUAUCACAGUGAGUUGUACUUGUUUAAAAAUGGAAGUGUCAAAGUUUUCAGCACUUUUUCGUUGAAAAGACAUAUCCAAUAAUGUAACAUUUAAGAUAUGUGAUUUUAGGCACAUCUGGCUCCGGGAAGUGAUGCAAGAUUUGAUUUCCAGAAGUAUAUCAAAAGAUCACUUGAUGAAGAUUUUAAAGUUGUAGUGGGCAUAAUGUAUGGAUAUGUUCUGUUGCUUUAAUUUGCUUUAAUUUCAAUAACUUGAAAGAUAAAUGUUAGUAAUACAUUGUUUUAAAACUCUUUCCCACAUAUUCUGUCCGAACCAAAUUCAUGUGGUUCUCUCACUAUAUAUGUGUGUCCUCUUUUCCUAUGUGGUGGGUCUCAUUCAAAAAAUAGUUGGACUCAUAUACUGAGUAUUGCUAUCAUUCUUCCUUAACUUAAAUAUCAAAUUAAGCUCAACGUUUUUGUAACUUUGCAGUGCUAUUCCUGCUGACUAAUACUAGUGCUAAGCCAUAUUCAAGUUUUCAAUCUGAUUUGAAUAUGACAUGUUAGUCACGCUUGAUUGGUGUUUAUGUGGUUUUAGUUGAACAUUUUCUAAAUAAUGAAAUAUAAUAGUAAAUAUUGAUCAUUAAUUAUGUCAAUUACUGACGAUUUUUAUAUAAUUCAAUUCAAGGAAAGAAAUUGUUGUUUCGGUAUCACUAGACAUUUUAACAGACAAUGCUGUUUAACUUGGUGUAACAGACAUUCUCCUACUUCUUGUCACGCUCUUACAUUUCUGAACCAGCAAUCUCAAGCAGCUUAUUUGAGCAGAAAGAUAGAAAUUUUGAAUUUAUAGUUUAUUUGUAGUUUAACCUUUCGGUUCUAUGUUGACAGGGUGGUAUUCUUAUUAUUGGCUUCCAUUCAUCCCAUUAAUUGUAAGCACAGACUACUACUCAUUCUGUUAUUUCUUUUUUCUUAUUUUUUUGCUAGUUACAUUUCCUUUCUUGAUUAUAGAGUUCAAAUAGCUGAGUAAAUUUCAUAGGCAAUCUUACUAGUGGGUGCUAAGCUACAAAUGAUAACAAAGAUGGGACUGAGGAUUCAAGACAGAGGGGAAGUAUUCAAGGGUGCACCUGUGGUUGAGCCAGGAGAUGACCUGUUCUGGUUCAACCGUCCACGCUUCCUUCUCUUCAUCAUUCAUCUUGUUCUCUUUCAGGUAAUUUCACUAUUUCUUUUCCUAAAGUUAUGUCAUAUUAAGCACUAUAGUUUCCCAAAAAAUAAUUGUGUUUUGCUUCUAUUAUGAUGCAGAAUGCCUUUCAAUUAGCACAUUUUGCAUGGAGUACAGUAAGUCGAUCCAUCUUGAUCAGUUUUUCAUAAAUUUGUGCUUUACUGGUUCAUAUUGUUGAUUAGCACAACACUGAAGAAGAGGUUUACAAAGUUUAAGGAAAAAUAGACACUUCCAUGUUGAUUCUAUGGAAUUAGUAAUGUUUAGCUACAAGAAGAAAGUGAUCAGCAAGUUUUUCUAACUUUUCCCUAAUUUUUCUGUUUCAGUAUGAAUUCUCCAUAAACUCUUGCUUCCAUAAAACAACUAUAGAUACUAUCAUUAGACUUACAAUGGGGUAAGUCUUUUUGUUACCGAAAAAAAAGUACAAACACAUUUACAACCAUUUUUUGGAUAUUAGACAGUAAGUCAUUAAGGGUCCAUUUGAUUUGUCAAAACUAUGGUACUUGACAAGACAAAUAUUUUUGUUUUAUAUUUGAUUUGAAAAAGGAUCAGGGACAACACAAAUCAAGCAGAUGAGGAAAUCAAACGGACCCUGAGAGAUAUGUGUCACUGAUGAUGAAUUGGCAAUUUUAAUUUUCAGGGUUGUCAUACAAGUUCUAUGCAGCUAUGUGAUUUUGCCUCUUUAUGCUCUAGUCACACAAAAAUAAUCUGAUUUAGCAUUUUUUCCAUUACCAUACUACACAUAAUCGGCCACUAAUUUCAUUAUCUUUUGUUUCACAUUACAGAUGGCUUCAACCAUGAAACCCACCAUUUUCAAUGAUAGAGUAGCAGCAGCAUUGAAGAAAUGGCACCAUACUUCCAAAAAGCAUGUCAAACACCGCAAGCAUUCAGAGGGUAACAAUGCCACACCAUUCUCAAGCAGAUCAUCAACCCCAACAUUUGGCAUGUCUCCUAUUCACCUGCUGCACAGACACCUUGCUGGAAGAAGUGAGAGUGCACAAACUUCUCCAAGGAUAUCCAACUAUGAAAAUGAACAAUGUGAUGUGGAUGGUGAAGCUUCCACAAGCUACCAUCCAGGAACAGAUGAUACCCAAAUGCAAGUUCUGGGGCCUCAUUCAACAACAGAAUUGCGUAUUAGCACUAAACAUGACAUCAAUUUUAGUUCAUCAGAAUUUUCUUUUGAGAAGCGAAACACCAGAGGAGAUUAGAUUUGUACAGACAAUGUUGCUAACAAGUUCAAAUAUACAGCUUCAGUACAUAUAUAUCAAAUAAAUGUUACUACAUGAACGCAAUGCAAUGCAUUUGAAAAGUUAGGUAUAGUGUUGUUGAGGGAGCUAGAUUUGUAACAUUCAUUGAAAAAUUUGUGGAUGAAAUUUCAGGAUGGUAAAUAGUGAUAACAGGGCCCCAAACUCUAUUAAGAUUGUCUAACUAGCACAUAUAGUAACUCAUUAAAAGACACAAAUUUAGUAUUUAACGUGAUAAACAGAAUGUAAAGUUCAGGAUCAUUUUAAUAUUUUUUAGAUCUUAAAAAUUAAAUUGAUAGUGUCUCCAAAAGUGAAAGAUUAAUUUGAUACUUUUAUUAAAAAAAAAUAAAAAAAGAAAAAGUAUAAGGGUCCCCACAACUAAAAUAUGUUUCUAUAUUUAAUUCACGUUUUCUUUUUCCGGGGGCUUCUAGCAAUCUCAUAAUUUGCUUCUCAUUGAAAAUUUCACACAAUAUUCAAUUCUGAUACAAUCAAACUAAGACUUUUAAAACUCUAAAUCCAUAAUAUCGGGUCGUUAACGCAACCAUAUACAAAACCACUGCUCGGUGAUACUUUCGCCAUUUUUCAAUCUUCUGUAGACUGCAGUCAAAAUGAGACACAAUUCAGACCUCAAACUCCGUAACAAAGUCCAAUCCUGUUGAACAAAGACGUAGCUACAAUACAAACAUUAAUUUGCUUCCAAAAGGGUAUUAUUAUUUAUGUAAAAAAAAACAAAAAACGAAAAACUAGUACUUGAUUUGAUUCCCGUUUUAGAACUGGUCAAUGAAACUUAGCAAAUUUGGCGGUAACAGAUUUUCGUUAUCCAUGACCUCAAUCAAUCAUUUGUUACUAUUUGUUAGCAAUCCCUAUGAACGCCUAAAAUAAUUCCAAUUAACGAAAAACUAAUAUACAUUUGAGCCUUUGUUUAUCUACUAUUUUAAUAUCUCAAAACGUUCAGCACAAAAUAAUUUAAAAACUAUUUUGAAUUUGGCAUUGACAGACUUUUCAUAUUACACUUUUAUUUAUUUAUUCAAAUGAAGUGCUGCAUACGGCUUUUGAUGGUCCAAAGAAAGAAAUAGACUUUUAUGGUAAUUGAAUAUAUUAUAGUUUGCAUAAUUUUCUGUGUAACAUAUGUCACGGUAAUGAGUUCUUUUAUUUUUAAGAAAUAGUGUGUAUUAACAGUAUAAAACAAGUAUUUAUAAUGUUAUUUAAUUACAAUUUGUUAUAUAUAAUAAAUUGAUUAAUUUUUAUGAUAAUUAUUUUUAAAAUUAUUCUAAUAAUAUUUUUAAUUGAUUAACAAUGUAAAUUUUUUUAAUAGUGAAACGGUGAAACCUGAAAUUGGUCUCUUCUUUCUUCCAUUUGUUUACAUUAAUACAAGCGCCGUUUAUAAGAAACCAUUUACUUGUCAAUUUAGCAGAAGUUACCAGGAAAUGCUAGUCUGAUUGUCCUUUUAUUUUUAUUUUUUAUUCUUUGACUGUCUCUGCUAGUUCAAUUAGUACAGAUAAUAUUUUUUAUGAAGAUAAUUGUUUUAAAGCCUUGUAAAACUAUUAUAAGUAACAAAUUAUCUUUUCAAAUAUUUAUACACAUAUGCUAGUUUAAUUUUAAAGUUCAGUAAAAGUAUUCGAUAAAAAGAAAGGUAAAGCAUAUUGUCACUGAGGAUUACAGUUAUAAUAAUAAUAAUAAUAAUAAUAAUAAUAAUAAUAAUAAUAAUAAUAGUAGUAGUAGUAAUAAUAAUAAUAAUAAUAAUUUUAUUCUGCAUUUGAGUUAAAAAAAACUCUUGGAAGAGCACAAAUUAACCAGAGAAAGGGAGAAAAAUUCAAUUUUUUAUUGCUCAGAAACAUGUAACAGUUUUUUCUAUCUCAGCACAGAGUAUUUAAAAGACAUCCAUAUCUCACCUCUUUUGUUUCUAAGCCAUUAUCUCAUUAUCUGUUUAGCUGCAAUAACCAUCAUCAAGUCAAGUCAUGUAUUUUGAAUUCAUAUCGAUUAACUACUACAACCUUAUCUUAUCAUAUUUUAAAUUUAUAUUAUUUACUGGUUACAACAAUCUUAAAUUAUAUAUUUCAAAUUUACACUAUUGGUUAGUUAGCUUACUUAUAUGUACUUUAUAUUUUGAAUCUUCAUAAAAUAUAAUAAUAAUAUAAAUUAUAUUAAGAUAAUUAAUAUUAAAAAAAUAUUUUAAUAAAUUUGGUAUUAUUAUACUUGCAACUCAAAUAUUUAUUGUUAUUUUUUUAUCUUGUACAAAGGAAUAGAAACGUGUAGUAGAUAAUGUGAUUUAAUAUAAUAUAUAUAUAUAUAUAUAUAUAUAUAUAUAUAUAUAUAGAAGACAAAAAAAAAAAACUUGUGUAAAUACACGAAUAUAACAUUGUUUAAUUUUCUUAGAAUUGAUCUAUCUCCAUUUUCUUCUAACAUUUAAAUAAACUGUUGACCCGUGUUGGUAUAAGCAGUGUGGAUACUCUGCAACUUUGCGUCACCCUUCUGAUCUGCUCUCUUUAUUUGACUAAUCACCACCUUUGAACAUGUCUAACGUUGAUACUCCAACACGCUUAUCUCUUUCAUUAUUACAUGCUCUCGUAUAUAUAUUAACCAAUCCAUAAAGUGCAAGCACCCCCCUUCAUUUUAUUUCAUAGAAAUCUCCAAAUUUUUUGGAUAAAGCAUAGUCCCCUUUCUAUACUAUAGCUACACAAAAAUCUUCCGAAUCUUCGAUUAAGCUGUUUUUUUAGUCUUGGCAACGGUUGAGAAUAAUAGUUAGACAUGGCUGAGAAAACCCAAGUUUAUGAACGAACUCUGGAGGAAACACCAACAUGGGCUGUUGCGGUUGUGUGUUUUGUGCUGCUCGCUGUUUCAAUCGUCAUAGAACAUAUUAUUCAUGGUAUUGGAAAGGUAAUUAAACUAGGCUGGGGGGUUUAUGUUUUACUCAAAAGAUAUGCUUAUUAAUGCUGUUAUUUGUUAACCAUAAAGUAUAAUAAAGUUCUUAUGUAGUUAACCAUCAUUUAGUAUAAUAUGAAUAAUCAUCAAUAUAUCUAGUGUUAUUCAAGGUUUUAAAUAGUGGUGAUGCCAUGGCGGUUUUGUUGCGAUUCUUCUAUUUUAGGAAAUUGCGAACAAUGCAACAGAAACUCCAAAAACUUUAAUGUCGUGGCCGAAAUCGUGAUCGCAGACCCUUUAUUUUAAAACCUUUGCGUUAUUCUAUCUUUUUUGUGAUAUUCAAUAUUGAUAUUUCUAAUAUCUGCCUUGUACCUUGUUCUGUUCAACCCUGACCUCUUGGGGUGUAAUUUGCUACUUCUAAUUAUUGCAGUGGUUCAAAAAGAAACACAAAAAUGCUCUUUUUGAAGCCUUGGAAAAGGUGAAAGGAGGUACUUUUGCUCUUCUAUAAUUCAUGGUUGAAUUCUUGUUAUAGUUGAUGCUGAAUUUGAGUUUCUAAUUAGAAACAAAUUUCUUUGACAUUUUUCUGUUCAGAGCUUUUGCUGCUAGGAUUCCUAUCCUUGCUCCUAACUGUGUUGCAAGAUGAAAUUUCUAAGAUAUGCGUAUCAAAAAAUGUUGCAUCCACUUGGCAUCCAUGUGCCAACCCAAAGGCCCCAAAAACAUCUCAAUCCGAGGAUGAAUCUGAAGACUUUCAGAUCAAUUCUAGGAAACUCCUACAAUUUUAUGACCUCGUACCAAGGCGUGUUCUUGCUACAAAAGGAUACGACAAGUGCGAUGAAAAGGCAAGUAGAGCAUCUUCAUAAUUUGUGGCUUUUUGUUCCAUUGAAACUUUGAAAGAAAGAAGAACAAAUUGUCUAUAACAGGCUUCCGAAGAUAACAAAAAUAUUUUGUCAACCUGCUUAAAAAUUAGGAUUAAUUAAGUUUUUAUUCUCAAAGAUGUGAUUUUAAAUUUUUGGUUUCUAAAUUUUUUUUUUAAAUUUGGUUCUUAAAGAAUUUAUUAUUGUUUAAAAUAGUCUUUGUUGUUAGUGUCAUUUGUUAAAUGAUAAAGUAUCAUGAAACAAGAAAGAUUAAAUAUCGCUUAUAUGUUACAUACAUGACACACAAGUUUUAUUAUAUUUAAGUAAAUAAUUAAAAUAUUAUAUUAUUAAAAUGUAAAAGAAAUAUUUGUGAUUAUAGACAACUCAAUACUUAACAUGAAUUAUUAACUAUAGGAACUAUUUAUAAUAAUGAAAAAUUAUUUAAGGAUUAAAUAUUUUUAAAAAAUAGUUUAAGGAUAAAAAAUUAAAAAUUCCUAAAGUUUGAGGACUAAAAAUUUAAUUAACUCUAAAAAUUAUUAGGUGGUAUGCAUGUUAUCAUGAUUGUGACUAAUUUUCAUAUACAAUAUAAUUAAGUGUUAUUAUAAAUUAAAAUUUGAAUACAUAUUACUUAGAGAUUGAUUGAGUUCAUAAAUAUAAAAUACUCUUAAACUAUUUAAUAAUUUCUUGUGUAUAUCCAAAAGAGUGAAAGAAAUAUAUAUAAAAAAAUGUUAUAAUAUAAUAAUUUAUAUGGUAUGAGAUACAAGAAAAAAAUGUCUAACAAGUGUUUAUACCCUUAGAGUAUAAAAAUGAGAUUAAAGAUAUAAUUUAAAACAUCAAGGUGUUAUACAUAUGUUGAGAGAAAUACUAUUAGAAUAAUAUUAUUAAAAUGAUUCACACUUAAAAAUAACAUCCAUAAUUUUUUAUAUAUUUUAAAUUUUGGCCAGUCUUUUAUAUAUAUAUAUAUAUAUAUAUAUAUAUAUAUAUAUAUAUAUUAGUUGAUUAUUGUAGAUGGUUUUGAUCGAUGGGUGAUUUUGCAUUUACAGGGAAAAGUUGCUUUUGUUUCAGCAUAUGGGAUUCACCAGCUCCAUAUAUUCAUCUUUGUGCUAGCCAUUUUUCAUAUCCUGCAAUGCAUUGUAACACUGACUUUGGGAAGAACUAAGGUACUCCUCACUCAGUCCUCCCCCUGAUUUUGACUUCAAAGAUGCUCCAAACAAAGGCUAUAUAUAGUUUCAGAACUUGUGUGCGGGAUUUUUCUUUGUUGCUCUCUGUGUGAAUUAAUUCAUUGUUUGGUUCAAUGGAUGCAGAUGAGAAAGUGGAGGGCAUGGGAAAAUGAAACCAAGACUAUCGAAUAUCAAUUUUAUAACGGUAAGACUUCAUAAUUUCUUGCCUGAGUUAAAUCAAUUUUGUGUUACUCAUUUGUUAGCUAGGUGCCAGAUAAAGCCAAUGAUAUCGUAUUUUCUAUGCCAAGAUUUCAACCAUAUAUAUAUAUAUAUAUAUAUAUAUAUAUAUAUAUAUAUAUAUAUAUAUAUAUUAAUUGGCUUGAUAUACGUGAUAGCAUGGAGGUUGACUUUCUUACAGGUUUGAUAUGACUUUUAGGUGGAACACUGAGUCAUGCGUUUGUUUUGGAUGAGAAACAAAAACACUAUUUUUAAUUAUAGUACAUUAUUCGUUAGCAGGUCAAUUUUACAGAAUAAUUUGGAUUUUUUAUUUAUUUAGUGGAACUUAAUUACUUAAAAGUUAAAAUACACCAAACAAUAAAUUUAAUAUAAAUUAAAAUUAAAAGUGUGUUAUAAAUAUUUUUAUAAUAAUACUUUCAUUUUUUAUAAUGUGUAAUUUUUAUGUUGAUAAUUUUUAAAAUAUCAUAAUACUUGAUACAAUGACUUAUAGUGAUGAAAAUGUAGUAGCAAGAUAAGUAUAAAUUACUGCUAUCAAUUUCUAAAAAAAAAAAAAAUGCUGCUAUCAAUAGUCAAGAUAUUAAAGGUACCGAUAAUAACGUGUGGAAAAAUCUGCAUAUAUUAAUUCGAUAACGAAACUAAAUUUGUGUUUUUGACAUGAAACUACAUUUUUGUUAAAUGUAAAUCAUGACUUACACUGUUUUUUUUUGGAAUUUUUUAUGAUAAUUAUUAUAAAAAUUAUCGUAGAUAAUAAUUUCUUUACACCACUACUACAUGUACUAUUUACUCUAAUAAUUUUAUAUUAAAGACUAAAAGUUUAAAAUUUAAGAUUUUACUGCAAGAUAUAUAAUGGAACUCACUAUCUAUAGAGAGAAGUAGUAAGAAAAUAGUAGCCAUUGUUGGUUGGUUCCAUAGAAUCGGUCUCUUUUUUUGCUUUUUCGGCCAUUUUAUAUGGUCCAUCUCUCUUUUAUUCUUUAUUUUUUUAUAUAUAGUUAUAUGGUCCGUUUCUGAUUGUGCCGUUUAUAAAUGUAUACAUAUUGCAGAUCCUGAGAGGUUCAGGUUUGCAAGGGACACAACGUUUGGACGAAGGCACUUGAACUCUUGGAGUCAGUCAACAAUUUCCUUAUCCAUAGUAAGGUCACGUUUAUUAAACAUGAAUAAAAUAUGCUAAAAUUCCUCAAUUGAGUUAUUAAUUUCUCACAAGGAGACUAAUACGCCAUUAACCAAAUUUUGAAUUUCAAGUGUUUAAUUAAUUAGUGUGAUUAGUUUGUGACGUGUGAAUAAGUUAAUUUCCAAGUUUCUAACUAAUAUCUUUGUACGCUGCUCGAAUCAGGUUAGCUUCUUCCGACAAUUCUUUGGAUCUGUGAACAAAGUUGACUAUUUAACAUUACGACAUGGAUUCAUCACGGUGAGUUAUGAUUUAAAAAGUUCCUAAUUUCGAGACUUUUUUUGUUUUUGGGCAUUUCAAAAUGGAAAGACUAAGAUACUUGUUGUGAUUUUAGGCGCAUUUGGCACCGGGAAGUGAUGCAAGAUUUGAUUUCCAGAAGUACAUCGAAAGAUCACUUGAGGAGGAUUUUAAAGUAGUAGUGGGAAUAAGGUAUGGAUAUGUUCUGUUACAUUAAUUUGCGGAGUUUUUGUAAACUCCAUGAUACCAGUUCCUUCAUUCCUAUGAAUAAAAAAAAUAUAUUAAUUUUUGCUUUCAUUUACUUAACUAUCAAUUAUCAAUUUAAGCUCAAUCGUUUUGUAACUUGCAGCCCAAUCAUAUGGUUCUUUGCGGUGCUAUUCCUGCUGACUAAUACACAUGGUACGCAGUAUUCAAAUUUUUUAAUAAUGUAAUUUAAUUUAGUCUAUUAAAUUGCCCGCAUCACUCAAUUUGGUCCCCAAUGUUACAAAGAAGCAAAUUUAAUCUUUAUAAUUUUGGCAAUCAUUUAUCAAUUUAGGUUCUGUUUGUUUCAAAGUUGAGUAUAAAUGAUUUUAGUAGAAUUAAUUUUGAACUGUUGAACGUAAUUAACUAUGUGCUCUUCUACUUUUGUGCACCAGCAAUAUCAUGCAACUUAUUUGUGCAGAAAAUAUAAAUUCUAAAAUGUCCCAAACUUCCAAUUUAUCCUACUGAUCUUAGUUUAAAAUUUUUGUUCUGUGUGGACAGGGUGGUAUUCCUAUUAUUGGCUUCCAUUUAUCCCAUUAUUUGUAAGCACAGACUAAUACUCAUUCUGUUUAUGAUGCUUGUCUAUAUUUCCCUUCUUCAUGUAAGUGUAUAAAUAACUCAUUGUUAUAUUUAAUGUAAAUUUAACAGAUAAUCUUAUUAGUGGGUGCUAAGUUACAAAUGAUCAUAACAAAGAUGGGACUGAAGAUUACAGACAGAGGAGAAGUUGUCAAAGGUGCACCUGUGGUUGUGCCAGGUGAUGAUCUGUUCUGGUUCAACCGUCCUGGUCUCCUUCUAUUUUUGAUUCAUCUUGUGCUAUUUCAGGUAACAUCACUAUUUCUUUUUCUUAGAUUCUGUCAUUUAAGGAAUUCUUGUGCUCAGAAAAUAACUUAUGGUUGCUUCUUUGUUGCAGAAUGCUUUUCAACUGGCGUUUUUCUCUUGGAGUACUGUAAGUUUAUCCAUCUUGAUAAAGUUUUUCUUUAACAAUUUGUGCCUUAGUAGAUUAUAUUGGUUAUUGCUACAACAUUGAAGAAAAUUUUCGCAAUGCUUAACAUUAUGGUGAACCACUUUUAUGCAAAACUGUAAGAUUUUUCCUAACUUCAUAAUUUCUGUUUCAGUAUGAAUUCUCCAUAAACUCCUGCUUCCACGAAACAACAGAAGACAUUGUCAUAAGACUUGUAAUGGGGUAAGUUCAUUUCUGUUAUAAAAAGUGCAUCUUCCUAUAUAUAUAAAACAACCAUUAAUUAGUUUAUUAUAUAUAUAACUAACAAUUAAGUGGCAAUUUUAAUUUGCAGGGUUGUGAUACAAUUUCUGUGCAGCUAUGUGACCUUGCCUCUAUAUGCUCUAGUCACACAGGUCCACUUAUCCAUACAAGCAUAUAUAUAUAUAUAUAUUUGUUGUUGGGUUAAAUAUGUUUUAGUCUCUCAAAUUUUGGGAUCUCUCAUUUUUAGUCCUUCAAAUUAAAAUUUGUAAUUUUUUACUCUCUCAAACUCAUGAAAUGUUUUUUUCAAUCCUUACUGUGGUAAAAAAGCACCACGAAUUAGGAAUAAUAAAAAAACAUUUUGCAAAGUUGAAUGACUAGAAAAUGUAAAUUUUAAUUUGAGGAUUAAAAAGACAAACUUUAAAUAUGAGGGACUAAAAACAUAUUUCAGUCUUUUUUCUUUUACCAAACUAUAUAAUCAACCACUGAUUUUAUUUUGUUUUUGCAGAUGGGUUCAACCAUGAAGCCCACCAUCUUCAAUCAGAGAGUGGCAUCAGCACUGAAGAACUGGCACAACACUGCCAAGAAGCAUGUCAAAAACAGUAAGCACACCACUCCAUUCUCAAGCAGGCCAUCAACCCCUCAAUAUGGUAUGUCUCCAAUUCAUCUGCUACACAGACACCUUGCUGGAAGAAGUGAGAGUGCACAAACCUCUCCAAGAACAUCCAACUAUGAAAAUGAACAGUGGGAUGUUGAAGGCUCACCUUCCCCAAGCCACCAUGCAGUAGCUGCUGAAGAAACCCAGAUGCAAGUUUUUGAGCCAGGCUCAAGCUCAGCACCAGAAUUGCCUAUUAGCUCUCAACUUGAUAUCAGAGUUAGUUCAUCAGAGUUUUCCUUUGAGAAGAGACACACUGCUGAAAGUGAUUAGAUGUGUAGAUAUUGUUUUUAGUUAACCGGUUCAAAUGUACAGUUUCUGUACAUAUCAAAGUUUCAAAUGCAUGCAUGCUUUUGCUUCAAUGCGAAGCCAUGCAUUUGAAGAAUGAGGCAUAAUCUUUGAUUAUGGAGCACGAUUUUCUGAAUGAGGAGUGACACUUUGUUGAAGGCAUAAUUUGCUGUUGAAGUAAACCAAAGUAUAAUAAAGGAGAUUCAUGAAGUAAACAGCUAAAAAACGAUGAGUGUGUUUUCGAACCAGUUGUAUUGGCGUUGAAAAAAAAAUUCUCACAUUGUUUUAACUUUUGUGUGUUGGAGCAUGUAUUUUUCAUUAAAUGUAAGUUUCAACGCUUAAUCAAACAGACAUUAUAUCUAUAACGACAAAUGGAUAGAUUUGAAUUAUUAUGUCGGUUAGACCUUAAAAGUAGUAGGAUCUCCUUAACACAUAUACAUCAACUAUGCAUCACGUUUCAUGGUGGCGACUUUACAAUCCCUUAGCCCACAAUCCACUACAUAUGGAUCAUGGUAUGAAUAUGUUUAAGGGUUUUCCUCAGUGCAUCCAGCAGAUUUUGGAUAAUUCUAACAUUGUCAUUUCAUAAAGUUCAUACGGAUUACCCAUAGGAUUGUGAAUCCGUAAUUGAUUUAAAAUUAAUAGUCCAUGCAAAAUUUAAACAUGUGACUUUUGUGUUAUUAGUAUAACGCUCUAAUCAAUUGAAUUAAUAAAUAAAAUAAUUAAUGUGGUUAUAUAUAAUACUAAAAUUUCUAAUGUAUAUUUAAUAUACAUAUAAGUUUCACAUAAUAAAUUUUGAUUUAAUAAUAUAUCUUUUUACAAGCAUGAUUUGUAAAUAAAAAAUCAUAGGUUUAAUCAUGUAUAAGACAUUAUGAAUUUAUAAUCCAUAUGAGCUUUACGGAAGGACAAUGUUGGAAUAUACCAAAAUAUACUGGUGUACAAGAAAAUGAUUGGUCCAUGAAGAAAAACCCUAUGUUCAAUCAGUAGCAUCCACUUGAAGCAUGUCCAACCUAAUUAAAAGCCCACUAAAAGAUUUACACAAUUAAAUUUAGAAAUUUUGGUAUAGUUUAUUUUUUACUUCUUGGUAUAGUUAUUUUAUGGAUCAAUAGUUGAAUAAACUUUUAUUGACUGGUGUUCUUGAUAAAUUUUAAAGUUUUGCUUUUUAUCUCUAAUAUUUUUAAAAAGUAUAGAUUGGCCUUUAAUAUAAAAAAAAUUUUGUUUUAGAUUCCUAAUAAUAAAUUAAAGGAUGUAAUAAGGUCAGGUAAUGUACUUGAAAAACACUUCAGGCAUAAUGGAUUUACUUUCUUUCUUCAUUGGAUUAUACAUGGAGUCGCACUUUUGGGUUUGGGCAUGUAGGCCGUUUGCGUAACCCACAACUCACAAUAUACGGACUUUGAUUUUUUUUAGAUCAUAUGAAUUACGGGCUUUUUAUCCAGAUCCAUUUAAUCCGUGGGUUAAAUGAACUUAUUUUUUGGCUGCUGCGGGCUUUUUAUACUUUAUUUUAAUAAUAAUAAUAAUAAUAAUUUCAGUAGUUUAGUUUAGUAAAAAUAAAUAGUCUAAGAAAAGAAUGACAACUCAGGGGGAUAGAUUUAUGGUAAUUACUGGAAUAUUUCUGUCUCGAAUCAGUGGGCUUCUCCCGAAAAAAAUUCCAAUUUACCAUACUUUGUACAAAAGUGAAGAAGCAAUUUGUUAAAAAUAUAAAAUACGUAAAAAAUAAGCAAUUAUGUUUGUCAUUCUUCCUCCAUUUCAAUUGUAUAAAAUGAUAACAAAAGGAUUUUUAAUUUAAUUUUUAGUCAUUCUUUAUAAUUUGAUUUUUUUGACAAUUGUUUAACAUUUAAUUUAUAUUUUUGUGGAUGUGGGCUGGUUAAAACAGAAUCCGUUUAUGUUGUCAGCAUCUCGGGACAAGUUUUACGGGUAUGAGCUUAAACGAGCAUACUUACCCGCAUAUUCAACUCUAAUUAUAUGUAUGGCACAUAUUUCAGUUUUAGUUCAAAUCAAGACGAUGGUUGGCCUGCAAAUACUGAACCAAAUUAAGUAAUAAAGGUUAUUCAUGAAGUAAAUCAAUAGAAAACAUCUAUAAUGUUAAAUGGAUAUAUUUGAAUUAUUAUGUGGAAUUGGGAGUAGUAGAAUCUCCUUGUACCAAUUUGGUGACUAAAGUAUAAAAUUAAAUUUAAAAGACUAAAUUAAAAUUUUAAAAAAUCAUAUAAAUUACCAAAAUUCCAUUAUUAAACAGUCAAUAUCAUCUUUGCUCACAUUGAUGUAGUUAAUCUUUUAAUGUUCUCACUUGACAUAUUUUUCAUAUUAUUAAAAGAUUAAAUACUGACUGAAUUUAAUUUAUAUACAUGAACAAUAUAAAUUUUUUAACAUAAUUAUUCAAUUAUACGAUUAUAAUAUAUAUAUAAAUAUAUAUAGAGAGAGAGAGAGAGAUUUUUUAAUAAUUACUUUAAAAAUCAUAUUUAUAGAGAUUUUUAAUUUGUUGACAUUCAAAAAAUUAUAUUUCAUGAGAGAUUUGUGUGAUUUAAUUUAUAAUUAAUUAAGAAAAUAUUUUUUUUUCGCAACACCAAUGAAUAAAUAUUUAAUUAAUGUAUUUACAUACCUUGUUAUUUUAUUAUUUGAUUAGUCCGUAAGUAUAGAAGAAACUAAUUUGCCAUUUUGUAGAUGUAUUAAAUCACAUUUGCUUACAAAACUUUUAUUAAUCACCCACUGAUUACAGUUUUAACUAAAAAAAAAAUGAUACUAUACAAGCUUUUUGUUUCCUGAAUGGACGGGGUCAGCCCCCACAACCAAAAUAGAUUAGAAAUCAUGAUGAAAAGAGCACAACACUGUAACUACUGAACUAAGAAGGGACAAAUCAAACUUAGCGCGCACUAUCAGCAACUUGGUCUGCUUUUCUUAAGACUUGUAGAUGGUGCAGUGAUGAAAGCUGGCCAUAAUCUUGAUUACCUUAAGAUAUUAUUGAGAUAUUUUCAUAUAAGACAUUAAACAACAUGCAACUUGGUUCCUUCUUAAUAUCUCUUGAAUGGCCUAAAUUAAUUGUAUAAAUAUCUUACAAGAUCUAUGCACAAAAAGGUUUUCUCUAUUACAAUGUUAGUUGAAAUGCUUAUCACGAAUAGCAUUAAGAAGUGAGAACCAUUAUUUCGUUUGCAAAGUUUGGCAACUUCCUAUUUCGACAGGGAAAAUGUUGCACUUUGAGAAAGAAAUAAGAUAAUUGUGGAAGUGGCAUCCUUCGUGCAUUCCACGUAUAACAUCAUUGAGAUUUGAAAGUAUUAUAUAAGUAAACAAUUAAAAUUGGUAGGAAUCAAUUGAAGAAUAUAUCAAAGACUUUAUAUGAUUCAUGUAUGCAUAUUAUUUAACUAAUUGAACUAGAUUUUCUUUGAUAUAAGUAAAUAAUAUAAUUCUUAAAAGUAAAUCAUUUUAGGGAUAAAAAAAAGUAGAUCACUUUUUACUUUUCUUUUAAUUUAAAAUGAAACUCUAAUAUGAUUUUAUCUUGUCAUCCAAAUAGUUAUUUGUUCUCAAAGUAAAAAUAAAUUUCAAUUAAAAGAUUUUUAAUUUUUAAAUAAUUUUGUACUGCAAUAAUUUCUAUACAUAUAUAGAAUCUUAUAUGUGUGUGCACGCACUCACACGUGAUAAUACAAUAAUAAAAACUAAGUUAAAUUUAAGCAUCCCAUCUCCAAUUUAUUAUUCCAUAAUUACACGUAAGAAAUAUAUUUACCAUUUUGAAAGGACUUUUUUUUAUGACAGACUAAUUAUAUAAUAUCUUAAUUACGUAUUAAAAAAUAUAAUAUCAUAAUUUAGAAUAAUACUACUUCUGUUUCUUUUAUAUAAGAAAUGUUUGACCACUUUUUAAUUAAUGUAUUAAAUAUUAAAUUCUAAUUUUCAUUUAUAUCUCUAAGUUAUUGUAAAGUCUAUUAAUAAGAUAUAUUCUUUUCGUAAAUGUAUUUAUUGAACCACCGUUGGUGGCAUUGAGUAAAAUUCGUAAAUAGAAAUUUUGAGUUCAUUGGAAAGUGCUGUGUAAAAAUUAUCAGUCCCAUCUUUAAAACGGGGAAAUAUUUUCCAAAUAAGAAAGACAAAUAUAAAAAUCCUCGAAAUGGACUCUCCAAAUGUAUACUUCUCAAAAACUUACGAAAAUAUGUUAAAAGUUUGGUUCUAAAAUGAGUAAGUAUUGGAAGAAACUUAUGAAGACUUUGAAGAGCUAUUGGAUUUGAAGACCAAGUCCAUAUUUCAUGUUUUCUAGGGUUAUUAACGACCAAUUCUGUUUCUCUUGUAUAUUAAUAAGAAGUAUUUUUUUUUUCUCCAUUAUAUCUUCUUUUAACCUAAAAGAAACCAGCACGAAGUGUAAGUAGAUAUAUAGACACUAAAGGAUAGGUAUAUUAAUAAAGAUUGAAAUUUGAUUAUUCUAAUAUAAGUCUAUUUUAGGGACUAAAGUGACAUUGUGUUAUAAUUUUUGAGAUUUAAGUGAAAUUGUAUUACAAUUUAGAGAUUAAGAGUGUAUUUGAUUUGCUAAAAAGACAAGAUAAAUAGAAUAACAUUGGAUAAGUAAUUGAAUCACAAGACAAUUUUAUGUAUUGUACAUUGUUUGGUGGUUAAUGCACAAUAUAAGUAAUUUUGUGUUAUAUAUUGUUUGAUGUGUCUAUGUACCGGAGUGGUUCAUGACGAGCCAGAAGAACUAGCUUAGCACCGCCGACGACGUGUCCCUAUUGGCGAGGAGGAAGUUCAACAUGAUCUAUCACAGCACGGCGAUGCACAGUCAUUUUCUGGUGUCGUUGCACUUUUUUAUGAAGGAGAGGAUGGUGGCGAUGGAGGGGGAGUAUGGUGCAUGGGAGCGGAUCGAGAUGAUGUCAAAUUGUGAGUCGCGGGUGAGGUUCAUGAAGUCGAAGUUGUCGGUGGCACAAUUAGUGGUUUGUGGUUUGAAAGAGCGUGGUGAUGAGCUUGCAGGAGGGGGGGUGCGAAGGUCGGACCAGGAGAGGAACUAGAGGAGAACGUGACAGCAAAGGAUGUCGGCAAGGGCGGUCAGGGAAAAGUGGUGGCGGGAAAGGUGGUCAUCAGCGGCGAGGCAAGCAUUGGAGACAACGAGAAUGGAGAGGGAGGAGCGGUCUGAGAAAUCCACGGUGAAGGAUGUGACGGAGGCAGGGAGGGAGGUGAAUAAGGAUAGUGUUGUAUUUUUACUUUUGUUAGACAUUGGAUAAUAUGUUAUACUGAUGUUUAGUGAAUUACAAGUUUUUUGAUAUUUGUUCAAUCUAUCAUUCUUUAUUUUAUAUUGUCUAUCAGUCAUUUUUUAAAUCAAACGUUGGACAAAUAUUUUUGUACUAUCCAGUUCCUUAUUUUUUUUAGCAAAUCAAAGCACCCUAAUUGACAUUGUGUUAAAAUUUCAAGGACUAAAUUAAUUGACAUCAUUUUGUAAUUUCAAGAUUCAUGACAAAUGGCAUACUUAUAUGAUCACACAUUCACACUCAUAUGACACAUGUGUGACAUGUCAUCAAUCAACACGCCACAUCGAUGAUCAAUAUGUCAUGUUAACACUUUCAUUAAAGAUAAUAAAUCUUAAUUAAUAGAAGAACUAAAUGAGUAGAUUAUAAUUUUAGGGAUUUUUUUAAUUUUGUGAAUUUUAAGGAUUAAAGUGAUUAGUGGCAAUUUUAGGUAGCAAAAUUGACCAUAUAUACUUUAUUUUUUUUUAUGCAAAAACUAAAUUACCUAAAAACAAAUGAAUUGUAUAUAUUAUAAAAAUGUAAUAUUUAUUUGAAGUUUCUAAGAAAAAAGGUCCUCUUAAAUUUUUCAUUAAAAUCACUAAAAAAUGUUCCUCAUUAUCAGUGUGAUUUUUCCAAAAUCGCUGAUAAAGAGGACCUUAGAAAUUUUUACGAAAAUAAAUGAGAAAUACUGAACAGAAAUAUUUAAAUAUUACGUUUUAAAAGCUUUUAUAACCUAAAUCUGCUCUAAAAAAAGUCCCUUUUCUUUUAAUGGUUUCUAAUUAAAAAAACGCUAGAAAAGGUAUUCUUUUAAAAAAUAAUAAUUAAAAUAGUUCAUUUUUUUAGCGAUUUUCUUGUACCCCAGUAAUGAAAAUAAAAUAAUUUUGGGGUUUGAAAUUACUAAAGUAGGUUUCUAGAUAGUCUAUCUUAUCAUUCACAUAUUUAAUGAUUUAAAGCGCAAAAGUGAAAUAUUUAAAAUGCAUCCUUUUUAUAGUACAGUAUUAGAGCCUUAAUUACUACAAGUUGCAUCCUUUUUUAAUUUGUAGUACAGUAUUAGUGCCUUACUACAAGUUGUAUCUUAUAUAUCUUUAGUUUUUCGAUUCAGUCAGAAAAAUGUCUUUAGUUUUUCGAAACUUCAGAUCCAAGUAAUUAUUCACUAACCAUAUCUCCAUUUUUCUUAUAAGUUUUUAUUUCGUUUCAAAAAAUAAGAUAGUUCACAGUGUAAGUCAUAAGAUUAAUUACUCAAAAAAAUAGAAUGUACGUUAGUUAAGAGACAACUCCUCUCAUUACAGAUGUUAUAUAUCUAGGAAUCAUUCUUCUGUCACGUGCUUAAAAGAUACAAGCUAACUAUUAGCCAAUAGUAUUCAUGUGAGUAUACAGUUUAUAUUGUAGAUUGAUUAAGAAUUAAGAUUGCUUAUAGCUAGGCAACUGGCUACCUAAACUGGACAUGCAUCACAUGGUUCCGGUAGAGGGUUUAAUAUUUUAUUGGAUAAAUUGUUGGCUUAGUGGAAACAUUUUUUGUUAUCUUUCAAUUUGAUAAUUAUAUAUUAAUUCUUUUGAGACAUAAAAAUCUUUAAUCAUGUGCAUUUUGUGCUCCUAUAUAGAAUCCUUUUUUUACAAGAUUAGAAAUCAAACUCUAAUCAACAUAUAUUUAAGAGAUCUAUUUAAUUAUCUGCUAAUUGCAUGUAUUACGUUCUAUUGGUUUAUUAAUAUAUUUAUGAGUUUAAUUUUGGUUUUAAACUGUAAUAUCUUUUAAAAUUAUUAUAAGCAAAUAAUCUAUUACUGUAUCUUUUAACUUAAUAUUAUAAAUAGUUCAGAAGCCUAAAUUUUUAAAGGAUGCAAGAUAAAAACAAAUUAAGUUAUAAAUGAAAAUGUUUGACUAUAUGUUUUGAAACAAACUCUAUUUACGAAGUUUUAAUACACGACCGUGUGUGUUAUAAAAUGCAUACUUUAUUUUACACGGCCUAUGAUUUUUUUUAUCUAUUUACAAUUUAUAUUAAAAAAGUGAUUAUGUUUUCUAUUAGAGAAAAAGAAUGUAACUAUGCACCGGUGAUUUAAAUAUUUUACAGUCAUUCAGUUAGAAAAUAUUAUAUAUAAUAAGUUUAUUAAUUUCUAUAAUAACUUUAAAAAUCACACAAAUAAUAAUUUUUUAUUGAACGACAGUAUAUUUUUUUGUGGCUUGUUCCAUCUUAGUUAUAACUCUAAGUUCAAUCAAUAUAGAUUGGUAUUUUGAAUAUUGUUGAUUAAUGACGUUGGUCAGUGGAAACCUUGAAUACUACUUUAUAUAUAAAGCAACCUUGAGUAAUACUUAAUUGGUUUCCUCAUUUUAUUGUACAAAUAAUGCAAAAAUAUUGUACAAAUAAAAGAAUUCAAAUAUUAAUACUUUUUCCUAACAUUAAUCUCUCCUGACAUAUUUAACAAUUGGAGAAAAAAAUUCAAAUAUUGCUCUAAGUGUAAUCCAAAAUAACAAAGUUUUAUUACCAUAUUUUUAAUCACCAAAUAAGUUUAAUCAAUCUGACUCGUUAAAAAAACCAGGAUCGUUUUUAUAAUAAAACCCACAUAAUUAAAUCCAUUCAAUAAACUCACAUAACAACUGGAUUUAUAUUCUCUAAUGUAGCAGUUAUAAAAGAUUAUCUUAUGUAAGUAAUUAAUAUGAUAAUGUCAUGGUAUGAGUCACAAAAGCACAAAUUAAUUAUAAUAAAAACCAGUAUUAUAAUUUAUGUAGGUCCCAGUAAUUUUAUUUUUGUGUCCUUCAGUUGUAAUGCCACUUUAAGUCACUAGGGGUGAAGAUUUCUAUAUAAGGCUUGGAUAUUUGGUCUUCAACCACAACCCAAAAACUACUGGGAUUCCCAAAGGCAAAAAAAAAUAAAAAUACAAGAUGAAGAGCAAGUUCCUUUUUGUUUUCCUAUUAUUGGGAAUUCUUAACUGUGAGGCACAAUAUUUCAAUGCCAACCCAUACGACUAUUUACAACUAGCCUUAAGGUGGCCUAAUUCCUAUUGCUUGACACAUGAAGGUGGUUGCAGGGAAAUAGUGCCACAAUAUUUUACUAUUAGCUACCUUCAUCCCAUGAGAAGAGGAGGCCCUGAUCUGCAAAAUUGCCCCUCACCAUUUAAUAUGCCAAAUAGCACUGUUAGUACCUCUUGCAUUCCCAUACAUUUUUUUGUGUUUUGUUUUCAAGUUUCCUUCGCGGAGAUUGUCCUUGAAAUCUGAUUAGACUAAGAUUUUAUUUGGUUUACUUUUCCCCUAAGAAAGUAAAAUAAAUUAAAUUUAUUUCAUAAGUUAAAUAAAUUUAUUAUAAACUCUUUAAAUGAAAGAGUUUUUAGUAAAAGCUCAAGUGUGUUAACUUAACGAAAGAAAUUUAAUUCAUUUCAUAUUUUUAUUUUCUUUUCAUGUGUAUAUAUCAAGAAGUUUAUCUAAACAUGACUCUUCAAAUUAGUUUGUGUAGCUGAAGAAUUCAAUAAAUUGUAUACAUGCAGAUGGAGAUAAACAAGAAUGACCUACUCAAAUACUGGCCUGAUCUGAGAACUGAUAAUUUUAUUGAGAGCAAGUCAUUAUGGAGGGACCAAUGGAGAAAGUUUGGUUCAUGCUAUAGUAUGAUGCCAGAUGACUAUAUUGUUUAUGCACUCAACAGUAGAAAGAGAAAUGACCUCAAGAAAAUCUUGACAAAUGCAGGUAAAUAAGUAAUUUAAGUUCAUGUUUCACACACAAAAGUUAGGGGAAACAAAAUAAAACGUGACGUUGUUUUGAGGUUGCAUUAUUUAUUAUAAUUGCUAGAGUUUUUGGUAUCCCCUUGACAGUUAGGAAUGAGUUACUAUGUUAACAUAAUGUUCUUUCUUGAAAUUUUCACUCCUAAUUUAAGGAACAUUAAUAUAAUGAUCCUAAAUAAAGGUGUCUGAUUUUAAUAUCAUUGUUAGGUAUUGUUGCAAGUGGAAAUCCAUAUCCAACACGUAGGAUACUACAAGCUUUCAGGAAAGCUUUAGGUGUGAAUGUUGACAUAGUUUGUGAGCCAGAUAGAAGUGGAAAUGUUUAUCUUGCAGAGGUCCAUCAAUGUGUUGAUGCUGCUGGAACAACAUCUAUAGACUGUGACAAUAAGGCAAGAGGAUGUGAUGAUGACCCCAUCUUUCCCUACAUGGGAUUCCAACCAGACAAAGAUCCCAAGUAAUAAGAUCAUGCAAUCAAAAUCUCCUAUAGUUGUAUUACCCCUGGAACAAAUAUAUAUAAAAAAUAAGGGGCUCUAAGGGUAUGUUAAGGAAAUAAAUAAUAAAAUAUCUGAAUAAAAUUCAAAAAAAAGGUUUGACCUAAUUAAUGUGCAAAUUAAACAUUUUUUACCUCGUGUUAUUGUCUAUUGUUUUAUUCUUAGAAAAAUUAGUUAAGAUGAGAUGUUGCAAUUCUACAUUUGUGCUUAUCGUGGCAUCAUCAAAGAGUAUUAUUAUUGCAACAUAUAAGAAAUGUUUGAGUAGAAACCACAAGAAAAGAUCAAAGAAGAUGAAUAUUUUUGUGUUGCUAAAGCUAAGUAAAAGAGAUUAAUUUUUACGACAAAACUUAUUCAAAUCUAAUAAUUUUAAAUUAAUUUUUUAAAUUUAUGUUAUUUUAUCUAUAAGAAAAUUUUAUAAUAUAUUAUUUAAAAAUGUUAUUAUCUAUAUAAAUAUUUUUUUUUAAAAAAAGGCAUCUAUAUAAAUUAUUUAUAUUGAGAUCUUAAUUAUUAAUAAUUUUAAAUAAUUUAUAUAAAGGAAAAUGUUAAAUAAUUUAUGUAAGAUAUUAAAAUAAAUUUUACACAAAAUUAAAUAUUUUUAAUUUAAUUAUUAUCUUAUUUAGUAGUGAUAAACAUUUUAGCUUCACUUCUGAUAUGUUUAUCACAAGAAUCUUGUGUUUAAUUUGGGAAAUUUCCGAAUCAUGAAGACUUAGUGAUUAAUUUUUUACCUAUUCAAACUAUAUAAAAAAAAAGGUUUUGGUGAUACACAUUUUGAAUUUUCUUUUGGCUAAAUGAUAUUUUUUGUCUUUUAUUUUUUUCAGUUUGGUCGUUUAUCUUUUAAAAUUUAUUUUGAUCUUUUAUCUUUUUAAAAAUGAUUAAAAAUUUUAUUUUAAUCAUUUAUCUUUUACAAAAUUCAUCCUACAAAAAUGCAAAAGGUUGACAUUGAAUCCGCUGUGAGACCUAGAUCUACAAAAUCCAACUUCGAAUAAACUAUUAAUCGUGACUUUCCCCACAUUUGUGUUUUACCCAACCCAUAUCAUGCCCAUUGUGAUGCAUGGUCAUAGGAUUCUGUGACACAUGCAUGUUCAUUCCAUCGAUAUCGUGGUGUAAUUAAUGUCCUUCAUUUGGUACAGAGGUUUUAAUAUAACUAGGCAUUAACACGCGCGUUGUGAGGAUUGAUAAAUAAAUGUACAAUAAUGAUAUAAUUUAGAGAAAAUAAAAAUAACUAAACAAAAAAAAUUAAUUAAUUAAAAAAUAAAAUUCACAAAAUAAAUAGUAAGUUUAGGAUUAAGGACAUUUACUAAAAUUGAUAUAUUAUAAUUAUGCAAUUUUAAUCUCUAAUGACAUCAAUUUAUUGUUAAUGUCACGUCAACUUAUUGUUGGACUGAUACGUCAUUUUUUAUUUUAGUGUCAUGUUAUGACUAACAUAUUAAGUAAUUUUUGUUAAAUUAAAAAUUGACGGCACAGUAGCGUCGAUCAAAAUUGUUAAAAAAAAUAAAAAUUUGAAGAUCAAAUUACAAUGAAAUUUUUUGAAGAAUCAAAAUUGCAUAAUCUUAAACUAUAAGGAUCAAAACUUUAUUUAAUCCUAUAUUUUAGAAGGCGGUCAUGAGUUUUUUAUGUUUAAUUGAAGAUGAUAGAAAUAUUCCUUAAAUUUAAAUUCAUAGGAGUGUUAAUUUGUGAAUAACAGUUAAAAAAUUAAGGAUGAAGCUUGAUUUAAACCUAUUGUAAUUGAUAUUUCUUUUUAUGGACUAAUUAGUUAUUGAAUCCUUUCUAAAAGAAAAAUAAAUGUUAUUGAAUCCAUGCUUAUUGUUUUUCCUUAGUUGAAUCUCAUCAGGAAAUUGAUUAGUAAUUUGAGUCUUUCAAUUGAGAAAUCAGGAUUUAAACCAUUCAAAUUCAAUAAUCAUAUAAUUCCUAAGCCUAAGAAUAAGGAUAUUAAUUGUAUGCAUCUGUGUAAAAAUCCGAAACAUAUUGUUUGUUGCAAAUUCUGCUCAUCAUUAUUAAGGUUCAUAAUUAAAAAUAAAAAUUUUGUCGCUUAAGGGAUCAGAGAUAAACUAAAUCCGGGAAAUCAAAUAUUUCAAAACCUAACCAUCUGCAUCAAUUGAAUUUUCUAAUACAAUUGCAUUCUUGUUUCUUUCAAUUAAAUAAAUUAAAAAAAUGAAACUUCCUGAUUUUUUUCUUUCUUCUCAAAUCAAAAGAUUAAUUGGUUUAUUAUUGUUAAAUCACAAUAAUUGUGAAAACGAUACUCUACUUAUCUUUAAUUUUACUUGCAUGACUGCACUUGCAACAAUCUUAAUACUUUACCUCCAAGAGAUAGUUAGACUGCAUAGGGUUCCAAUUGACUUAGUGUUAGAUUGCAAGCUCAAUUUUAGCAAUAUUGCCUACCAUCUCCAGUUAGAUUAUCAGAGUGAGAGGGAUCGACUAUAUAGUCUUUAGAGGAAAUUCUUAGGGAUUGCAUCUUAGAGGAGAAAUGGAGUUGGGAUAGGUACUACUUACCUUUGAUCGAUAGCGUUUUCUUACAAUAACAAUUUCCACUUUAGCUUAGGUAUGACACUUUAUCAGGUCUUGUAUGGCAAUAAAUUAAUGAUAUAGAAAUAUGUUGUACAAUGUUAUUUUUGCACUAGUGAAUAUAAAUUACAUUGUUAAUAUAUAUCCAAGAAUGUUGUACAAAUAACUUAAUUCAAACAUAAAUAUCUUCUUCAAAAUUUACUCUCUAAAAAUUAACAGCUGAAAAAAAAAACUUCAAACGCUCAAAGUGCAUGUAAUGCAAAUAAUACUACUUCAAUAAGGUAUUUUUUAUAAGUAAAUAAAUUUAAUUUGAGCCUCGAUAAAAAAAUUUCAAGUUCACUUUCUUUUUGUGAAACACAUGAAACUCAUGAUUUAUUUUGGUUAUCGAUAUAAAGCCUUUGUUAGUAGAUAUUUAUAAAUAUCCAUUGAGUCUUAAGACAAUAUCAUGAGCAUUCAAAAUUUAAUUCAUCUAAACUUUUAAUCAUAAAAAACACACUUCAAUAAAAGCUCACAUAACAAUUGGAUUAGUAAUCACUAUGAUGAUAAUGUUAUGAGUCAUAAAAACACAAAGUUAAUUAUAAUAUAAACCACUAUAAUAUUUGCAAGUCCCAUUAAUUUUAUUUGUGGUUGUAAUGUCACGUUAGUCACUAAGUAAAGGGAGAAGGGUGAGCUGUAGAUUUGCAUAUAAGGCUUCAAUAUUUGGUCAUCAACCACAACCCAAAGCUACUGAAAUUCCCAAAGGCAAAAAAUACAAGAUGAUCAUGAAUAGCAUCCUUUUGGUUUUACUACUCAUGGAAAUUCUUAACUGUGAAGCACAAUAUUUCGAUGCCAGCCCGUACGACUAUUUAGAACUAGCCUUAAGGUGGCCAAACUCCUACUGCUUAACACAUGAAGAUGGUUGCAGGGAAAUAGUGCCCCAAUAUUUCACUAUUAGCUACUUUCGUCCCAGGAAAUUGGGAGGGCCUGAUCUACAAUAUUGUCCCACGCCAAUCACUCUGUCAAAUAACAUUGUUAGUAUCUCUUCCAUUCCCAUACAUUGAGAUCACAGUUAUAACAUUUUAUGCGUUUGAUUUUCAAGUGUUAUUCACGGAAAAUGUCCUUGAAAUUUGUUAGAAUAAGACCUUUUUUAUACAUAAAUUUCUCCGUUAAGUAUUUACUUAAAAUGAAUUGAAUUUUGUAAGUUAAAUGAGCUAAAAUAAACUUAUGCACCUUAAUUUAUUUUAUCAUCUUAGUUAAUUUCUUCUUAUGCUUAUCAAGAAUUUUAUCCAAACAUCUCACUUAAAAUUUGUAAGGCUGAAUAAUUUGAUAAUUUGUAUAAUCAUGCAGAUUGAAACGAACAAAUAUGACCUACUUAGAUUCUGGCCUGAUCUGAGAACUGAUAAUUUUAUAGAGAGCAAGUCAUUAUGGAGGGACCAAUGGAAAAAAUUUGGAUCCUGCUGUUUUAUGAUGCCAGAUGACUAUUUUGUUUAUGCACUCAACAACAGAAAGAGAUACGACCUAAAGAGAAUCUUGACAAGUGCAGGUAAAUGUACGUAUAUAAAAUGAAAUUCAAAUUCAUGUUUCACACACGAAAAGUUAAGGAAAAAAGAAUAAUACUUGUCCAUGUUUUGAGCUUGAGUUGUUCUUGUUACAAUUGGUAUCCACUUGAUAUAUAGUGAGGAAUGAGUUUCAUACUAAGUUUAUAUAAAAUUUAUUCAUGAAAGUUUCAGUCAUAAUUUAAGGAACAUCCUAAUAAAUAUGGGUAUGUGAUUGUGCUCUCGUAAAUGUCAGGUAUUGUUGCCAAUGGAAAUUCAUAUCCAACGUAUAGGAUACUACAAAUUUUCAAGAAAACUCUAGGUUUGAAUGUGAGCAUAGUUUGUGAGUCAGAUAGAAGUGGCAAUGUUUAUCUUGCAGAGGUGCAUCAAUGUGUUGACAUCUCUGGAACAAUGCCGAUAAGUUGUGACAAUAAAGCAAAAGGAUGUGACGAUGACCCCAUCUUUCCCUAUAUGGGAUUUCAACCAGAUAAAGAUCCCAAAUAAUAACACCAUGCAAUCACAAUCUCCUAAUUGUAUUACCCCUUCAAUAUAUAUAAGAUAAUUUUAUUACUAUAAAAUUUUUAUAUAUAUAGUUUCUCAUUAUCCAUGUUCCUUGUUUGAUCCUCUUCUACAUCGAUCAUAUAUACAAGAUCACUGGCAAUCUGGCACUAUGCUUCCCAUCCCCUUGCUUCUUUUAUCUGAUCCCAUUUUACAACGCUCAUUUCAGGCAAGGGAAUAAGAUAAGGAGAAAAGAUGAAGGAAACGAAACAAAUUAAGGGAGAGAAGAAAUAUUGCUCACACGCAACGGAAACGAAACAAAUUAAGGGUGAGAAGAAAUAUUGCUCCACACACUAACACACAUAGGAGAUAAGAUAAGGAAGAGAAUUUGUCUGACUUUGACUUAAACUUAAUUUACUGAUUCACGAAUUCAUUGGUCUAGCUAGGUGCUGUACACAAGAAGCCUUUUAUAGGCAAAUUCAUAUUGAUAAAAUAAUAAAUACUUAAUAAUUAAUUAAGGAAAGGUACAAUUAAUAGAUUGUUAAAACUCAGUCUCAAGCGAUGCAAAUAGGCAGUGAAGUGAUGUUCUUAUCAGUGACAGCAAUUAGUGACAUAUUCGACAAAACAUUUAUAUAGAGCACGCGUCCCAAUCGGGUUUGCCUAACAACAUUUUCCGUUCUUCAUUUGUCUGUUAACAAGAAAGUGAUAAGAAUGCAAUUAUAAAAUCAACAUCAAUAAAAAAAAAACAGGAUAUGAAAAACAAGAGUAGCACCACUCUUUCCUUUGUAAAGUAUUUGUCAUCAAAGCUGUAAACAUCAAUAGCAGAGACAUCUACUUUGGCCGAUGUGGCAAUAACAUAAGACUAAUUAACACGUACGUCUCAAAGGAACUCCAUUAAUCUUGGAAGAGCCUGAAACGGCAAGUGAGAGAAACAUAAGCCAGACCAAAAAUGGGUGGAGAGCAAAUAGGGGAAGUAAGGGAUCACUCCUCUCUCUUCAGUGCUAUCAAAACCAGAUUUGUUGGGUUAGUGGGUUAACGUUCGAACGGGUAAGUCAAUAAUUGAACCUCAUCGACCAGUGCAUAUUAAAAAUAUGAAAUUUAAUUCAGAUGCAAACUAGAUACUAAGUUUUAUCUCAUGUAAUGGAAAGUUUAGUAGUGCUUUUUAUUUUAACAAACUUGGGAACUUGAGUUCAAGGCUUGUUGGCUCGGGCAAAACUUUACCAAUUUUUAUAAAAUCAUAUUCAAAUUUCAACUUGCUUCCUCACAUUCAAAUCGUAAUUCGUAAAACUAGCAGGCCACCCAUGUAACAAAGCGCAACAGACCUAUGUGCGUGACAGUGUCUCAGUAGCAUAUAUGAAAAAGGUCUGAAGCAAUCACAGGUUCAGUUUUCGAUCAAACCAGUCAGACCGGACAGGCCAAUCCGAAUUUUAUAACAGUGUCUCUCAACAUUUUCCAUUAUCAAUUUUUUCCUCUCAUAUAGUACAACUUUUAAUUAAAUAAGUAAUUAUUAAUUCAUAAUUAUAUCCAAUAGGUACUCGGUCGACAGAAAUAGCUGGAUAAGUAUUAGGCCCAUUACAAGAUGGGAAAGUCAUAAGUAAGAGGCAAUGGAGAUUGGAGAUUAAACUCCUUAACCAUACUUAGAAUCAGAUUAGCUAAGAUGCAUGGUAAUUGUCUGCAAGAAAGUCCAAAGUCUAACAAGAUUUGUAUAAAUAAAAAUGAGAUUCUUGAGGUAAAGACAUUAUUGAUGUUUAUUUGUUACUUUGAACAUCGGAAUGUUUUACAAAAGAAUACCAUCCUAGGGCAGACAGCAAGACCAAAUACCCUGAAGAAUCUAAGGAAGAGGGACGUUGCAAGAAGAAGACCGUUGAGCUCUUGGAAUAUGGAAAUGCAGGAGAUACUUUGGGUGAAGGCGCAUGAGCCGCCACUACUUUGGGUGGUUCAAUUUGAUGAUGAGGUGGAAGACAUGUCCACGCUGAUGGAGGAGGACAGACGUUGUUCGUUGAUCUCGGCGAGUUUCCAACAUGUUGGGCAAUUUUUCACUCUGAGGGCUAGAGCGAUUCAAGGUGGCGGUAACGCUGCUGCAUUAAGUGGCAAAGAUAGUUUAGAUUUGGUAGUAAUUAAAAGAAAACUAAAGGACAAUUUUAUCAUUUAACAUAAAAUUAGAAGUCUUUGUUAUCGUAGUUCAUUAAGGCUUAAGGGUGUGUUUGAUGCACAAGAAGGUAUAAUGCAAGCAUACCAAUACGUUCAACGUAUAUGUCUAAAGGAUCAUUUUUUAGUGGUAAAAUUGUAAAUUUGGUUCUCUUAUUUUUUUUCUAAAUUUAAUUUUGGUUUUCUUAUAAUUUAAUUUAUAAAUUUAAUUCCUUAAUUUUUUACAAUUCUGUUAUUUCAAUCUUCAAUCCCAAAAUUAAACGUUGACCGAUAAUUUAUUGUCUUGAUCGUGAAGUGUUACAUUUUUAUUGAAAGUGAAUCAUGAUGUAUUACACUUUUAUUAUUAGAUGUUGACGUUAAUAGCUGCAUGAAAUUAAGGUCUCAUAAAAAUGUGACAUCUGAUCAUCAAUAUUCAAUAAAAGUGUGAAACAUGACGGUCAAUGUUGACCCUCAACGUCUAAUUUUAGGAUUGAAUACUAAAAUAACGAAAUUACAAAAAAUUAAAAAACUAAAAUUCGUGAACUAAAUUAUAAGGAAACUAAAUUUACAAUUUUAUCUUUUUAUUUUAUACAUUAGUUGAUGGAUAAUAGAUAAUAUAAGUAAAAUAAUAUAAAAUUUAGAGUAAUACUCUUUUUAAUAUAAUUCUUCUAAAUAAAUAUUUUAAUACAAUUAAUAUUAUUAUAUAUCUUAUAAUAUAUUAUUAUGUAUUAGAUAUUAUAGCAUAUCUUCUAAAUAUAAUAUUAUAUGAUAAAUAUUAGGUUAUGCGUAAUAUGUCCAAUAUAUAAUAAUAUACAAAUUGUAACAUGUAUAUUAAUUAUUCAGCAAUGCUACUUGGUACUAAAAUGUUUACACGAAUUUGCAUGAAUUAAUUAAACUGGAUAAUUUUGUUUUUCAAAAUAAAUAUUAAUUAAAAUAAAAGAUAAGUCAUUGACGCAAAUACACGGUCGUGCAGUUUUUUACGAAACUGUUUUCGUACUAACAAGCAUUUCCCUUAAUUAAUCGCACAAAUAAUUUGAUAUAAUUUUAAGUAUAAUGGAAAGAUAUAUAAUAAAGAUAGUGGCUAGACAAGGUGGGAGGAGUGGCAACGAGAGAAAAAAUAAUAAGGAUAUAAUUAUGCCUUAAAGGUGGGUUUGAUUUAGAAGAUAAAAAUAAAAUAAAAAAAUUAGAAUAUAAUAAAUGCCGUUCACACAAAAAAACGUAUAAAUUUAUCUUUAAUAUCAUUUCUUUUCUUUCUGUCAAACACACCAUUAAUUAUAUUGCCAUAAGGUUUUCCCUGGUUUGAUACUUUUUUUUUUCUUUUGUCCUAUGACCAUUUGGUCAUGUGGUUUACCGUGAAUAGCUUAUUAAUCUCGUUCAUACACCUGGUGCACCCUCCUAUCAAAUUUUUUUUUCUCUUUAUGUCCUUCUCUCUCCUACUUCAUUCUCCGAUUGUCUCUAACUGUUGCCGCCAGUGGCAACGCCUUUGACAAUAACCCUUUAUUUUUUCCUUUUCCUCACUCCUUCUCAAACAAAUCCACGGCAUCGUCGUUAACUUCACUGGAACUUCACCAAAUCCACGACACCAGAGCGAACCGAACUAGAGCACCUACUUCGUCGCCUUUGUGAGUGAUUGCCAACACCAUGUUCGCAACAAAUCAAGGGGACUUCUUGUGGGUUUGUUGUCCCUGAUCUAAAUCAAGUUUAAUCUUGUUCGAUUGUUUUUGCUUUGAUCGUGUGGAUGAUAAAGGGAUGAUGAGGUCUUUGAAGGGGUCAUGGUCGUCGCAUGAACAAGGUAUGCACGCUGAGGCCUUGGUGUUUUCCGGAGCACUGGUUCGAUGGCAACGGACGCGUGACGACGGCGGUAGAAUUGUAGUGGCGGCGACAAAAACUCAGUAAGGAAUGAGGGGAAGUUGGAGGCAAAAGAGUAAAUGUUUUCAACGAGAGAGGUUCUAUGAUGAGAUCAUGGCAGUGCCUAGGAGUGUCUUGUCAUAUAUUCAUGUUUACAAUCAAACAUAUGUAACAAGUGAUUUUAUGUUGCCUUGUCCUUUGUUCUUUUGCAAAUCAAACGAUCAAGAGUCAAAAUAAUGUAAAAAAAUUGAAGUGUAUCAAACACAAUUGAAGAAAAGGAUGUAGGAGAUACGAUCCUAAUUUACUCUAAUAAAAACGGAAAAAUGUUUAUCAAUAUUUUUUAGUAUUGAUUAACAAAUUGAAAAGAAAAAAAAUAUAUUGAGAUGGACAGAAUUAUAUUAUCUAUAAUUUUUUUUUUACAUUUUCUUAUCAUUUCUAUAAUAAAUAUUUUUUAUUUUAAUUUUUUAACCAUUGUUUUAAAAAUAGUAUUAGCAAUAUCCUAUUUAAAAAAAAAACUACUGCUAAAGCACCACUUAAUUACAAUGAAUUGAUUGUUGAAGUCUUACUCGGAUAUAAAACAUUCAACCAAUGAAUACCACUGUCUCCAAAAUAAAGGUUAGGUUCCCCCACCUAAGAGCACUGCUUGAUCGGUUUGGCACUUAUUAAUUACCACUAGCAAGUGACAGAGACUCGCAAGUGUACUCGUAAAGGAGGUUAUUGGAGGGGAAAACAAUCAAAAGAUUUAUAAAAGCAUAAAGGGAAAAAUAUCUAACAAUUUGUUUAAUGGUUAAUAUUCUUUAAAAUAAGGUGUGAUAUCGCAUUAUCAAAUACUUGUAAUAAAGUAUUCAAUACCUUAAAUCAAAUAUAUUAUUUAAUAAACAAAAUUUUAUAAUUACUCAAAAGAAAUCUUUUGAUAUUUUCUUUUUAAAAUUUCUUAUAUUAAUGGAUUUUAUUUAUUCCUUUAAUUUUUCUAACUUAAUUUUAAUUAGAUAUUGGUUAACAGAACUAUUGCCAUAAUAUUUAAUAACAAACGGUUUUUCAAUAUCUGUUAACAGUUUUAAUAAAUUAUAAGAUUUUUAAAUAAAGUUUAACUAAAAUUACAAGUAAAGCUCCAUCAUAUAAAUAUUCUUCAUAACAAUAUGCCUUCUACAGCUUCGUCAUGAGCACAUUAAUUUAUAAGAAAUAAUUUAUAAUGAAAUUAUCUAGGUGUAAUGUCCUUUCAGAUAAGGUUUUAAUAUUUUUUUUCAAGGUCAUAAAGUUUAUGUUAAAUUUCUUUUAAAUGUGUUAUUUAUUUAAAGUAUCUAUCCACUUUAUUAAUUAAUCUAUGUUAAAAAAUUUGAUUUGUCAUCUUUUAUGGAUCUACCUCUAAUAAUACACGCUGUUUCCAUUAAUAAGUAGGAAUAUCAACGGAUACGAAUAACCCAUGAAAUCAAUCUAAUUAGUUUAAUUUGAAUUUUUUUAAGAUUCAGGUUAAAUUCAGCCCAACUCAUGUAGACCCAUUAGCAUACACAUUUUAACUUUUGAACUUGUGAUCCAACCUGACAUGAUUAGUGUCAUAUUAAGUUAAUUGAAAAAAUACAAAACACCACUAGCAUACACAUUUUAGCUUUUUGCUAAUACUCCUCUCUUUUUUUGGUAGCAAAAGAGAUAAAAAAAAAAAACAACAAAAUUACAAUAUAGUGAAAGGCAAAGCAAUCCCUAAAUAUCCAUGAAUAUCUCUUUUUUCAAUCUUUUUUUUUUUCUUCUAAGAUUCAUCUUUUUAACCCACCCAUGAUUUUUUUCAUUUAUUAGUUGUUUUUAUUUUUAUCUUGAUUUUUUUAUGUUUUGUUAGGCUAAUACAAUAUUUUAUUUUUAUAAAAAAUAAAAAUAUUAUAUAUACUAACAUUGAAACCAUUCAUUAAUUUUGUUAAUCAAAUACUAUUUUAAUUUGGUCUCUUUAAUUAGAGGACAUUUAGUUAUUAUAUAUUUGCAAAGAUACGGAAGAAAACAAAAACUAUUGCUCUAAAAAAUUAUAGUGUUUACAAAAUAAAAAAUAAUCUAUAAAUGUUUAAACCGAUUGACAUAAUCCAACCAACUCAUUAAUGAUCGAGUUUGUUUGAUUUGGAUUUGCCGUCUCCAUAAUUUUCUUAAAACUUAAAAUGAGUUAUCAAAAUUGAUAAUUGAUGUCGAAUUGUUUUAAUUAGUAGCUAGAUAAUAUCAACGUAUAAUAUUUGAAUUUUCAUGUUAUCUCAUCAUUUUUAUUUGUUUUGCAAAAUUAUUUUAUUUAUAUUCUUUAUCGUGUAUUUUAUUUUAUUCUUAAACCCUGUAACUAGAACAGUGCCCGUGCAUAGAAUGGAGGCACGUAGAAGUGUAAAAUGGAGGCUGGGCACUUAUAAUAAUACUAUUGAUGAUAGCAAAAGUGAAAUAAAAAAUAUGAAUUCGGUUUUGAAAAACUCAUUAUCAACAUGGUAUUCUUGAUAAAUUUGUUAUUAUUCAUCAAAGAGAUAUAGAAAGAACUUCAAUUGGUGAAAAAGUGAUUGAAGAAUAUCACCUAUAUAGAUGAUAUUGAAAACAUUAAUUUGUAGUGCUUUUUUUCCAAUUGUAUUUAGUGCUACUCAACUUGGAUAUUGAAAACAUUAAUUUAUAUUCUAAUGAUUGCGGAUAUAUAGGCUGGCUACCUAAGAAAAAGAUGAACUUAUGCAUCACGUGCUAGUGAUUUAAUAUUCCUUUGGAGAAAUUAUUAUCUUGUUGGAAAGAUAUUUUGGUAAAGUAUUUUUCUUUAUAUAAAGGGUAUCUUCUAAUUUAUGUAAUCCUUUCGAGACUUAAAAAUCAUUGUGAUUUUUGUGCUCUCCAGAGAAGGGAGUGUUUGAUAAAAUUAGCUAUAGAAUCGUUCAAAUUUGUAAGUUACCUGAAAGUUUAUAAUUAAGUUAGAAAAUGAAAAGUUAAAAAUUUAUAAGCUAACUUAUUUAAUUAAACGUGUUUCGUGAAAUUAAAUGAUAAGUUAAGUUAUAAAUAUAAAAUGGCAUGUAUAAAUGUAAAGGAUUAAAUAGGAUUUUAAAUAUAAAUAAAUAAAUAAAAGUUAGUUUCUUAUAAGCUAAUUGCAAUAACUUAUGAAGAUAAGAUAAAAGCCAAUAAAAUAACAUAUUAAGAUAUCUAAUUAUCUCUUAAUAUGUUAUUUUAUUUUCGUGUGGGGCGCGGUGAUGUAUCCUUUGGGUUUGAUUAAUUCGUGGUUUUAUGAAGAAAAAACCUAUACGAUGAGAUUCUAUUUGGGCAUAUUGUUGCAAUUGAAACUCUAUGAUAUAUAUUUAAAAUUCUUGGAACUCGUCUGUUCUCUAUACUAUGGUUCCGUUGGAGGUUCAUGAAUUAGUUUAGAAAAUAGUGCUGCAUGAGGAAGUUGUGAACACAUUCAUUUGAAACCCAUCCCCUUCGGACUACUACUCGGCAAAAUCUGUUUUUAGGUGACUUUGUUGGAGACUUACCAUUCUAAAUACAUGUGAAGAAAACUGGACCAAAAUCUAAAACUUGAGACUAUCAGAAAAUAUAAAUUUUUUUAUGGCUUAUCUAUAGAGAUAGCCUUCCUAUUAAUGCUUUUUGUUGGAGGAGACAUUUGUUUUGCUCUUCUUUUUGUUGCAAGAGUAAUGGAGUAAAGGAGACGUGGAUUCACACGUUGAGGGAUUGCCCAAUAGCUAAAUCCAUUUGGCAUAAGCUCCAUAUUCUUUCUUUUCUUAAUCACUACAACAAAGAUGAUGCUCUAUGAUUGCACCACUAUGUCAUGGGGAGUAAUUCUCAACUCUUUGGGACUGCAUGUUGGAUGAUUUGGAAAACCCGUAAUCACUGUUGUUUCCAGGGUGAAGAAUGAACACAAAUUUACACUAUGAACCAAAUCAUAAGUCAAUGUCAACUCAUUCAAACUCACUUUAAGGGAUCUUCCUCGACAAGAGACUUGCGUAAUGUCAUAUGAUCUGCAACUAUUUCUCAUUUCGUUAAGUUAAAUACUAAUGGAAGUUUUUUAAGUAACCCAAGGUCAUCAAGUAUAGGAGGUAUAGUGUGGAAUUCUCGGGGAUUUUGACUCUCCGGAUUCUAAGGUUACACUACGAACAUGCAUACUAAGCUCCUUGAAAUCCUCAAUGGGAUGCUCCAUGCAUGGAAGAAUGAGUUUAGACAUAUCAUCAGAGAGACAAACUUCUUAGUUGUUAUUCAGCUGAUGGAACAGCAGACACUUUUUUUUUUCACCUGUUUGUGAUGAUAAUUGUAUCUAUUAAGACACUCUUGACCCUCUAAUGAGAAAUUUGUAUCAUCCACACUUUGCGGGAUGAGAAUGCUUGCACUGAUAUCCUCGCAAAGGAAAGAACUAGUUUCCACCAAUGUAUCAUUGGUCACGCUAAAACUUUACUCCAAUGAUAUUUUGCCUUGUGUAAUUGUUGAUGCACUUAGCACAUUUUUUUUACACUUAUAAUUCUACUCUUUCCUUUUCUUCAUUAAUAAAAAAAAUAUUUCAUUAUGUUCUAAUUGUAUUGAGUUUUAAUUUAUUGGCUUAUCAAUACAUUUAAGUUUAAUUGUGGUUUUAAACUAUAAUAUCUUUUAACAUUAUUAUAAGGUAUUACUGUAUUAUUUUUUUAAAAAACCGUUUGACUGCUUAUUAUAAAUAGUUCAAAAGCCUGAAUUUUGUAAAGGAUGCAACCACAUGAAAAAAUACGUUAAAGAAAAUAUAUUACAAUAGUGUAUUACAAAUACUAUAUUUACAAUGUUUUGAUACACGAUUGUGUACUGUAUGUGUGUGUUAAAAUGAGUAUUUUAUUUUACAGUCUAUGAAAAAAUUUCUUUAACUCAUUACAAUUUAUAUCAAGAACAGUUCAUGAUUUCUAUUAAUGUGACAUGUUCCAUCUUAGUUAUCACCUCUAAGUCCAAUCAAUAUUGAGCAGUAUUUUUAAUAUGUUUUUAGCAGCAAAUAAGUAUAUAUGUAUAAUCAAUAAAUGGGUACAAGGGGCAGUACAAAAGAACUCGUAUACAAGUAGUAUUUUUAAUAUACUUGUUUCUACAUAUAUAUUUUAUGUAAAUAUUUUCUGUUAAUUGAAAUAACACUGACACCUGUAUAUAUUGAUGAACUGAAGUUGAAAACCAAUGCUUCGAUAGUAUUUUAAUUAUCUUGCAUGAUAAAGAGAUUUAUACAACAAUGUAUGAAAAGAACCCACCAUGUUGAUUUAUAAGGUCCACCGUACCAUCUCUGUAUUUACAACUAUGAAAAUACUGUUGUCUGAAGUCUGAACAAGGUGUCUCUAUUAUUUAGUUUUGUCGCGUGAUAAAAGAGAGAAGAAAAGUAUAAACAAGUGAUAAAAUAUAAAAUUACAGUGUUGACAUUAAAAAAAUUGUUGUACAAAUAACAGGAUUCAAAUAUAAAUAUCUUUACCUAACAUUACUCUGUCUUCAUUUAACAAUAUUUGAAAGGAAAAAAAAAAACUUUCAAGCGUUCUAAUUAGUGCAUGCAAUGCAAAUAGUACGUACUAGUCUGAUAACGUUUUUUUUAUUACUAAAUAUUUUUAAGUCUUGUUUUUUUUACUGCAUAAUUUUUUUUUCUAGUCAGAGAUUACGGAUUGUAUUUUAAUCCACUAGGUUAAAGACUAAUUUCACUUGAAGUAUAUAUCUGUUAUUGACCUAAGGAAAUUUUACACAAGAUGAAAAUCAAACAAGAAUUUUCUAUUAAAUAGAUUGAUCAUUUUCACUCAUAUGAACACAACUAAAUCUCGCUAAAAUUUGAUGUUCACUUUCUUUUUAAUGAAACACAUAAAAUCCAUUCAAUAAAAACUCAUGUAACAAUUGGAUUUGGAUCCUCUCAAGUCUCAAGUAAUUAAGUAAUCAAUAUAAUUGUUCUUAUUAAAAUCUGGAACUAGGAUAUAUCAAGAAAGACGUGACCAAAUUGGGCUUGUGUACUUCACACGUUGAUUUUGAGGAUGACCUUUGUUAGGAAGAUAAAAUGGAAGACCUACAACAAAUGACUCUGACGCUCAAGUAAUUAAGAAUAUGAAUGAGGAGAAAUAAACAAAUAUAUGCAUAUGAAAACAAGUACACGCAAGCUUGAGGUGUGAGCGAAUGUGAGUGUGUUGAGGAUUCGAUAGAUCCUGAUGAUAUUCAUAAGAAUGGAGCAUAACUGUGAGUUUUGUUUGUAGAGGCUGUUAUAGUCUUUGUAGAUAAUUCCCAACAUAUAGAUAAUAGCCAGAAGUUAAUAAAUGUUGCUAGAGAUAAACUGUAACUUAUAUAUAGAUAAAAACUAUAAGAUAAUUGUAUAUUGUAGAUAAUGUGUGAUUUUGUAAAUAAUUAAUUACCUACCAAUAGAUAAAGAUAUUCAAAUAUUAAUAGGUUAGAAAUAACAUGUCUGUCAAAAACUCUGACUGCUAAGGAUCGAGUGUCUACACUCUUAUGGUAAAACUGACGUGAAAAGUAUAUGUGUCUUAAAGUGUCAUAUAGGAUUGUAGAUCUUAGAUAGUACAAUGAUGAUGUCAUGUUGGGUCAUAAAAACAAAAUAUUAAUUUAUAAUAAAAACCACCAUAAUUUUGUAGGCCCCAUUAAUUUUGUUUUUGUGUUGGUGAUGUCACGUUAGUCACUAAGUAAAGGGAUAAAGGCGAGCUGAAGAUUUCUAUAUAAGGCUUCGAUAUUUGGUCAUGUAACCACAACCCAAAGCUACUGAAAUUCCCCAAAGGCAAAAAACAAUACAAGAUGAAGAGCGAGUUCCUUUUUGUUUUCCUAUUCUUGGGAAUUCUUAACUGUGAAGCACAAUAUUUCAAUGCUAACCCAUACGACUAUUUACAACUAGCCUUAAGGUGGCCUAAUUCCUAUUGCUUGACACAUGAAGGUGGUUGCAGGGAAAUAGUACCACAAUAUUUCACUAUUAGCUACCUUCAUCCCAUGAGAAGAGGAGGCCCGGAUCUGCAAAAUUGCCCCUCACCAUUUAAUAUGCCAAAUAGCACUGUUAGUAUAUCUCCUGCAUUCCCAUAACAUUUAUUUUGUUUUGUUUUCAAGUUUCCUUCACGGAAAUUGUCCUUAUUAGACUAAGGUUUUAUUGACAGAUUUUUUGAAAAAAAAUAAUAAAGUAAAAUAAAUUAAGUUUAUUCCAUAAGUUAAAAUUAAUUUAUGACCUUAACUGUAGAUAAAUUUUAUAAAAGUUUUUUCUUAAGAAAAAUUAGGAUGAGGAGGUGGCACUCGAGACCUAUACAGAAAAAAGUUUUUUUUUUUUUGAGUUUAAGUGUAGAAGUUAAUUUUAACUUACUUACCAAAGAAACUUAAUUUAUUUUAUAUGAAUUCUAUAAAUUAUAUGCAUGCAGAUGGAGACAAACAAAAAUGACCUACUCAAAUACUGGCCUGAUCUGAGAACUGAUAAUUUUAUAGAGAGUAAGUCAUUAUGGAGGGACCAAUGGAGAAAGUUUGGUUCAUGCUACAGUAUGAUGCCAGAUGACUAUAUUGUUUAUGCACUCAACAGCAGAAAGAGAAAUGACCUCAAGAAAAUCUUGACAAGUGCAGGUAAGUAUUUUUCUUUUUUAUCCACAAAUAUUAGUUAUUGAUUGUUAAUUUGUUAAUUGGAUAUUUGAAUCCACAAUCUUUUUUUUUUCUUUCAUACUUUUUCUUCUUUCAUACUUUAUUCACGGUCAAACCAACCUUAUAUAUUAUAACCUCUUAGGUAAGUACAUAUGAAAUUAAAUUCACUCAUGAAAAAUUAAGGCCUAAAGAAUUAAUAAAGCCUAACUUGGAAUCCUAUUAUAUUGAAAGUGAGGAAUCAGUUUCUUCAUAUUAUGUUUCUAUAGAAUUUAUCAUUGAAAAUUUGACUUCUAAUUUAAGUAACAUCCUAAACAUGAGUAUUUGAUUGUGAUCUAAUUGUCAGGUAUUGUUGCAAGUGGAAAUCCAUAUCCAACCCGUAGGAUACUGCAAGCUUUCAGGAAAGCUCUAGGUGUGAAUGUUGACAUAGUUUGUGAGCCAGAUAGAAGUGGAAAUGUUUAUCUUGCAGAGGUACAUCAAUGUGUUGAUGCUGCUGGAACAACGGCUAUAGAUUGCGACAAUAAGGCAAGAGGAUGUGAUGAUGACCCCAUCUUUCCCUACAUGGGAUUCCAACCAGAUAAAGAUCCCAAGUAAUAAUAUCAUGAAAUCAAAAUCUCCUAAAUUCUAUUACCCCUAUAACAAAUAUAUAUAGAAAAUAAGGGGUUCUAAGUGUAUGUUAAGGAAACAAUUAAUGAAAUAUUUCAAUAAAAUUUAUAAAAGGUUUGACCAAAUAUGUGCGAAAACAAGCUAGAACUUAAUCUUAUAUACCACGUGUACGUUGAUAUCUACUAUUUUACUAAUUCAUAGAAAAAUUUAAGAUGAGAUGUUUCGAUUCCACAUUUGUCCUAGUCAAGGCAUCAUUUAAUAAUAUUAUUAUAGGUAAAUAAUCAUUUUAUUCCAAGAAUGUUUAAAUUGGUGAAUAACUUAAUCUCUGAAACAAUAAAAAAUUUGAUUUAAUUAGUCUCUGCAUAUCUCUCAAGUUUUAAUAAAGUUAUGACAAAUUUAAAUUUAAAUGUAAAUCUUAAAAUAAAAAAUUAAAAUUAAUAUUUAAACAUAUCGUCCAAUAAAAUAAAGUUGGAACCACAGUUUCUAAACGGAGAGCGAAGCAGCCGCGGUUCGACCGGAACCGGACUUGUGACUUAUUCGGGCUUAUCUUCUGAUCUGAAACGUGUUUGACCCGUGCUUGCAUCGCAAACAUUGCUAAAAUUUCAAAAGUAAAUACAAAAAUUGAACAACUUGGGACUUGAACCAAGAUCCCUCAUCCCUCAUUUGUUAAACACAUUUGUAUCCUUUUUUAACCACUAAACCAAUACAAUUAUUUAAUAUAUUUGUGACAAAUAUUAUUUUCAUACAAUAUGUUAUAUAUAAAAAUAUAUAUUUAAUAUAGAUUGAAACAUGUGAUUCAAUUAGUGACCCAUGAAUCAACCGUUAACCUAGUGAUUUAGUAUUUUCACUAGAUCAAUGAUUGAUCCAAUUUUUAAAAUUAUGAUUGAAAUAAUUGAGCUUAAUAAACAAGCUAAGCAUCUCAACACACAUGAACAACUAUUAGCUAAGGAUGUGCUCCGUUGGUAGUCUUGAUGACAAUUAAUGUUGAUAAGUUAUUAUAGGAAAAUAAUCAGUUUAAUUAUAUAAUUGGUCCCUUAAUUAUAAUUAAAAUUUUAAUUGGCUCUCCUAAUUAUUAAAAAGUUCAAUCAAAUCUUCUAAUUGUUUAAAAAUACCACAAUAAAUUAUACACUUUUCAUUAUAAAAAAUAAACAUUUUUGCACUGAUUUCCAAUACAACCAAUGUAAAAUAAGAAAUUUUUAGGUUGCAUUGUAAAACUAGUGUCCAUGUUAAUGACCGAUGUAAAUAGAAAAUUUUACAUCAAUUUCUAAUACAAUCAAUGUAAAAAGAUAAUUUUACAUAUGUUGUCAACUAAAUUGAUGUAAAAAUAUUUAUUUACAUAAUUUUGUGUGUCAAUCAAACUAACAGUGUUGACAGAAAAAAUAUGAUUAUAAUUGUUGAGUCAAAAGACAAAUCAAGACCUUUAAUAAUUUUAAUUAGAUACAAAAAAUUAUAAUAUUUAAAAGUUAUGUCUUAUAUGUCAUCUGACAUAUGUAUUGUAUUUGCGUCUCAAAGAUCACACAAAAGCAAACAUACGUUGAAUUCUGGAAAAAUAUUUAAGAGUUCAUUUAAUACUUUGUAUUUGAGAUUUAUUUUACAGAAAAUGUCCUGAAACAUUUUUUCUAAGAUCUAUCAAAGGCCAAAGAAAUGAUAAAAUAAUCAAAAACUUAAAGGAUAACAUUUCUCUUCAUCUUAAAAAACGCGUCGUAUGACACUUUUUGUGAAUAAACUGUUAUAAGCUAAAGCAUGUUAACUUUUGCUAAAGUGUUGUUCAAGAAAGGUAAAGAGAAUGGUGUGGCAACAUAUCUACAAUUCAUGUUAAUACUCUUUUUAUAGUGGGGUUACACUACAUGGGUAACGCUAACAUACUCUUUAUGGGAAAAACCUUAUUAUUAUUCAACACUAAAACUUAAUCAAUUUAUAUAUUUAUUAUAUCAAGGGAGUUCAACUCAAUUGGUUGAAAAGAAUAUAUGAGUUAUAAAUUUCUUAGUACUAAACAUAAAAAAAUCUCGUAAUACUUGUCUUUGAUUUCUACAUAUAUAAAAAAUUAAUUCUUGCUUAUUAUAUAAAAAAUUAGUUGACUUUGAAAUCUCAUUGCACUACAGAUGAUAAUGAUAAAAAUAAAAAAAAAAUAUUAAUGUCUUUUUUAAGUUUCACUUUUUUCGUGUUUGAACUUUUUUAUUCUUAUAAACAAUACCUUCAAUUAAUUAAAAUUAUAUUUUAUAUUCAAUUUUUUUUUCAUUUUCUUCUUUCUAAAAGUUAUAUAAUUCUAUAUAUGUUCUCGUAAAUAUUUAAUUAAAAUAAUGAAAUUGAAUUAUAAUAUUAUUAAAUAAUAUUUACUAAGUUGAUAAAAAAAUUGGGAAGAAAAAUAAUAUAUCAUAAACUCUAUAAAUUUUAAAUAUAAAAAUAAUUCAAAUAUAUAUAUAUAUAUAUAUAUAUAUAUAUAUAUAUAUAUUUAAAUGAAAUAAUUUUUAAAAAUAUCAUUUGUGAUGGAAUAUGUCACUUGACAAUUGUAUAAUUACAAUUUGUGACAUAAACAUUGAGAGCGAGAUUAAAUUGUCACGAAUUUCAUUGGGAUGGUUUUUGUGACCGCGACACCUUGAGAGGAACAAAUUCAUCACAAAAUCCCCUCCAAAUCCAUAUUUCCAUAUUUACUUUGACCGAUUUUGUGACGAACAAUGUUAAGAGGGACAAAAGUCCACCACAAAAUCCCUUAAAAAGAAAUCUAUUUUAGUAACGGACUUGUGACAAAAAUUUUAGAGAAGGAAAAUUUCCUUCACUAAUUUCGUCUCAAAGUAACAAAUAAGCGUUUGUCACAAAAAUCUAUUAUCCAUCACAGCGGCGUCACUAUCAGUGAGGAACUAUCAAAUGUAAGAAUUAAUAACUAUUUGGAAUCCUACUGCAAAGGUAAAUGUAAAUAAUAAAAUGUCCCGCAUAAAAAAGAAUAAAAAAAUGUUGCAUACAAAUGCUAGCUCUCAAAAACACCGUAACUAAUAGAAAUUGUUAUCUCAUAAUAAAAAAUAGAAAUUGUCAUAUAAAAUUAAAAGUACCUAAUAUAUAUAAUGAAUAUAAAAGAUAUUAUAAGAAAAUAAUAACUACACAGUGUUUAGAAAGAAUAUAUUUUUUUAAAAUAUUUUAAUAAAAUUUAGUACUUGUUAAAUUAUAAUUUAGAACACCAACUAUAUAAAAAAAACAACUAUUUCUUUCUUUUUUAAGCAAAGUAUGAUGUAUUCUUUCUGUCUGAAUAUAAGUAUCACAUUUAAAAAAUAUAUAUCUUAAAAUAAGUAUCAUGUGAUUUUUUUGAUGUAAUACUAAUUAUUUUUUUACGAAUAUCUCAAAUAAGUAUUAUUUUAGUUUGUUAAUGUAAUAUUAAUGUUAAGGUUGGCUUUAUAAGGUUUCUAUUUCUUCCGUUCUAAAAUAAUAAUCAUUCUAAGUUGUUUUAUAAUUUAUUUAUUAGUUUAUUUGUAUAACAUAAUCUAAUAAGAUAUUUAUUUUAGGAUGAAGAGUGUAUUAUGUUUGAAGAUUAUGUAUUUAUAACUUUUUUGUGUUGAACCGAGCAACACUUGAUUACAAUGAAUUGAUUGUUGAACUCUUACUCAGAUAUAAAACAUUCAACCAAUGAAUACCACUUUCUCCAAAAUAAAGGUUAGGUUCCCCCACCUUGGAGUAUUGAUUAUUUGGCUCUGGUUAAUUACCACUUAAUUAGGAAGUGGCAGACUUGCAAGUUUGUACUCGUAAUGGACGCUAUUGGAGUGAGGGGGAGCGGGGGAAUUAUAAAAGCAUAAAGUGAAAAAUAUCUAACAAUUUGUUUAAUGGAUAAUAAUUUUCCCAAUAAAGUGUCAUAAUCAUGUGUUAGGCUUUUGCAUUAUUAAAAAUUAAAAAUUAAAAAUUAAAAAUUAAUUUGUAAUAAAGUACAAUACUUUUUAUUUAAUAACCGAAAUUUUAUAAUGACUUAAGAAGCAACGCUUUCAUAUUUUUCUUGAAUUUUUUAUAUUAAUGUAUAUUCUUUUUAUUUGUCCUAACUUAAUUAUUUUAAUUAGAUAUUGCUCACAACACUUUUUUUUUAACAAAACAUUGUUUUUUUUAAUGUAAGAGGAUUAUAUCAUUUCAUUAAUAUAUAAUAACAAUAUUGAUAUAAUCAGGAACACUAUAAAAAGGAUGUGAACUUUGCCUUUCAAAAAAAAAAAGGAUGUGGACUAGCAUAACAUUGCUGAAGAACGAGCUACUAGAUUUGACUUGCAAAACAUUGCUAACAACACUUUUACUAUAAUAUUUAAUAACAAACGGAUUUUAAUAACUUCAUUACCUAUAAACAAGUUUUCAAAUAAAGUUUAACUAAAAUUACGAGUAAAGAUCUAUCAUAUAAAUAUUCUUCAUAACAAUAUGCAUUCUACAGUUUUGUCAUAAGCACACUUAUCAUAAAUUAUUGAGGUGUAAUGUCCUUUCAUUUCGUCAUGAGCACAUUUAUAAUGAAUUAUCGAGCUGUAAUAUUCUCAGUUGAUAAAAAAAAAAAAGGUUUUAGAAGACAUUUAUUUCACGAAAUAUUUUAGUACUUUUAGAAAUACGAAAGUGAGAAUUCUUAAUUCCAAGCCUCAUAAUCGCAAAACAUAGCUAGCUACCACUAAUUGCAGUCACAAAGUCAUUUUUUUUCAUACUCAUCAACCUUUUUUGCCAUUUAUUAUUUUCUCCUCACAAUAGCUUUUUCUGUUCUUCUUUUUUCUCCCUCCCUCCUCUUUCAUUUCUUCUUCUUCUUAUUUUGCAGUUUUUUCAACACAAUACCUUCUUCUCACGUUUUUUCUUGUUAUUUUUUGCUUCUUCUCCAUUAAUGGAAUGGUAGCUAAUUUUUGCCCACUUUAUCUAUUGACAUUUGAGCUUACUAUAUUUCAAGAUGGAGCAUAUGGAUUUGUAGGAUCCUUUUAUGGUCUCUCAAUUAUUUGAAGAACCGUAUUUUUGUAGUUUUAUAGAGAUAUAUUUGUUAGUGCUUUAAUAUAGAUAUUUUAAUUUGUGUGCUUGAGAUAGUUGUUUUAAUUUGUAGUGCUUUUUUUUCUAUUUGUGUUUAGUGACACAUAAUUUGGAUUCUUGUUUUAGUUGUAUUUGUACCUCACUUGGAUAGUUGUAAUUUAAAAACCAUUCUGAAUAUAUAAUUAAACUUUGUGACACAUUAAAAUAUUAUAUUUGAACUUUUUGAGAGUUGUGGUGCACUUAUUCUACAAUUUGGAUAUAAGAGGCUAAAGCACUAAAGUUAAUAUAUGUAAAAUGGCUAAGAAAGUUCAUUUUUGUAGUAGUUCCUUAAUGCAAGUUGCAUCUAAUCCUUUGUUUACAUUCUAGAUUGAUUAAGAUUGCGUAUGUAUAGGCUGGCUACCUAGAAGAGAUGGGCAUAUGCAUCACGUUCUAGUGGGUUUAAUAUUUCUUUGGAGAAAUUAUUAGCUUGGUCGAAAGAUAUUUUGUUAAUGUAUUUUUUUAUAUAAAAAGUAUCUUUCAAUUGACAAUUAUAUACUAAUUAUUUUUUAGACAUAAAAAUCAUGAAUGUGCAUUUUGUGAUUCUGUAAAGUAAUUUAUAAGGUUGUUGAAGUUUAUGAUCUAUAAGUUAAAAACGGAAAAGCUGAGAAUUUCUAAAAACUAACUUAUAGAAUGGAAGUGUUUAGUGAAAUUAGAUAAUAAAUUAGUUAAUAAAUAUAAAAUGACAUUAAUGUAAAAUAUAAAAAAGAGUAAAAAAAAACAAGUCAAUUAGUAAGGAUAAAAAAAAUGAAAAAAAAAAAGUUAAUAACUUAUAAGGUAUAAGCUAAUAGAAGUAACUUAUAAAAAUAUAUAUAAGCAAGUUAAAUAAGCUCAUGUAGUAAACAAAUUUAUUUUUAUGAAACCAACUUAUAAUCACAGUCUUUUUCACAGUACUAGAGUGACUUGUGACUUGCCAAAACAAACUCAUAGAGCCUUUUUCAUACACACACAAUUAGAAAACAAUUCUAAUCAACAUAUUUAAGAGACCUAAUUCUUCUAAUUGUAUUGAUUUUUUAUUUUUAGUUUAUUAAUAUAUUUAUGAAUUAAAUUUUGGUUUAAAACUGCAAUAUCUUUUAACGUUAUUAUAAUCAAAUGCUGGAUAUAACUGUAUCAUUUUAAAAAUUAGCUUCAUAUUAAUUAUAAAUGGUUGAAAUCCCUAAAUUUUGUAGAGGAUGCAACAACAUAAACAAAUUAAGUUAAAUGAAAAUAUUUUACGAUAGUGUAUUAGAAAUACUACAUUUACAAUGUUUUAAUACACGAUUAAUUGUGUGCUGUACAUGUGUGUCUGUGUUAAAAUGUGUAUUUUAUUUUAUACGGUCUAUGAAAAUUUUGCUUUAGCUAAUUACAAUUUCUCAAAAACUGUAUGUUUUCCAUUGUUGUGACAUGUUCCAUCUAUAGUUGUCAUCUCUUAGUCCAAUCAAUAUUGGUUAGUGUUUUGAAUAUUAAUGAUGUUAACCUCGUUAGUUUCCUCUCCUUCUUACCUAGUACUACUGAACUCCAAAAACCAAAAAUGUCUUUUACCUCGAAGGUUUUUCUUUCUUUUGCUACUGAACACCAAAUUCAGGUUCACUUUAAUGAAUCUCACAUAAAAUCCAUUCAAUAAAGUCACAUAACAAUAGGAUUUAGAUUCUCUCCUGAAAAAUAAUCAGUACUAUGAUAAUGUCAUGCUAUGAGUCACAAAGCCACAAAUUAAUUGCAAUAAAAAGUAAAGCCCAUUAUUUGUGUAGGUUCCAUCAAUUUUAUGUGUCUAUGACGUUGGUCACUAUAAUUUAAAUGUUUGAAUAUAAUCAACAAGUAAUUAAAGGGAAGGGUGAGCUGAAAAUUUCUAUAUAAAGAUUGGAUAUUUGGUCUUCAACCACAACCCAAAAACUACUGAAAUUCCCAAAGGCAAAAAACAAAAAUACAAGAUGAAGAGCAAGUUCCUUUUUGUUUUCCUAUUCUUGGGAAUUCUUAACUGUGAAGCACAAUAUUUCAAUGCCAACCCAUACGACUAUUUACAACUAGCCUUAAGGUGGCCUAAUUCCUAUUGCUUGACACAUGAAGGUGGUUGCAGGGAAAUAGUACCACAAUAUUUCACUAUUAGCUACCUUCAUCCCAUGAGAAGAGGAGGCCCUGAUCUGCGAAAUUGCCCCUCACCAUUUAAUAUGCCAAAUAGCACUGUUAGUAUCUCUUGCAUUCCCAUACAUUUUUUGUGUUUUGUUUUCAAGUUUCCUUCACGGAGAUUGUCCUUGAAAUCUGAUUAGACUAAGAUUUUAUUUGGUGGUUCAAUUUUCCCCUAAGAAAAAAUAAUAAAGUAAAAUAAAUUAAAUUUAUUUCAUAAGUUAAAUAAAUUUAUUAUAAACUCGUUGAAUGAAAG